rnacentral:lncRNA from 1 species
CAGAGGAUUUAACAACCAGAAGGGCGAGUCAGGAAACAAGAAGAGGAAGAUGUUUUGAUACGGUGUUGUAAGAGUCUGUCCCUGCUUCCUUGUGAUGCUAUUAUAUUCUUGUCUUUAUGUUAUUCUGCUGCAGUACUCUUAUCACUAGAUGCAAAAGUUAGCUUGAGGUAUGGAAUUUGGGGAGGCAGCUCAAACACAAGACUUUUAUCUUUAGCUGUGCUAUUCUCCAUAAGAUGUGGUGCCGUUUGCAUUUAACCUGUGAUUGCCCUUUUGGUCGUGGAAUGCAGUUGAAAUCUUGCUAUAUAUGCAAUUAUGUUAAACAGUGUAUUACAUUUACAGUUUACAGCUGCUGUGUGUGCCUUCCUGUUGUUUACUUCGUUCUGGAGCGUUUUAUUGUAUCAGUGUGUAAAGCUUAAGUGAAAGGAGUAACACUUGGUAAUUGUGACUGCCGGUACAGUCUAGUUUUGGUUUCUUAAGUUAUGUUCCCCUAUACAUCUUGCAUCAUCAACAAACCUCAGUGCCUCACAAUCAGCGUCGUAUUCAUCCUCCUUUUCUGCUGUUUUGGUAGUGAAUGGUUUGUUUUUUCAUACUCCAUUUAGACUAUACAGAUUUGGUUGUGAUGCAUUUGUUCUUUCUUAUUGCUAUACAUGGCCAGAUGCAGUUGUGGGAUCAUUUUCUUUUCUUGCUGAUUUGGAUUAUUGGAACAACUUUUGCAUUAGCUACGGUGUCAAUAUGCGCUAUAUGGGCUGCACUGCUUGCGAUGAAUGCAUAUGCCUAAAUUCUCCCAAGUUGCAGCUUGGUUGGUUAUGCCUAUUCAUGUUUUGUCGUUUUUAUGCGAUUGCCUGUUGUGAUGUUACACUUUCUCUGGAAAACAUGGGCACUAUAACUUACAAUGCCAGUAUUUUCCAAUGUUUGUCUGUCUAUAUCGUGGUGGUGAUGGCCAUCCUGGUUGCUGGUACUUCUCCAUGGAGGGGAUCUGAUCAAGAGGCCUGAUUAUGCUGAAAAUACUUGUACAUGUUGGUAAAAUAACAAAAGGAGUGUAGAAAGAUGGUUGUUGGGCCAGAGGAGGACAUAGGAUUGUUAUCCCCACCGUGGAGGUAAGAUGGAUUUGGUGGUUACUCGGUAUCUGAUUCUAAAGAGAACCCUGCUGAACCCCUGUUCAGAUUAUUUGAGUUCAUGCCAUCCUCCACAAGGAACCAAUUUCCAUGAGGUACUGCUGGAAGAGGUGGUGCAGGAGUCUGGCCAUGUUGUAAUAUGAGAAACCUUCUCCUUGUGUCAGGAUCUAUCCCAGACUCCGCAACUUUGGCCUGUUCUCUAGUUGGAGAAGCUUGCAGUGGAUCUAAGGGACCUGGUUAAACGACUGGUAGGCUGAAAGGAGGUGGUAGAACCUGAUUGUUUUUUACUCAAAGGCGGCUGAAGAUGGAACUAAAUUUUGACUAGGAUCUACUGGGAACAGUCCCGUAAGUGUAGCAUUUUUGGGCUAGUGGCGUCACAGAGUUAGCUAUUGUUGGAUUCAAAGCACUGCCAGUGCCAGAUGCUUUCCUGGAAAUAGGAGAGAUGAAUACACAACUAAAAACAGAGCAAAACAGGAAAAAAAAAUACCUGCAAAGUAGCAUGCAGUUAAUUUUAGUUUCCGUUUUCUGUACAGAACGGCUCCAUUAAACAUCAAGCUACUCUUGAGUCAAGCUGAAGCUUACUGUGCUGCAAUGAACACCAUCAUGGCCGAAAUUUUAGCUUUAGCUUUAGCCAAAAUUUUAGCAUUACAAUUUGGCUAUAUUAGCAACAGAAAUUGUAGAAUACAAAAACCAGUCAUGCAAUGAACAUAGUUUUUCUCAUGAACUGAUAGUUGUUCCAACUCGUCAGAAACAUCAUCACAGUCUCUUUAUUGUUAAACACUGAUUCCACCAUAGCUGGUAUCCUUAAAAGGUUAAAAAAAGAGCUUAUAUUUAUAGAAUUUAAUUUGCUGAGUGAUCUCAUGUUGGAAACAUCAUCAUCCACAGUAGCACAACCACCCUUUAGGCAUUGUCAAAAGCCAGUGAAUCUCGGUUCCCGUUAACCUAUGUGGCCGGACGAUUCACUUUGCUAUGCCAGUCGCCAGUGCAGGGACAAAUCUAAAUCAUCCAGUAGCCAUCAGCUAGAAUGUUCUAUUCCCCGGUGUAUUGUACUCCUACGUAACUGUUGUCGCUUCGGUGAACUGUUGGAUUCCAGUUUGAGCUUGUGCCACUUGCGUGCAUAUGGUUUCUGGGGAAAAUAUCUUGCCUGUAGUGGUAACUAGGAUGAACUAAGUGGCUGGAGGAGAACAGCCGGUCCAGAUCAACAGCGGCGUCCAGCUGCCCAGAUAGGCACCCACGAAAUGCAGAAUCAGCUUUGUUGCUUCCUCACUUGGGCUUCAUCCUACCUUGCCAAACAAAUCUCACCACUUAUAAUAUCCAUGUGGUCCACUGCAACCAAGUUGGAAAACUGGCUAUGCAGUCACACACCACAUAUGUAUGUGGCUGUACAUAUCUGAAUUCGGUUUCUCGCAAUUUCGGGAGCUUAGCACGUUGGAACAAGCGCUCCCAAAUCAGAGUAUACAGUAUAUACAAAUACAAAUGACAAAGAAAGGAAGGCCGUAGAUUCGUUCGCAUGUGUAUACUUCAGAAUCAGCAGAAGCUCUCCCAAGCAAAAAUUUACCAAGCCAGAAGGCUUCAAGAUACAAGCAUCCCUUCACAUGAUAAGAUCUUCUUGAGAAACAUUAUUCCAGAUCAAUACAAACUUGCGCCACAACACAACGGAAACACAACAUCAAGAAGACUGCAAGAUUCGGCGGCUAUAGUACCCACCCGCAAAACUCGUCACAGCUUCUUUUAUUGCUAAGCACUGACUCCACCAAAGCAUCUAAGGUUGAAUGGUCUUUGCCAUUCUAAUUAUUCUGAUUUACCGAAUCUUCUAUAUAGCACGGAGCAGGGGGUGUGGCGACAAAAGGAAAAAAAAACCGUGUUGCUAAUCACGAGAUAUACGGAAGGCAUCAGCUUGUUUUAGCGACGCUUUCGUAGAAGAGUAUGUAGCCAUUGUCGGUGUUACCACUGAACUCCUGUGCCGAGCCGAAGAAUGUCUGUACCAUGGACUCAUCGGUCAUCUCAACAGUCUCAUCGUCGAAGAACAACCAGUGGUUGUGGCUCUUUACCACGCUGAUGUAGUGGCCAUGGUUUGGCCCACUUCCGACGUGGACUAGCACAGCGAAGAGGGAAUAUUCCAAGUCUGAGUUGUCGACCGUGUUCAUGAGUUUAAGCUCCAGUGGGAAAACAACUCGGUAUGUCAGCUUUUUGUAGCGCCCAAGCUGCUCGAUGUACUUGAAGCGCUUGAGAUGGAUUACCAGGAUGUUUGGCUGUUUCUUUAUCUUCAUUCUUUUCUGUGCUUCUUGUAAACUGAAAUUAAUGACAACUUCAAUCAAGGUCCAAGAUAAAUAGAGAUAAUCCAAACACACAAACAAUAGACAGGCAAUGCAACAAUUUUGAUACAUUGAAUAUCAGAUCAAAUUAUGAUAGGCGAAAUGAAAAUGAAUGCCUGUGACACACAAUUUUUGCCAAAUAACUGAACUUGGAAGUUUGAUAUGCUAGUGCAUAGUCAAUGAAUGAACUUAAAGCACAUAAGUCAAGCAAGUAGGCAGAGGUAAUAAAUAACAACAUUUCCACAAGCUCUGAUGCUACUCUACUAAAUCAUGAUGUGGACCAGGAGGAAAUGGAGAUACCGGAUAUCACAUGAGGAAACAACAGGCAAUCAAAAGAAAUGGAAUAACGUACCUGCAGCAUUUGUCACAGAAGAACUUAUCCUCGGCGUUCAAAGUUUCUGUUGAGCUGAAGUUUUUAAGACAGCUGGUGAUUGAACUAUUUUGUUCUAUAUCCAGGCUCAAGUCAAGAAAUGUUUCAUCUCUAUCAGUGACGGUUUCACAUCUCAGACAUUUUGUUUGAUUAGUCAAUAUUCCCUAAAGAAAUAAAAUACCAUGAGGCACAUCUCCCAGACUGCAAUAAGAGCAUGAUUCAUACAGAAACAAUAUAGGCAGAAAUGGAUGAAAACUCACCUGGAAGCAUUUGUGGACCCAUGUAGUCUCUGGUUCUUUAUGACUACCAUUGGGCUGACCAUUAAUAGGGCCAUUAGAACUCUUAUUUGAAGAUGAAUUUUGAGGAGUUUCUUUAUUGGCUUUACAUUCUUUCUCGAGAAUGUCAACUAGCUCAUUCAACAAAAAAUUCAGAAAUUCAUGAGCAUCCUGUAAAACACAAUAGUAUAGCAGUCAUGGUCAAUUGGGAUGAUUGAGAUGCCAUAACACGCUAGUAAAUGUGUCAUCAUCACGUAAUGUAUUACUUGAUGCAUAUAGCUGCGGAAAAGCUCAUUCUGUUUCUUCAGUCGUUGAAUAAAACGCUUUGGAGCAAUAACGCCUGUUUUCUUCUUCUGAUUGCUGAUCUGUGUGCACAGAGGAAGAUGACAAUUAUAUUUUGCAAUGUUGAUCCAGCAUAGCUACUAUUAUCAAAUCAUACAACUGAAACUAGUAAAAGGCCUCCACAUAAAGGGCACUACCCAAUGAACAUUGAUGUUCAGACUAAAAGAUAAACAACGAAGGCAAUUGACUAGCACCUAUGUAUCAUCUCACUACAGAGUUAAACACAAACAAACCCUGAAACCAUAGAGAUCAACCAAGACAGUAGCAAGUGCUAUCCUGUGAAUGUUCUCCAUUUAACAUGCAUUAUAGUUAUAAUCACUUCCAGGUUUAUCAAUUAAUUACAAAGGCUCCUGGGGUUGCUCCACAGUCCAAAUUCUUGAAUUUGACACUAGCAACACUCCAGGGGGGUUACUAGAUACUGCCAAAUGCAGAAUUCUUCAAGAAACACACGCAUUACACUACAGGCCACUGAUGAGGAACCCCUCAAUGAACCAGAGAAAAUCCCAUGUCAUUCAGGGGAUAUGCGAUAAAGUGCCAGUUCAGAUUUUAUGCUUACAUGUGAUUUCUGAUUUGUAUAUGACGCAGCAAAUGGAACUUAAGGAAACUGAGGCAGAGGAAACAAUUUCAACAAUAGAUAGCUGCAGUGGUACCUGAGAGAAGAGGUCAGCUAAGCAGGUUAACAUGUUCUCUUCGCCAUCGCUGGCGCUUUUAUUGUUAGCAUAGUACUCCAGUAAUUGCUCGCGGAAAGGAACACAGAAGUAAAGUGCCUGUAAUAGAAUCACAAAACAAUUUAGCCAAUCCCAUGAGGAAUAUAAAUCGAGAAAACAUAUUAUCCUCUCUCUCGCAACAAUGUUUCUGAUGAGAACACCUCCAUCCAUACAGGGCAAAACUCACACGCAGUCUAUGCAGAAGCGCUGAGCGCCCCCAAUCCCCCAUUGUCAAAAUUUUAACAUUAAAAAUGCAACCUCGCGGUUCAAAGUUCGAACACACAUAAUCGAAACAGGAACAACAUCUCAUCAUCCAUCAGGCCAACCCCAAGAGUGAGUUUCUCCAUGCAAGGGGCGCUGACUGGACUCUGAACCUCACUACUCGCUCCGCGGCCUGCGCUCACCCCGCACACAAAUCUACCCCGACAUCGCAAGAUCGAAUUCAAGGCUCCGCGAUCCGACGGAAAACCGCGCCCCUCCCGACGCGGGGGACGCAUUGAACAGGACGAAUCAAUCGCGCGCGCACCGCCCUUGGGGGCGAAGGAAACGAGGCGCCCGCGCGCACGCGACGAUCUCGGUUUUGGGGGCAGGGCGUCCGUACCUGGAGGACGCUGUUGCAGUAGCAGGUGUUGCCGAAGUUCUCGAGGCCGAAGUAUCGCUCGCCCUCGGGGAACUGCUCGCCCAGCGCCUUCUCCAGCCUCGAGCUCGCCGCGCCCAUCACCGCCCAACUCCCAUUUGCCCGCCCGCGCUGCACGGCGACGGAUCGGCCUCACCGCCGGCUCGUCUCGGCGAUGCGGUGCGGUGCGGUGCGACGCGGGCCAGUACCGACUUGGGGAUCGGUGGGCGGGGGGUUGGAGCAGGAGGAAGAAAUCGGACGGAUGGAUGGUUUGGAGGAAACGGGCGAAAUAAAAAGGCGUCCGCGUGACUGUGCGUGCCGCUGGGGUGGUAGUAGAGGAAGAACGGAAGGACUCGUCAAAUCGGUGCGGCCGCCUGCGCUGCGCUGGUGGAGGUGGACGCUGCCGGCCGGUCCGGUGCGAUAUCUGCGACCGACCGUGUCUAUCUUGAUUCGACGGUCUGGAUCGAUCCAGGAGCGUGGGAUCGGCCACUGCUGGCAGAGAAUGACAGGCUCCCCCCUUGCGCUGCAGAACGGACCGACCGCCACGCCGUUAAAAAUCCUUACGUGACGUUUUGUCUAACUUUCAGGAUUAUAUGUAUAUUCCCUUCUUCGUAAUGUAAGACAUUUUUUAACACUAGAGAAAGUACAAGACGUUUUAAAUCACCACUGACUGAACGGUGGAUUUCAUAACCUGCAGGCAUGAUGAAAAUUAAUGUUGAUGGAGCUUCUGAGCAUAGUGGCCACAAAGGAGCAGCGGCUGCAAUUUGUAGAGACCACACGGCAGCCUACCUUGGAUCCUUAACGGUAGUUUUCAAUAGUAUUGCCGAUCCUACUACACUUGAAACAUUUGCAUGUCAGGAAGCUCUGUCAGUUGCUGAAGAUCUUGGACUACGCAACAUUUGUGUUGCAUCAUAUUUCCAAGGUGUUAUCCAAGACGAUAUUCGGGGCUUGGACGGCCCUCAUGGAGCGAUCAUAGCGGAAAUAGGACGUUGCAGGACUUUAUUUCAGUCUUGUAAUUUCAUUAUUGAGUGUAGGAAGUUUAAUUUUGAAGCUCGCAAUCUUGCCAAAUAUGCUACCUCUAUAGAUAGUGGUCGUCAUAUUUGGUUCGGUCACCCCAUGAUCCGGCUAUUGUACCUAUGAACAUUGCUUUGAGUUAAUCAAGAUGGCGAGAUUUCCCCAAAAAACUAGCACAUCAUUUUUUUCCUCUCCGAAAGGGUCGAUAGCCAAUGGCGUGGGCUUGUGUCUCUUUUGUGCUCGGUCGUAGAUUUCUUCAGUUCAUUGAGAUAAAUCUCGGAAGACAUGAUUAGUAUUUUAUUUAUUUAUUUUGAUUUAAAGAGAAAACAGUAAGAUAAUAGCAAUGAACAAAUUAAACUAUAUGCAAGCAGGUAGGUAAUGACUAAGUGUUAGGCUCCCCGGCAAAGGGCCAGAAAAUACUUGAUGACCUGCAAAAGCACAAGCUGUUGUAGUACAGUCCUAUUUCCUUGAGCAUAAUUUUGGAAUUGGAUAAAUAGGGACUGAUUAUAGUAAGCGGGUAAAAAUCUUCCUUUCAAAAGACUUUUCAUUUACCGCCAAGUUCUCACACAAGGUUCUCCCCUUAGCCUGCGUUCUUCUUGAACACGAUGCCACCAUGCACCGGCUCCUCCUUCCAGCUUGUACGCGACCAAAGGAACUCUACAAUCUUUCGGAACCUCCAUGACCUCAAAGAAAGUCUCCAUUUCAUAUAACCAAUCAAUGCACCCUUCAAUAUCAAUAUUUACAUUAAAAGUGGGGAUCUCAACUUUCACCAUGUAUAUAUCCCUUACAUAUGUACGGUUUGGUACUCUCCGAUAUGCAUAGAGAUUAGGUUCUUCAAGGGCAUCAUCAUAUUCUUCACCUUCGGAAGUUUUAACAUAAAUUAGCCUUUUUGAAGUACAAUGAAUUGCAUGUUGUUGUGGUAGUCUUGCUCCAAGAUUACCUCCCCUUCUUCGUCGUUGAAUAUCAUCUUCUUCUUUAGAUGAAUAUUCUUCACUAGCAGCAGGAGAACACCCUUUAUCAUCAUCUCAAACAGCUAGUCAAAUCUCUGAUUAAGAUCUUCACACAGCUCUUUGAUUUGUCAUUCUGCAACAUCCAUCCUCUUCUCCAAUUGUUUCAUUGCUUGUUGUACCUCACUCUCAAAGAGAGCAACAAGAACUAGUAUGGAUCAACGGGGCUCUGAUACCACCUGAAGCAGCACAAGGUUGUGGAGGAACAACUUGUAGCGACCCGACCUCAAACGGUCAAGUCUCUGUGCCUCAGUGUCAUCCCUCGAUCAGUAAUACUGACACGCACAGUACUCGAAGGAUUUAUAACAGAGUAGCAAUCACACACUUAUUACAUCGAAUGUCUCAAAAGAGAACUUAUUACAAUAAUAUGGCUUAAGGCCAUCUAAUGCGAUAACAACGGAAGGCUUGGAAGAUAAAGUGAGUCCAUCAACUCUAAUGACAUAGCCGAGCUGCAUGGCAACGACCUAACGAACCUUACUCCUCGUCUGAAAAGUCUGCAACAUAAUACGUUGCAGCCCGAAAACGGGUCAGCACAUGUAAUAUGCUGGUAAUAUAACACAGUAGAGCAAGAACAGAAUAAUGCUAUCACUACAUGCAUAUUUGGCUGGUGGAAAGCUCUAUGGUUAUAGUUUUGCGAAAAGCAAAUUUUUCCCUACAACAAAGGAAUAAUUUUAUUUAACUAUCAUGGUGGUUGAAACAUUGAGAAGGUAUAACCCCAACUCAAUCCCAAAUUAAAGUAAUUAUCAACCAAACAAUAUUAAUUAUGAGUGAUGAGAUACAUGUGAUAACCCAAGUACUAGAUACUCAAGAUUGUCCAUAACCGGGGACACGGCUAACCACGAUUAGAUUGUACAUUCUGCAGAGGUUUGCGCACUUUUCCCCACAAGACUCGAUCGCUUCCGUUGGAUUUCUCGCACUGCACGGUGUUUGAGAAACGGAUGACCGAGACAUAGUCUUUCAGAAACAUUAACUCCCUACUCCGGGUAGACCAUACCAAACCUACAAAACCCACUACUUGCUGAUCUACCUCUUCAAGAGCUUCACGUAACUUACUCAACUAUGCUAGAGCCCAUAGUAGCUUGUUGCUGCACACGGAAGUUUCUAGCAUGAAUCAUCUCAGUUUCCUUUAAGCCUGGGUGGCGGUCCAUAGGAAGAUCACACAGAUACCCCAGGAUUUCCAAAAAAAAAUACAGACAACACUGGGUUCCCCAGGUGCCUCAAUCCACCCAGAUGUGUAUUAAAGUUGCCACCUUAAGUUGAACCAUUAAUUAAGAAUCUCACAUCUGUCAUGGAUACACUCAAACCCAAUCCACGUCUACGAGCAUAGCAUAGUAAUAUAAGCAUAACGUAGAAGUAACUCCCAAGGGUUUGAUAAUAAGCAGGGCAAUAGGUUCUACCUCAUCAACUACUUCCCAAUACCCUCAAGUUAAAGACAUCCUAAUCAUGCAUUGUUUGAGGAUUGAACUAAUGCAAUGAAAACUGGGUAUGAAAAGAGUAUGAUCAAUGUGUUACUUGCCUUACUGACGAUCCGUGAAUCUUAGAGACUCGUAGUAACACGCUUCGCACUCUGGGGAUUCUAUCACAAACAAACAAUAGCAUACAUAAGAAACUAGCAAAGAUGCACGAGCAAAACUUCAAAUAAAAGAGAUUGACCAGAAAGUUCAACUUAAGAACUCCGGUUUGCAAAAAAAUCAAAUCAAACGGAGCAACGAAACUCAAACGGCAAAAGAAACAAGAUCCGUUUACUAAUAUGGACUAAAGUCAAUUUUUAUAGUAUCAAAAUCUUGUUUAAGUUGAUUAAACAGAAAGAGGGUCUCGAGGCGAAACUCUAGGCGUUUGAAUCACCUGAUUCCGACUAACGAGCGAAAAGAUAAAUAGAAACUAAGAUCGGAUCAGAAAUCGUGACUGAAAAUAAUCGCAGAUAAAUCCGAUAAAAGAAAACUGACGAACAGGCUAACGAACGAGCGUUCGUUAUCUGUAACUAAUGGAAGAAAACCGUGCAUUUAAACGAACGUACGGAUGAACGUCCGCUAAUUAAAACAAUCGAGAAAACCGGCGAACCGAUCUAAAAAAAUGAACUAGGGCUUCUAAAAAAACCGAACGGUUUUAAAAAAAUGGCGGCUCGGAUCCGGCGCGGUACCUCCGGCGCGGUGGCUCCGGCGAGGCGGGGUUGGGCGGCGGGGCGGCGGGGCUCGGCGNNNNNNNNNNNNNNNNNNNNNNNNNNNNNNNNNNNNNNNNNNNNNNNNNNNNNNNNNNNNNNNNNNNNNNNNNNNNNNNNNNNNNNNNNNNNNNNNNNNNNNNNNNNNNNNNNNNNNNNNNNNNNNNNNNNNNNNNNNNNNNNNNNNNNNNNNNNNNNNNNNNNNNNNNNNNNNNNNNNNNNNNNNNNNNNNNNNNNNNNNNNNNNNNNNNNNNNNNNNNNNNNNNNNNNNNNNNNNNNNNNNNNNNNNNNNNNNNNNNNNNNNNNNNNNNNNNCGGCGGCUCGGGAGGCGACGGCUGCGGCUCAGUGGUGGUGGUGGUGGUGAUUUGGGGCGGCGGGGUGGCGGCUUAUAAAGAGGGGGGGCUUGGAGGAGGGGGCAUGGCGCGGCGGCGAGAGGAGUCCCUCGUCCGAGUCAGCGGUGGUGGCGCGGCUGCGGCUGCGCGGGGAGUUGGGCUGGCCCGGCUGGGUUUCGGCCCAGUCGAUGCCCGAAGUUUUUUUUUAAAAUAAUUUUGCCGACGGAAAUAAAAUCCUAGAAAAUAAAAUAAAAACCUAAAAAUGCCAAAACAAAUUUUCAUCGUCUUAAUAAAAUAUUUAGAACGAGAUGAACAUUUUCUUGGCCCUUAAAAUGCAAUCUUAAAAACGUGCAAUUUUUCUAAUGCAAAAAAAUCCAAAUAGACUCAAAUAAAAUCAAACAAAUGAUUCUAACAUUUUUCCUCCAAUAUUUCAAUUGUUUUGGAGAAGUCAUAUUAUCUCCUCUCAUGUAUUUUUAUAAGAAAUAUUUUUCGGAGAGAAAAAUAAUUAAAAUCAAAAUCCUCGUUUCACUAUUUGAUAGGAAUCAAAUAUGAAAACUGGUAAAUCCCCAACUCUCUCCGAGGGUCCUUGAGUUGCUUAGGAUUUCGAGGAUUGCGGAGCGGAAAUGCAAUAAAAUAUAAUAUGCAUGGAUGACCUAUGUAUAACAUUCCAAAUUGAAAAUUUGGGAUGUUACACAACUCCACCUCUUGCUGCUACAAUGUGUACAACACAAGUAUUGAAGGAACAACUUCAACGUUGCUAGAUAUCGCUCUAGAGGCGGAGAUAGGGUCAAUAAGGCAGCAUAAGUUCAAUCGAAUCCUAGAGCACAACAUCUAGUCCAAGAUCUUAUAUAAGAACACCAAGUUCUAUUAUAUGUAGUGGGGGGGGGGGUACAUAUUCUAGUUUAAAAACUAGAGGUGAGGAUCUCUAUUUAUAUGGCUUUGGGAAGUCUUCACAUCUCACUUCUACUUAUGACUAGAACACUCCCAAAAACAUUACUAAGAUUCACCAUUCUACUCAUAGCUAGAAGACUAGAAAAUAGUUGCUAGGGUUGAGAAAAGAAAAUAAAUACCGGACUACAAUAGAAGUAUCUAGAAGUAGCCAAACAAAUUUGACAUAUGAUUUUAUUUUUAUUUUUCUAAUAUAUUGUUCCUCAUCGGGCUCUUUGGCUUUCCACCUCUUCAACGGAGUUAUCAACUCCUCAUGAGUGUGAACUUCAUGAUACAUCCUCGUCCACAACUUGUAUGAUUAAUCUAUUUUUGUAUAUUUACUUCUUGUGCUUGCUAGCUAUCUUGUUUCUCUUGCUUAUCUAGUACAUUAGAUUGCUUUCCAUUGAGGUUGUUCUCACUACAAUUGCAUAUCUAGAGAGCUCACUUUAUAUACAUUACCCCUAAAAUAGGAAGUUAUGCUAACAAUUUGUAGUCCUGUAUGACACUCCACCCCUCUAAUCGACCUCUUCGAUCCUUUCACUUGUCUAAAACAAGAUGAAGUCAUCCGUAUAACUUGAUGGAUGCCAACCUAGAACAAAGUGUUGUCUCGCUCCUCAAGAGCAUCUCCAACAACUGCACUAAAAUAGGGCAUUGAAGAAGUAGUUUAGAUCACCAAAACAUAGAAACUAAGCUACAUCAUUGCAAAUUUGAUCCAAACAUGCAAACCUGAACAUAGUUCGAGUACAAAGCAUGCAAACUAACAUAGUUAGAGUACGAAAUGCAAACUUAAACUACUACUACUACUAAAAACAACAACAACAACAACAACAACAACAACAACAACAACAACAACAACAACAACAACACAACUAAUCGUCACUAAGAUCGCUCUAGUCAAUGCCGUCGUCAUCAUCCCCUACAUCGACCUUGUUAGAAAGCUUUAGGAACUCCUCUUCCUCCAUCCUGAUCCUAGAGAAGUGAUACGUCUCCAACGUAUCUAUAAUUUUGAUUGUUUCAUGCUAUUAUAUUAUCAAUCUGGGUUGCCUUAUAUGCUUUUAUAUGCAAUUUUAUAUUAUUUUUGGGAACAACCUAUUAACUCAGUGCCCAGUGCUAGUUCCUGAUUUCUGCAUGUUUUUCUGCUUUUCAGGAAAUCAAUACCAAACGAAGUCCAAACAUGACAAAACUUUAUGGUGAUUUUUUGGAUGAGAAUGGACCCUAGAAGCUUCGGGGGGAGGUUAGAAUAGAUAUAAGAGAGCCACAAGCUGCGCGCACCUCCUGAGCUUGUGGGCCCCAUGUAGCUCUGUUUGACCUAAAUCCAAGCCUAUAAAUUCCCAUAAAUCCUUAAACCAACAGAGAGCCACCCGAAACAAUUAUUCCACCGCUGCAAGCUUCCGUUCUUCCGCGAUCCCAUCUGGAGGCCUUUUCCGGUACCCUGACGGAGGGGGAAUCGAUCAUGGAUGGCUUCUACAUCAUCCUUGCCGCCUUUCGGGGAUGUGUGAGUAGUUUACCACAGACCAACGGGUCCAUAACUAGUAGCUAGAUGACUUCUUCUCUCCUUUUGAUUUUCUAUACAAUGUUCUCCUUAAUCUUCAUGGAGAUUGAUUCGACGUAAUCUUCUUUUGUGGUGUGUUUGUUGGUAUAUGAUGAAUUGUUGGUUUAUGGUUAGAUUAUCCAUUGAAAGUAAUUGAGUCUUUUGUAAACUUUAUUAUGAAUGAUUGUUAUAGCUUUGUAUUUCUCUCCGAUCUAUCUGUUUGGUUUGGCUAACUAGAUUGAUUUAUCUUUAGUGGGAGAGUGAUACAUCCCAAACGUAUCUACUUUUCCAAACACUUUUUCUCUUGUUUUGGACUCUAAUUUGCAUGAUUGAAUGGAACUAACCCAGACUGGCGAUCUUUUCAGCAGAAUUGUCAUGGUGUUGUUUUCGUGCAGAAAAAUAGUUCUCAGAUUGAGCUGAAAAUUUAUGAAGAAUUAUUUCAAAAUAUAUAGAAAAUAUUGGCGAAGAAAAUUACCAGAGGGGGGACACCAGGGCGCCACAAGCCCAGGGGGAGCGCCCACCCCUGGCGGCGCGCUUGGCAGGCCUGUGGGCCCCUGGCAGCUCCCACAACCCUAACUCCAACUCCAUAACUACCUAUUCGUUAAUAAAAAAAAUCAGAGAGUAGGAAUCAUCAUGUUUUACGAUACAGAGCUGCCGCCACCUCCUGUUCUUCAUUGGGAGGGCUGAUCUGGAGUCCCUUCGAGGCUCCGGAGAGGAGGAUUCGACGAUGUCAUCAUCAUCAACCAUCCUCCAUCACUAAUUUCAUGAUGCUCACCAUCAGGAGUGAGCAAUUCCUUCGUAGGCUUGUUGAACGAUGAUGGGUUGGAUGAGAUUUAUCAUGUAAUCAAGUUAGUUUGUUAGGGCUUGAUCCCUAGUAUCCACUAUGUUCUGAGAUUGAUGUUGCUAUGACUUUGCUAUGCUUAAUGCUUGUCACUAGGGCCCGAGUGCCAUGAUUUCAAAUCUGAAUCCUUUAUUAUUUCACGAAUAUAUUUUGUCGGUCCAGUGGGAACCGGGGUACUGCAGGCCACCUGCCUACGGCCUAGAAAAGGCCGCUUGGCCCCAAUCAUAAGGCAGCCCACCAACGGGCGCCACGAGUUGACAGUCUCAUGAGGACCCUGCCUCGGGAGGGGCUGUCUUCCACGAAGGACUUCACCGAUUCCACCACCACUACAGGCGGCCUCGCGAGCCCCCCCUCGCGAGGUUCCCUCUCUCUCGAGGCCUCCCAAGGAGCCAUGUAGGGUGGGUACCGCAUGUCAUGCAGGGCAGGUGCAGCAGCGGAGAGAUUCCUCUUGGGAGUGAUGGCGAUGGCGGAGGUCGGGAGUACAUGAAGCAGAGGAGCAGUGCCUAAGAAGGCGGAGCAACAAUGUGCCCGCGCCCCAUGCAGGCAGGCUUUAUGGUUAAGACAACAGUUACUGAGGCGUUGUGGGGAGUGGGGGCGUCCCCGUCCCGUCGAAAUGCCACGUGUCUUCCUGGGCCCGGUAGCCUUAGGCCCUGUGUCGUUUCGCCCCUCCCCAGCCAGCGGAACAUGCGCGCCGCAGGCCCGGGGGAUACUAUCGGCCCAGUGGGAACCGGGUUACAGCAAGACACCUGCCUACGACACAAAAAAGGCUACUUGGCCCAAAUCAUAAGGCAGCCCACCAACAGGCGCCAUGAGCCGACAGCCUCCCAAGGAACCUGCUACUUGUGAAAUGUGUUGGGAUUUUAUGUAGGACAAUAGACAUAAUAUUUCCCUCAGUUAAGGACCAAGGUUAUCAAUCCAGUAGGAGAACCAAGCAGCACCUUGUUAGCAGCACCUACACAAAACAACAAAUCCUUGCAACCCAAAGCGAACAAGGGGUUGUCAAUUCUUGAUGGUUAUGAGCAAGAUUAAAUUGUAUGGUAUUUGGUAUAUAGGUCAAAAAAAUAUAAAAUAAAAUAAAUAAAGUAAAAAAGCAGCAAGGUAUUUUGGUUUUAAUAUAUGAUACAAGAUAGACCCGAGGUCAUAGUUUUCACUAGAGGCUUCUCUCGAGAAAAUAGCAUACGAUUGGUAGACAAAUUACUGUUGGGCAAUUUAUAAAAAGGCAAAUAAUUAUGAAGAUAUCCAAGGCAAUGAUCAUACAUAGGCAUCACAUCUGAGACAAGUAGACCGAAAUGAUUCUGCAUGUACUACUAUUACUCCACACAGCGACCGCUAUCAUGCAUGCACCUAGAGUAUUAAGUUCAUAAAUAAUGGAGUAACGCCUUAAGCAAGAUGACAUGAUGUAGGCAAGAUAAACUCACGUAUGAAUAAACCCCAUCUUUUUACCCUUAAUAGCAACUAUACAUAUGUGUCAUCUCCCCUUCUGUCACUAGGAUUGGGUACCGUAAGAUCGUACCCAUUACAAAGCACCACUUCCCAUGGCAAUCUAAAUCAACCUAGUUGGCCAAACCAAACCAAUAAAUCGGAGAAGAAAUACAGAGCUAUAUUAAUCAUGCAUAAAAGAGUUCAGAGAAAACUCAAAUAAUAUUCAUGGAUAGUGAUGUGGUCACCUAUUACAGAGGGGUCAAGGACCCAUCAUUUGGGACCCACAUGGGGCCCAUCACCAUCAUAGAUAGGUCCCCAGACCAUGCCAGCAUUCGGAUGUGUACACCAGGAGGAUCACUCGGAUGACCUCACAACACUCGAAUGACCACACAUCACUCGGUGGACAAUCAACCACUCGGAUGUACAUCGCAAGAAGCCAUCGUGGGGGCUACAACGGUCGAGGGAUCCUAAGUCGUCCACUAAAUAGAGUUAUAACUACCGUUACAUGUUAACUGUUGUAGUAUAGGCUCAUUACACUAGUAACUGCCUCAUUCAAUGUCAUUAAUUACCCCGGUGGUGUGGGAGAUAUGGCGCUAUGUCGCACUCUAUAUAAGCCACACCCCUCUCCAUAGCCGGGCACGUUCAACUUUGUAAUCAUAUCCAUCAAAUCAAAGCAAGACUCAGGGCAAGAGACAUAGGGAUUUUACCUCCAUCGAGUGAGGGGCCUGAACUCGUUAAACACCGUGUGUUACACCUACAUCGUAGCUAGUCUUUUCCCCCUUAUUCAUACCCUAGUACUCAUUGUCAGGAUCAUAACCCCGACAGUUGGUGCCCACCGUGGGGCUAGGCGUCUAGCAAAUUUUCAUGGUGUAGGUGAAUUUCUUCUUCAUCAUCAUCAUGUCAGCCGGCGGUGAAAUUCGCCUCGGGAAGAUCUCCUUCAUCACCGACAACUCAGUGUGGCUACGCGAGGCCCCGCUGGACGUGGAGGCGUUGCCCAUCCGUGGCGCAAUGCACUUCCUAGCUUCUUCCUACGGAGUCCUUCUCCGACAGCCCUCGACUCCAUACCAAGUGGUCACUCAUCCCACCAUUAUGCGUCAUCGCAAGCACUCCGAGCGUUCGCGGCUGCAGCGCUGGAUCAAGCACGUUGUCGCCACUCAUGCAGCAACGGAACAAGUGGCGGCUAUCGAGUUCAACGAGCCCACUCUCGACCUCUUGAAUGGAUCACUCGACGAUUCCUCAGAGGAGUCCGAGUCCGAGAGCGUCGAGUCGACCACCGAGAUCCUUAUGGCGAAUAACUCCGAGCACCAUGUGCCCCUGGGCUACGCGGAGCCCAAAGACGAUCACGUGGGUGCAUCCCACAUCAACACCAACGACGACUUCCCAGGAACGAGCCGUAUGUGCCUCAAGCUCUCACUCGAGAGCAGCGAGAUGAGCUCCGUCGUCGGAAUGACCAGCUCCUGAAUACUCCCAUCACCGGAACGACUCCCAAGGCUUUAGCCAUGGAGUCGACUCGCCUAGCUACUUUGUCCGAGCGCGAUUGCCUCGAACGGCUUCAAAGGGAGCUGGAUGAACGCAAACACCGUCAACCCAGCUCCAGUCGGCAUAAGUGUUGGCUCUACUCGAGUGACCAGACUCAUAAGUAUCAAGUUCUUAGUACUCCAUUGCAAAAUCAAGCGGUCGCCACUUGGAUCACAAAUUCCAUUUAGCCCUCUAGCUCUUCAGCCGGACAAGGGAUUCGUCAGAACCAGGUGCUCCUCAAGACAGCAUUGUCACAAAAAGCAAUGGUGUCCCAGUCCAGAGACCGGAUCCAUAGCGCAUCUGUGCGUGUAGAGACCGUCUAGUCAGCUCACAACCCACUCGGCUCAGGCAGGUGCCGAGCCACUUUGAAAGUGCAACUAUCCCUAGGUGGUUUUGGUAAUUCAUAACAACAUAUAGCUCACUGAGCUAAUGCUAUUCCAAGACUAUUAUUUCAGGAAAGGUCAAUGAAUGGCAUGGCAUGGAUGAUGAAAGUGGAUCCCUCAAAAUACUAAGGACAAAGGAUUGGCUCAAGCUCAAAGGCUCAAGACUCUUUAUUUUAUAUUUUAGUGAUCCAAGAUCACAUUGAGUCUAUAGGAAAAGCCAAUACUAUCAAGGAGGGAUGAGGUGUUGCUUAAUGAGCCUCUUGCUUCAUGUGCUCUGUGAUAUGCUCCAAAACCCUCAGCUACUUUACCACAUCCACAAAUGACCUAAACCCAAAGCCAAAAUCGGUCACACCGAUUCUUCCAAUCCGGCGCCACCGAUUCCAAAAGUCAUAGCCACUGCCACAAACCCUAAGCAAAUCGGUCUCACCGAUAGGGAUCUCGGUCUCACCGAGAUGGGAUUUAAUCUCUCUGUUUCCCUUCGUAAUGUUUCGGUCUAACCGAAGUGAGCGAUUGGUCCCACCAAGAUUGGAAUGUAAACUCUCUGUUUCCCUUUUGUAAUAUUUCGGUCUCACCGAAAAGAGCAAAUCGGUCCCACCGAGUUUACCUGACCAACUCUCUGGAAAGCUUAUUACCAAAAUCGGUCUUACCGAGUUUGUGUAAUCGGUCUUACCGAGAUUACGUUAUGCCCUAACCCUAACCGAAUUGGUCUUACCGAGUUGCAUGUCAGUCCCACCGAAAAUCACUAACGGUCACUAGGUUUACUAAAUCGGUCCGAACGAGUCUGUUGAAUCGGUCCCACCGAGUUUGGUAAAUUGUGUGUAACGGUUAGAUUUUGUGUGGAGGCUAUAUAUACCCCUCCACCUCCUCUUCAUUCAUGGAGAGAGCCAUCAAACUAAACCUACACUUCCAACUUACCAUUUCUCAGAGAGAACCACCUACUCAUGUGUUGAGGCCAAGAUAUUCCAUUCCUACCAUAUGAAUCUUGAUCUCUAGCCUUCCCAAGUUGCUUUCCACUCAAAUCCUCUUUCCACCAGAUCCAAAUCCUAUGAGAGAGAGUUGAGUGUUGGGGAGACUAUCAUCUGAAGCACAAGAGCAAGGAGUUCAUCAUCGACGCACCAUUUGUUACUUCUUGGAGAGUGGUGUCUCCUAGAUUGGCUAGGUGUCACUUGGGAGCCUCUGACAAGAUUAUGGAGUUGAACCAAGGAGUUUGUAGGGCAAGGAGACCGCCUACUUCGUGAAGAUCUACCGCUAGUGAGGCAAGUCCUUCGUGGGCGACGACCAUGGUGGGAUAGACAAGGUUGCUUCUUCGUGGACCCUUCAUGGGUGGAGCCCUUCGUGGACUCGCGCAACCGUUACCCUUCGUGGGUUGAAGUCUCCAUCAACGUGGAUGUACGAUAGCACCACCUAUCGGAACCACGCCAAAAACAUGUGUGUCUCCAAUUGCGUUUGAAUCCUCCAAACCCUUCCCUUUACUUUCUUGCAAGUUGGAUGCUUUAAUUUCCACUGCCUAUAUACUCUUGGCAUGCUUGCUUGAAUUGUGUGAUGAUUGCUUGACUUGUCCUAAGAUAGCUAAAAUCUGCCAAACUCUAAAAUUGGGAAAAGGUUAAGUUUUUAAUUGGUCAAGUAGUCUAAUCACCCCUCUAGACAUACUUCAAGGUCCUAAAAGUGGUAUCAGAGUUGUUUUCUCCAUUUGCUUUGAUUUCCAUAGCUUUUGGUGGUCAUAGCCUUGGUUUCACAACCUAGGAGAGUAUGGCGUCUAGCGAGGGAAAUUAUCACCGUAGAGGUCCUUACUUUGAUGGUACUAAUUUUGCUAGUUGGAAGCAUAAGAUGAAAAUGCAUAUUCUCGGACAUAACCCCGCCGUUUGGGAAAUUAUUUGUAUUGGCUUGCAAGGUGAAUUCUUUGAUGGGAGAGAACCGAACCGUGAAGCGAAUGCGGAAGAAUUGAAGAUGCUGCAAUACAACGCUCAACCUUGUGAUAUCAUCUUCAACAGAUUGUGCCCCGAAGAAUUCAACAAAAUCAGCCGUCUUGAGAAUGCAAAGGAAAUUUGGGAUACUUUGAUUGAUAUGCACGAAUGUACGAAUCCGUCAAGGAAUCCAAGUUGGAUGUGCUCCAAAGUCAGCUUGACAAGUUCAAAAUGAAGGAUGGUGAAGGUGUCGCUGAAAUGUACUCUAGGCUUGCACUUAUCACAAAUGAGAUUGCCGGCUUAGGGAGUGAAGAGAUGACCGACAGAUUCAUCAUCAAGAAGAUCCUAAGAGCAUUGGAUGGAAAGUAUGAUACCGUGUGCACAUUGAUCCAAAUGAUGCCAAACUACAAAAAUCUCAAGCCAACGGAAGUCAUUGGAAGAAUUGUUGCUCAUGAGAUGUCACUCAAGGAUAAGGAGGAACUUCACAACAAGUCAAGUGGUGCUUACAAAGCCUCAAUUGAAGCCCCCACAUCAUCAAGUGAGAAACAAACCUUCAAUGAAGAAUUGAGCUUAAUGGUGAAGAACUUCAACAAAUUCUACAAUAGUAGAAGCAAAGAAAGAAGCUCCAAGUCAAGGUCUUAUCAUGACAAAAGAUCUUCUAGUCGAGAGCGCAAUUGCUACAAUUGUGGGAGGCCUGGACACUAAUCCAAUGAGUGUACGACACCCUACAAAAGAAGAGAAGAUUCUCCAAAAAGAAGAAGCAAAAGAGAAGAAUCACCACCAAGAGAGAGGAGGAGUAGAGAUGAUCGUUAUGAACGAAGACCCUCACGGAAAAGCAAGGAUUCGGAAAGGAAGGACAAGUCAUCAAGGAGCUACACAAAACAAAGACAUCAAGCUCAUGUUGGUGAAUGGGUAUCCGGCUCCGACUCCGACAAUCACUCCGAGAGAAGCUAUCACUCCGACUCCAAACAUACUCAAGAUGAAGGUGUUGCCGGUCUAGCACUUGUGUCAACCAACUCCUACGACAUAUUUGAUUCACCAAAUGAAGGAAUUGGAAGAUGCUUCAUGGCCAAAGGUCCAAAGGUAACACAUCCUGAGUAUGUUGAUUUCAAUAGUGAUGAAGAUGACUUGCUUGUGGAUGAUGAUUUACUUGUUGACAACUCUAGUGAUGAAUACUAUGAUGAAACGCCAAUUAAUCAUGCUAAUCAAACAAAUGACAAUGAUAAGGAGAAAAUUGAGCUUCUAACUAAAGAACUAAACACUCUAAAGUUGGCUCAUGAAACUAUCUUCGAAGAUCAUCGAGAACUUUUAAGGGCUCAUGAGAAGUUACGCUUUGAAAAGCUCAAUCUUGAGCAAGAGCAUGAGUUCUUAAAGGCAAUCAAUGAUGAUCUCCGUAAGAAAAGUUCUUCUUACAUUGCCAAGCGUUUACUCUUAUGUACUUACAUGCCUCAAGUCAAGUCUGGUAACAAGUACAAGAAAGAUACUUCCUCUAGUAGUAACAAUAAUAAUGUUAAAUCCAAUAUUGUUGCUUCUAGUAGUUCUCUUUAUUCCACUAAUGAUUCUCUUAGCCAAGUUACACUUGAGCAAGAAAAUAGCUUAUUGAAUGGAAUUAAAGAGAAAGGUGUUUACAAGAGCCUUGCAUGGAGUAAGCAAUUCGAGGAAAUUGUACGCAAGCAAGGAAGACACCGGAAGAAUCAAGGUGUUGCUUUUGAACGAAAGUUCAAUGCCAAUGGAGUUGAGUGGGAAGAAGAUCAAUACCCCAAGACAAAGUUUGUUCCUCAACAAGAGAAGUAUGAUCCUACUUCCUUCAAGGGAACGCAAGCUCAAGAUGAUCUUCCUCCACAAGACCACAAGAACAAAGGCAAGGAUAAGCUUCAAGAAGAGAUUGAUGCAUUUGAAGAAGCACCUAAGGUCUCUGUCAAGUGGAUUCCCAAGACCACGUCAAGUUCUACUUCAUCAAGUACACCUACAACUCCAAGGAUUCCCAUCAAGAUGAUGUGGAUCCCGAAGAAGAAGAAGAACUAGAGCGUUCUUGAGGGUGACUCCGCCAACAUUCUUCACUCAUAUCUUUAUGGCAAGGACAAGUGCAAUCAACUUCCACAUCUUGCACUAGUUCAAGGAGUCACAAACCCUCAUGUUGGUAAGGCAAGGGACAAGGUAACCUAAUGGUUUCAUGGACAUAAUCUUGUGUGUGCAUCACUCUAUGUCUAUGGAUAUUCUUGUUAUUUCCUUGUGGGACUAACCCAUGUAGGUAAGUUGAAAGUGCGACUCACUCCAAAGGAUUGCUCCAAAUGAUCUACUUCAACAUUGAGCAUCCACAUCUUCAACACCUACAUGAAGUCAUCAUCGACAAAACCCAAGGUUAGUUCAUCCCUCUAAAGGGGGGAUCUCACAUCUAGGGGGAGCUUAACUCAAAAAUUGAGUCAAAGCAACUCUAAUGGUGUGAACACAUCAAUGCAUUAUGUAAAAGUGGUAACCCCACUUGAGCUUAAACGAUGAGUAUGACCUAUGAUCAAAUGUUCUCAUUUGACUCCUAAGUCAAUAUACUCAUAUAUAGAUGACCUAGUCAUCGCCAAUUGUUUGAUAGAUGCUAGAAUUGGUUGUGCAUGCUUUGCCACAUAUUUCAUUUGCCAUUUCAUUGUGUGAGCAUGUUGGUGCAUAUUUUACUCAUUCAAGGACAUCCACUUGUUGUUUUGAUUGUUUGGUUCAGUCUUCUUUUGGCCAAGUGGAUGGACAAGAAUGCCUAAGAACCCUCUCUAGCUAUCUAUGCUUUUCUCGUCUCAAACUCUAUUCAUGCUACAUCACAAAAUUUGAUCAAGUCAGAUUCGAACCACUCUGUGUGAGGAGCACUCGGAGUCCCCGAUUCGUCAUAGACUUAAACUUCCAAAACCUCUUUGUGAUUCUCGGUCUGACCGAUUCCUCCAUUUUGGUCCUACCGAGAUCAUUAAGUUGAUCUGAGUUUUCAAUCUCGGUGCAACCGGUUUGAACUUUUCGGUCACACCGAGUUGCUGUAACUGAACACAGUUAUGCAUCUCGGUGCCACCGAGUUGUUCCACUCGGUCACACCGAUAGGGUCGGGCUAUAUAUAGACACGGGCAAAAUUUUGGAAAUUUCUCCGAACCUCUUCGCCCGCGCAAUAGCUCGCUCUGCCAUCGAAGGUCUCCGGAUCGUCUCCUCAUCGCCAGCCGCCUCCUGUCGCUGGUCUCCGCCACCGUCAACAGAAUUCAACCCCACCGUUGCCGCCGUAGCGUGUUCAUCGCCGCACUAGGGUAUGGACUCGAUCUUUGUGCUAUCCACAUCUGAUUCCUAGCACAUUGUACUCUUAUUGAUUCUUGCCACGAUUGAAACAAUCCUAUCCAGCCAAAGUAGUCCGUAGAGUAGAUUAGAUUCAAAUUUUUAGGGUUAGGUUUCCGCCGAAACCAUCUCGGACCCACCGAGUUGAAAAACUCGGUCUCACCGAUUUGGCAUAUGCCAUUGCACUAGUGACUCUCGGUCUGACCGAGAAUUACUAAUCGGUGCGACCGAUUUUAGGAUUCUGUGAAACCCUAGCAGUCUCGGUGCCACCGAACUAUGACUCGGUCCAACCGAGUUCAUUAGUUUAGGUUCCAAAAACUGCUUCGGUAGCACCGAGUUUGAAAAUCGGUUGAUCCGAAAUGCUUUCUGUGGAAAACUAAAACUGAAUUUUUGAAUCAUUCUUUUGAAAAAUCUCUGCAUUUGUGAUGCUCAUCCACUCUAUCUCAUCUAUAACUCUUCACAGGGUCAGCAGUCAGCUUUUGCAGCAUGUCAGACCAGAGUGACAGUCAGAACAGGUCAGCAGAGCAGAUUCACUUGAGUGAGGGCACUAGUCCCUCCAGCACUUCAGAUGAAGGAAGCAGAAGCACUCCUAGCAACCUACCUAAGGCUGCUACCAGGCAAAGGAGAAAGAGAACCUCAGACUUAGAAUAUGAGGACUACAAAGCCGAGGAAGAUGAGGCUACUUCCAAGAAAGUGGUGCUCAAGAAGGAAUAUGGCUCAGCAAAGGAUAUAAAGCCAGGCAUGAAGAUUAAAAGGCCUACAGGAAGACAACCAAUGUCCAAGGCCAGAGCAUCAACUCAACUACCUGAAAGUCCUGAUCCCAAAGAGCCAGCUGCUGAAAGCAAGAAGAGGAAGGAAAGGGUCAAGAAGACCAUGGCCAGAGUUGUUGGUCAACCUUCCAUGAUGGAAGAGGAAGAGCUUACUGCACCAGCACCAAAGGCACCAAAGCUUAUGGGUGAUGCUAUUAAAUCUGGGGCUGCAACAUCUAAGCCCAAGGAAGCACCCAAAGCUGCCCCCAAGGCCAAGUAUGCACCAAAGAGGAAUACCAGGAGUAUUCCAGCUGCUGAGAAGAACAAGGCCCCAGUGCCUGAGGUUGCUGAGGAGGAAGAAGAAGAAGGACAGGUUCUAAGGAAGCUCAAGCCUAAGAUACCAGAUCACAAUGAUGCCCAUCCUGUGGCUGAGGACAUGAACAUCAGAAAAGACUCAGGAUUGAGGCUAUGGAGGAUGGCAGAUCCAUAUGCCACAAGGAGAAGAACUACUGUUGAUUACAGGUUCCAUACAAAGAAACAACAGGACUUCUAUGAGACAAUCUUAUUGGACAAGAAGCCCAUAGUUUGUGAUAUGAGGUGGGUCAAAUGGACCUACAUGAAGGAGAAUGAAGAGCACUAUCCUGGAGUGCAAGACAGCUUUGUUGCUUGUGGAGUUGCAGAUUUCGUUGGGCAAAAGCUCACAAACUGGAAUGAUGAACUUAUCAUGCAAUUCUACUCCAUAGCACAUUUUUACCCAGAUGGAAGAAUUGUUUGGAUGUCUGAAGGUACAAGGUACCAAUCCACUGUUGAAGAAUGGGCAAAACUGAUAAAUGCCCCAAAGGAAAAUGAUGAUGAUCUGGAUGUAUAUGCCAAGAAGAAAAUGGGACACAAUACCAUGGCACACAUGUACAAGGAGAUCCCAGACAAAGCCCUAGAGACUUUCUCUUUUGGAUUAGUCCAUUUUCUGUUGUCAGGGUUGCCUACUAUCAAUUGGAUUCUGAGGCACACUCUGUUGCCCAAGUCUGGUGACCACAACAUGAUCAGAGGGCAUGCCAUCAAUAUUUUGCAUUUAUUUGAUGUGCCACAGAAAUUCAAAGUCAUGAGCCUUAUAGUUGAAACCAUUAAGAGGACUACAGCAGAUCAUAAGAGGAUUUGUGGUUAUGCACCUCAGAUUCAGGAAUUAAUCAACUCAAAGAUGGGAACUGGCAAAUAUCUAUUGGAUAGGGAACAUUUUCCACUCUAUCCAGACUUUGAAGACAAUGAGGUUGUCAUGAAUGAGGAUGAUCCAUCAUCAGUUCAAGCUCAAGAGAAGAAGGAGAAGGCAAGGAAGGAGAAGGCUGCCAAGAUGCCAACUCAAGAGGAGGCAUCUGAGUAUUUCUUGAAAAACAAGCAGGAGCAGCUUGGUUACUUGAUAGCAUCAUCACUGAGGAUUGAGAAGGGGUUGGCCACCUUAACUCAAAACCAGGAGAGCUUGGAAAGAAUCAUGGAACAAAAAUUCUAUGAUCUAGAUGUCAAAGUAACUGAGAUUCAGUCAGUUGUGGAGCAACUGCAAGAUGACAUGCAGGAGAGGAAAGGCAAGACAACCACAAAUGUCUUUGCCAGAGUGCCUAGAGCUCAGAGGUCAGCUGCUGUGCCAGUGCCAGACACAAGAGCAACAUCUUCAUCACCAGCUACUGCCCCUUCAGCUCCAGUGCAACCAGCUUCAACAUCAACUCUAGCACCCUCUACAUCAACUGAAGCCUUCAUCCUUGGAGUUAUCCGGACACCACCAACUGAAGAUCAAGCCUGAGAGUCGAUCUAGCACUAUGCAUUUUCUAUGAACUUUUUGGUAACUUGUUGCCAAAGGGGGAGAAAAUAUAUAGAUCAUAGGCUUCGAGAGAGAGAGAGAGUGUUGCUUUUGUUCUCUCUUGCUUGGUUGGUUUAGACUUGUUUGCUUUUUGAUUGGUUGAGAUACUAUGCUUGUGAGACAUUGAUGAUCAUGUGUUUGAUCAUAAGCUACACUUAUGCAUGUUUGAUGAUACUAUCCUAUCUAUCUUAUGUGAUCAUUCACUUUGCUUGGUGAUGAGUGCAUGUAUUCAAUACUUAUCAUUUUGAGUGCUCCACCAAGAUGUAUGUGACAUGGAAGAGUAACCCAUGAGCCUAAUUCCUUGUGCAUUUGCAGUCCAAAGCAAAUUUUAAACUAUGCACAAAUUUAGGGGGAGCUCUUGCUUAUCACAUACUUCUCAAAGCGACGAUGUUUUUAUUCUUAUUAUCUUUUGUCGAAGCUUUGAUCUAUAUGUUGUCAUCAAUUACCAAAAAGGGGGAGAUUGAAAGUGCAACUAUCCCUAGGUGGUUUUGGUAAUUCAUAACAACAUAUAGCUCAUUGAGCUAAUGCUAUUCCAAGACUAUUAUUUCAGGAAAGCUCAAUGAAUGGCAUGGCAUGGAUGAUGAAAGUGGAUCCCUCAAAAUACUAAGGACAAAGGAUUGGCUCAAGCUCAAAGGCUCAAGACUCUUUAUUUUAUAUUUUAGUGAUCCAAGAUCACAUUGAGUCUAUAGGAAAAGCCAAUACUAUCAAGGAGGGAUGAGGUGUUGCUUAAUGAGCCUCUUGCUUCAUGUGCUUUGUGAUAUGCUUCAAAACCCUCAGCUACUUUCCCACAUCCACAAAUGACCUAAACCCAAAGCCAAAAUCGGUCACACCGAUUCUUCCAAUCCGGCGCCACCAAUUCCAAAAGUCAUAGCCACUGCCACAAACCCUAAGCAAAUUGGUCUCACUGAUAGGGAUCUCGGUCUCACCGAGAUGGGAUUGUAAUCUCUCUGUUUCCCUUCGUAACGUUUUAGUCUAACCGAAGUGAGCGAUUGGUCCCACCGAGAUUGCAAUGUAGACUCUCUGUUUCCCUUUUGUAACAUUUUGGGUCUCACCGAAAAGAGCAAAUCGGUCCCACCGAGUUUACCUGACCAACUCUCUGGAAAGCUUAUUACCAAAAUCGGUCUUACUGAGUUUGUGUAAUCGGUCUUACCGCGAUUACGUUAUGCCCUAUCCCUAACCUUAUCGGUCUCACCGAGUUGCAUGUCAGUCCCAUCGAAAAUCACUAACGGUCACUAGGUUUACUAAAUCGGUCCGACCGAGUCUGUUGAAUCGGUCCCACCGAGUUUGGUAAAUUGUGUGUAACGGUUAGAUUUUGUGUGGAGGCUAUAUAUACCCCUCCACCUCCUCUUCAUUCAUGGAGAGAGCCAUCAGACUAAACCUACACUUCCAACUUACCAUUUCUGAGAGAGAACCACCUACUCAUGUGUUGAGGACAAGAUAUUCCAUUCCUACCAUAUGAAUCUUGAUCUCUAGCCUUCCCAAGUUGCUUUCCACUCAAAUCCUCUUUCCACCAGAUCCAAAUCCUAUGAGAGAGAGUUGAGUGUUGGGGAGACUAUCAUUUGAAGCACAAGAGCAAGGAGUUCAUCAUCAACGCACCAUUUGUUACUUCUUGGAGAGUGGUGUCUCCUAGAUUGGCUAGGUGUCACUUGGGAGCCUCCGACAAGAUUGUGGAGUUGAACCAAGGAGUUUGUAAGGGCAAGGAGAUCGCCUACUUCGUGAAGAUCUACCGCUAGUGAGGCAAGUCCUUCGUGGGCGAUGGCCAUGGUGGGAUAGACAAGGUUGCUUCUUUGUGGACCCUUCGUGGGUGGAGCCCUCCGUGGACUCGCGCAACCGUUACCCUUCAUGGGUUGAAGUCUCCAUCAAUGUGGAUGUACGAUAGCACCACCUAUCGGAACCACGCCAAAAACAUCCGUGUCUCCAAUUGCGUUUGAAUCCUCCAAACCCUUCCCUUUACUUUCUUGCAAGUUGCAUGCUUUAAUUUCCGCUGCCUAUAUACUCUUUGCAUGCUUGCUUGACUUGUCCUAAGAUAGCUAAAAUCUGCCAAACUCUAAAAUUGGGAAAAGGUUAAGUUUUUAAUUGGUCAAGUAGUCUAAUCACCCCCCUUCUAGACAUACUUCAAGGUCCUACACACUUCUUCCUCUAGAGAUCACUAUGAAGAUCAAAGAUGCGACCGAGUUGCAUCGCCCCAGCGUAACGGCGACUAUGAUCGUGCCCUGAUGCCUCCUCCUCGAGAUGUCGCGUACGAGCGCCAGCCCUACGACGACAGAUGGACUCACGGUGGUGACCGCAUGCCGACUCCUACUCGUCUGUCGAGAGACACUUGAGACCCGUUGUUCAACGCAAGAUCCGUUCUCGCUUAGAACUUGGUCGAUAGAGGUCGGGCUUUGUGGGAGGGCCAAGAUCAUGACAUAUCGAGUGGUUCCGUACCAUCGGGUCCCGAGUGCUUUAGCUGUUACAUACGAGCGGCUGAGAUUCCCAACAACUUCAGGUUGUUGGGAAUCACCAAGUUCACUAGCGAAUCCAAGCCUAAAAUUUGCUAGACGAUUACCGAGCGGAAGUCCAGAUCAGCGGCAACAACGACAAUGUAGCCAUGAAACAUUUGCCGCUGAUGCUAGAAGGCUCUGCUCGGGCUUGGUUCACACAGCUCCUGCCGAGUAGCAUUUUUUGCUGGGAUGGCCUAGCGAAGGUGUUCAUCAAGACCUUUGAAGGCAUGUACAAGAGAGUAGGAGGUUUGACCGAGUUACAACAUUGUGUGCAAAAGUAGAAUGAAACUCUCCGAGAGUACAUCAUGGACAACUCUGCACAACACGGUAGAGAAUGUCAUUAAACACUAGGCAAUAUGCGCCUUCAAGGCUGGAGUCAGGUACCGGGAGUUGAACAUGAAAUUCGGUCGGACUAAGACCCCGACUCUCAGUCAAGCUAUGGAGCUAACCAAUCAGUAUGCCAAUGGUGAAGAGGUAGACCGACUGAGGAGCGGUAAAAGCUGGGCAGGCGACGCACAUCAGUCACAGAACAAGGGCAAGAAGCACAAGCAAAAAUCAUAUGCCGAAGGGAAUUCUGAGGCCGCGACUCUGGCCAGCCAAGGCAAAAAGAACUCCCAAGAGCAGAAGAAGGAUUGGAAAGGGAAGAAGUAGGUCACCAUGAAGAGUGACAUCCUCAACCAGCCUUGCCAGAUCCACACAAAGAAAGAUGAAGACGUAACUUGAUCUUGCCCAAACAUACCACUCGGGAGUGUCGACUCCUAAAGAAAGAGAAGCGGCAUGAUUUUUAUGGAGAAAGAGAUGAUGACGAAGAAGAUGAAGGUAGAGGUACUUCCGAGUACCCCAACAUUGAAAACUUCUCAUGAUUUUCGCUGACGUCUAAAGCAAGAGCCGCCUCAAGGUGAUCAACCGAGAGGUUAAUAUGGCAGUUCCGACUGUCACCAAAUAUCUUGACUGGGCCAAGACACUGGUAACCUUUGACUAGUCAGACCAUUGAUACAUCUCCAAUGUAUCUAUAAUUUUUGAUUGUUCCAUGCUAUUAUAUUAUCUGUUUUGGAUGUUUUAUAUGCUAUUUUAUAUUAUUUUUGGGACUAACCUAUUAACCUAGAUCCCAGUGCCAGUUUUUGUUUUUUUUGCCUGUUUUAGAGUUUUGCAGAAAAGGAAUACCAAACGGAGUCCAAACGGAAUAAAACUUUCACGAUGAUCUUUCUUGGACCAGAAGAAAACCAGGAGACUUGGAGAUGAAAUCGGAGACGCAACAAGGCGGCCACAAGGGUGGAGGGUGCAUCCAGGGGGGUAGGGCACGCCCCCUACCUCAUGGGCCCCUCGGAGCUCUCCUGACCUAAUUCUUUCGCCCAUAUAUACUCUUAUACCCCAAAACCACCAGGGGAGCCACGAAACCACUUCUCCACCGCCGCAACCUUCUGUACCCGUGAGAUCCCAUCUAGGGGCCUUUUUCGGCGUCCUAUCGGAGGCGGAUUAGAUCACGGACGGCUUCUACAUCAACAACAUUGCCUUUUCGAUGAAGCAUGAGUAGUUUACCACAGACCUACGGGUCCAUAGCUAGUAGCUAGAUGGAUUCUUCUCUCUCUUUGAUUAUCAAUACCAUGUUCUCAUCGAUGUUCUUGGAGAUCUAUUCGAUGUAAUAUUCUCUUGCGGUGUGUUUGCCGAGAUCCGAUGAAUUGUGGAUUUAUGAUCAGAUUAUCUAUGAAUAUUAUUUGAGUCUUUGAAUUCUUAUAUGCAUAAUUUGAUAUCUUUGCAAGUCUCUUCGAAAUAUCAAUUUAGUUUGGCCUACUAGAUUGGUUUUUCUUGCAAUAGGAGAAGUGCUUAGCUUUGGGUUCAAUCUUGCGGUGUCCUUUCCGAGUGACAGUAGGGGCAGCAAGGUGAAGGAAAUAUGCCCUAGAGGCAAUAAUAAAGUUAUUAUUUAUUUCCUUAUAAUCAUGAUAAAUGUUUAUUAUUCAUGCUAGAAUUGUAUUUACCGGAAACAUAAUACAUGUGUGAAUACAUAGACAAACAGAGUGUCACUAGUAUGCCUCUACUUGACUAGCUCGUUAAUCAAAGAUGGUUAAGUUUCCUAACCAUGAACAAUGAGUUGUUAUUUGAUUAACGAGGUCACAUCAUUAGUAGAAUGAUCUGAUUGACAUGACCCAUUCCAUUAGCUUAGCACCCGAUCGUUUAGUAUGUUGCUAUUGCUUUCUUCAUGACUUAUACAUGUUCCUAUGACUAUGAGAUUAUGCAACUCCCGUUUACCGGAGGAACACUUUGGGUACUACCAAACGUCACAACGUAACUGGGUGAUUAUAAAGGAGUACUACAGGUGUCUCCAAUGGUCGAUGUUGGGUUGGCGUAUUUCGAGAUUAGGAUUUGUCACUCCGAUUGUCAGAGAGGUAUCUCUGGGCCCUCUCGGUAAUACACAUCACAUAAGCCUUGCAAACAUUACAACUAAUAUGUUAGUUGUGAGAUGAUGUAUUACGGAACGAGUAAAGAGACUUGCCAGUAACGAGAUUGAACUAGGUAUUAGAUACCGACGAUCGAAUCUCGGGCAAGUAACAUACCGAUGACAAAGGGAACAACGUAUGUUGUUAUGCGGUCUGACCGAUAAAGAUCUUCGUAGAAUAUGUAGGAGCCAAUAUGGGCAUCCAGGUCCCGCUAUUGGUUAUUGACCGGAGACGUGUCUCGGUCAUGUCUACAUUGUUCUCGAACCCGUAGGGUCCGCACGCUUAAGGUUACGAUGACAGUUAUAUUAUGAGUUUAUGCAUUUUGAUGUACCGAAGGUUGUUCGGAGUCCCGGAUGUGAUCACGGACAUGACGAGGAGUCUCGAAAUGGUCGAGACAUAAAGAUUGAUAUAUUGGAAGUCUAUGUUUGGACAUCGUAAGUGUUCCGGGUGAAAUCGGGAUUUUACCGGGUUACCGGGAGGUUACCGGAACCCCCCGGGAGCCAUAUGGGCCAUCAUGGGCCUUAGUGGAAAGGGGAAAGGGGCAGCCCAAGGGGGCUGCGCGCCUCCCCCCUUCCCCUAGUCCUAUUAGGACUAGGAGAGGUGGCCGGCCACCCCUCUCCCUCUUUCCCCCUUGGGAAUCCUAGUUGGAAUAGGAUUGGAGGGGAGUCCUACUCCCGGUAGGAGUAGGACUCCUCCUGCGCCACCUCCUCCUGGCCGGCGCCUCCUCCCCCCUUGGCUCCUUUAUAUACGGAGGCAGGGGCACCUCUAAACACACAAGUUGACACAAGUUGAUCCACGUGAUCGAUUCCUUAGCCGUGUGCGGUGCCCCCUGCCACCAUAUUCCUCGAUAAUACUGUAGCGGAGUUUAGGCGAAGCCCUGCUGCUGUAGUUCAUCAAGAUCGUCACCACGCCGUCGUGCUGACGAAACUCUUCCCCGACACUUUGCUGGAUCGGAGUCCGGGGAUCGUCAUCGAGCUGAACGUGUGCUCGAACUCGGAGGUGCCGUAGUUUCGGUGCUUGAUCGGUUGGAUCGUGAAGACAUACGACUACUUCCUCUACAUCGUGUCAUUGCUUCCGCAGUCGGUCUGCGUUGGGUACGUAGACAACACUCUCCUCUCGUUGCUAUGCAUCACAUGAUCCUGUGUGCGCGUAGGAAAUUUUUUGAAAUUACUACGAAACCCAACAGUGGUAUCAGAGCCUAGGUUAUUGAUGUUGAUGUUAUAUGCACGAGUAGAACACAAGUGAGUUGUGGACGAUACAAGUCAUACUGCCUACCAGCAUGUCAUAUUUUGGUUCGGCGGUAUUGUUGGACGAGACGACCCGGACCAACCUUACGCGUACGCUUACGCGAGACCGGUUCCCUCGACGUGCUUUGCACAGAGAUGGCUUGCGGGCGACUGCCUCUCCAACUUUAGUUGAACCAAGUAUGGCUACGCCCGGUCCUUGCGAAGGUUAAAACGGAGUCUAUUUGACAAACUAUCGUUGUGGUUUUGAUGCGUAGGUGAGAUCGGUUCUUACUUAAGCCCGUAGCAGCCACGUAAAACAUGCAACAACAAAGUAGAGGACGUCUAACUUGUUUUUGCAGGGCAUGUUGUGAUGUGAUAUGGUCAAGGCAUGAUGCUGAAUUUUAUUGUAUGAGAUGAUCAUGUUUUGUAACCGAGUUAUCGGCAACUGGCAGGAGCCAUAUGGUUGUCGCUUUAUUGUAUGCAAUGCAAUCGCGAUGUAAUGCUUUACUUUAUUACUAAACGGUAGUGAUAGUCGUGGAAGCAUAAGAUUGGCGGGACGACAACGAUGCUACGAUGGAGAUCAAGGUGUCGCGCCGGUGACGAUGGUGAUCAUGACGGUGCUUCGGAGAUGGAGAUCACAAGCACGAGAUGAUGAUGGCCAUAUCAUAUCACUUAUAUUGAUUGCAUGUGAUGUUUAUCUUUUUAUGCAUCUUAUCUUGCUUUGAUUGACGGUAGCAUUAUAAGAUGAUCUCUCAUUAAAUUAUCAAGAAGUGUUCUCCCUGAGUAUGCACCGUUGCCAAAGUUCGUCGUGCCUAGACACCACGUGAUGAUCGGGUGUGAUAAGCUCUACGUCCAUCUACAACGGGUGCAAGCCAGUUUUUGCACACGCAGAAUACUCAGGUUAAACUUGACGAGCCUAGCAUAUGCAGAUAUGGCCUCGGAACACGGAGACCGAAAGGUCGAGCGUGAAUCAUAUAGUAGAUAUGAUCAACAUAACGAUGUUCACCAUUGAAAACUACUCCAUCUCACGUGAUGAUCGGUUAUGGUUUAGUUGAUUUGGAUCACGUAAUCACUUAGAGGAUUAGAGGGAUGUCUAUCUAAGUGGGAGUUCUUAAGUAAUAUGAUUAAUUGAACUUAAAUUUAUCAUGAACUUAGUACCUGAUAGUAUCUUGCUUGUUUAUGUUGAUUGUAGAUAGAUGGCUCGUGCUGUUGUUCCGUUGAAUUUUAAUGCGUUCCUUGAGAAAGCAAAGUUGAAAGAUGAUGGUAGCAAUUACACGGACUGGGUCCGUAACUUGAGGAUUAUCCUCAUUGCUGCACAGAAGAAUUACGUCCUGGAAGCACCGCUGGGUGCCAGGCCUGCUGCUGGAGCAACGCCAGAUGUUAUGAACGUCCGGCAGAGCAAAGCUGAUGACUACUCGAUAGUUCAGUGUGCCAUGCUUUACGGCUUAGAAUCGGGACUUCAACGACGUUUUGAACGUCAUGGAGCAUAUGAGAUGUUCCAGGAGUUGAAGUUAAUAUUUCAAGCAAAUGCCCGGAUUGAGAGAUAUGAAGUCUCCAAUAAGUUCCAUAGCUGCAAGAUGGAGGAGAACAGUUCUGUCAGUGAGCAUAUACUCAAAAUGUCUGGGUAUAAUAAUCACUUGAUUCAAUUGGGAGUUAAUCUUCCGGAUGAUUGCGUCAUCGACAGAAUUCUCCAAUCACUGCCAGCAAGCUACAAGAGCUUCGUAAUGAACUAUAAUAUGCAAGGGAUGAACAAGACUAUUCCCGAGCUCUUCGCAAUGCUGAAAGCUGCGGAGGUAGAAAUCAAGAAGGAGCAUCAAGUGUUGAUGGUUAACAAGACCACUAGUUUCAAGAAAAAGGGCAAAGGGAAGAAAAAGGGGAACUUCAAGAAGAACAGCAAACAAGUUGCUGCUCAAGAGAAGAAACCUAAGUCUGGACCUAAGCCUGAAACCGAGUGCUUCUACUGCAAGCAGACUGGUCACUGGAAGCGGAACUGCCCCAAGUAUUUGGCGGAUAAGAAGGAUGGCAAGGUGAACAAAGGUAUAUGUGAUAUACAUGUUAUUGAUGUGUACCUUACUAGAGCUCGCAGUAGCACCUGGGUAUUUGAUACUGGUUCUGUUGCUAAUAUUUGCAACUCGAAACAGGGACUACAGAAUAAGCGGGCACUGGCAAAGGACGAGGUGACGAUGCGCGUGGGAAACGGUUCCAAAGUCGAUGUGAUUGCAGUCGGCACACUACCUCUACAUCUACCUUCGGGAUUAAUAUUAGACCUAAGUAAUUGUUAUUUGGUGCUAGCGUUGAGCAUGAACAUUAUAUCUGGAUCUUGUUUAAUGCAAGACGGUUAUUCAUUUAAAUCAGAGAAUAAUGGUUGUUCUAUUUAUAUGAGUAAUAUCUUUUAUGGUCAUGCACCCUUGAAGAGUGGUCUAUUUUUAUUAAAUCUCGAUAGUAGUAAUACACAUAUUCAUAAUGUUGAAGCCAAAAGAUGCAGAGUUGAUAAUGAAAGUGCAACUUAUUUGUGGCACUGUCGUUUAGGUCAUAUCGGUAUAAAGCGCAUGAAGAAACUCCAUACCGAUGGACUUUUGGAACCACUUGAUUAUGAAUCACUUGGUACUUGCGAACCGUGCCUCUUGGGCAAGAUGACUAAAACACCGUUCUCCGGUACUAUGGAGAGAGCAACAGAUUUGUUGGAAAUCAUACAUACCGAUGUAUGUGGCCCGAUGAAUAUUGAGGCUCGUGGCGGAUAUCGUUAUUUUCUCACCUUCACAGAUGAUUUAAGCAGAUAUGGGUAUAUUUACUUAAUGAAACAUAAGUCUGAAACAUUUGAAAAGUUCAAAGAAUUUCAGAGUGAAGUUGAAAAUCAUCGUAACAAGAAAAUAAAGUUUCUACGAUCUGAUCGUGGAGGAGAAUAUUUGAGUUACGAGUUUGGCGUACAUUUGAAAAACUGUGGAAUAGUUUCGCAACUCACGCCACCCGGAACACCACAGCGUAAUGGUGUGUCCGAACGUCGUAAUCGUACUUUACUAGAUAUGGUGCGAUCUAUGAUGUCUCUCACUGAUUUACCGCUAUCAUUUUGGGGAUAUGCUUUAGAGACGGCCGCAUUCACGUUAAAUAGGGCACCAUCAAAAUCCGUUGAGACAACGCCUUAUGAACUGUGGUUUGGCAAGAAACCAAAGUUGUCGUUUCUUAAAGUUUGGGGCUGCGAUGCUUAUGUGAAAAAGCUUCAACCUGAUAAGCUCGAACCCAAAUCGGAGAAAUGUGUCUUCAUAGGAUACCCAAAGGAAACUGUUGGGUACACCUUCUAUCACAGAUCCGAAGGCAAAACAUUCGUUGCUAAGAAUGGAUCAUUUCUAGAGAAGGAGUUUCUCUCGAAAGAAGUGAGUGGGAGGAAAGUAGAACUUGACGAGGUAACUGUACCUGCUCCCUUACUGGAAAGUAGUUCAUCACAGAAAACUGUUUCAGUGACACCUACACCAGUUAGUGAGGAAGCCAAUGAUAAUGAUCAUGAAACUUCAGAUCAAGAUACUACUGAACCGCGUAGAUCAACCAGAGUAAGAUCCGCACCAGAGUGGUACGGUAAUCCUGUUCUGGAGGUCAUGCUACUAGAUCAUGAUGAACCUACGAACUAUGAAGAAGCGAUGGUGAGCCCAUAUUCCGUAAAGUGGCUUGAAGCCAUGAAAUCUGAGAUGGGAUCCAUGUAUGAGAACAAAGUAUGGACUUUGGUUGACUUGCCCGAUGAUCGGCAAGCAAUUGAGAAUAAAUGGAUUUUUAAGAAGAAGACUGACGCUGAUGGUAAUGUUACUGUCUACAAAGCUCGACUUGUCGCAAAAGGUUUUCGGCAAGUUCAAGGAAUUGACUACGAUGAGACCUUCUCACCCGUAGCGAUGCUUAAGUCCGUCCGAAUCAUGUUAGCAAUUGCCGCAUUUUAUGAUUAUGAAAUUUGGCAAAUGGAUGUCAAAACUGCAUUCCUAAAUGGUUUUCUGGAAGAAGAGUUGUAUAUGAUGCAACCAGAAGGUUUUGUCGAUCCAAAGGGAGCUAACAAAGUGUGCAAGCUCCAGCGAUCCAUUUAUGGACUGGUGCAAGCCUCUCGGAGUUGGAAUAAACGUUUUGAUAGUGUGAUCAAAGCAUUUGGUUUUAUACAGACUUUCGGAGAAGCCUGUAUUUACAAGAAAGUGAGUGGGAGCUCUGUAGCAUUUCUGAUAUUAUAUGUGGAUGACAUAUUACUGAUUGGAAAUGAUAUAGAAUUUCUGGAUAGCAUAAAGGGAUACUUGAAUAAAAGUUUUUCAAUGAAAGACCUCGGCGAAGCUGCUUACAUAUUAGGCAUUAAGAUCUAUAGAGAUAGAUCAAGACGCUUAAUUGGACUUUCACAAAGCACAUACCUUGACAAAAUUUUGAAGAAAUUCAAAAUGGAUCAAGCAAAGAAAGGGUUCUUGCCUGUGUUACAAGGUGUGAAAUUGAGUAAGACUCAAUGCCCGACCACUGCAGAAGAUAGAGAGAAUAUGAAAGAUGUUCCCUAUGCAUCAGCCAUAGGCUCUAUCAUGUAUGCAAUGCUGUGUACCAGACCUGAUGUGUGCCUUGCUAUAAGUUUAGCAGGGAGGUACCAAAGUAAUCCAGGAAUGGAUCACUGGACAGCGGUCAAGAACAUCCUGAAAUACCUGAAAAGGACUAAGGAUAUGUUUCUCGUAUAUGGAAGUGACAAAGAGCUCAUCGUAAAAGGUUACGUUGAUGCAAGCUUUGACACUGAUCCGGACGAUUCUAAAUCGCAAACCGGAUACGUGUUUACAUUAAACGGUGGAGCUGUCAGUUGGUGCAGUUCCAAACAAAGCGUUGUAGCGGGAUCUACAUGUGAAGCGGAAUACAUAGCUGCUUCGGAAGCAGCAAAUGAAGGAGUCUGGAUGAAGGAGUUCAUAUCCGAUCUAGGUGUCAUACCUAGUGCAUCGGGUCCAAUGAAAAUCUUUUCUGACAAUACUGGUGCAAUUGCCUUGGCAAAGGAAUCCAGAUUUCACAAAAGGACCAAACACAUCAAGAGACGCUUCAACUCCAUCCGGGAUCUAGUCCAGGUGGGAGACAUAGAGAUUUUCAAGAUACAUACGGAUCUGAAUGUUGCAGACCCGUUGACUAAGCCUCUUCCACGAGCAAAACAUGAUCAGCACCAAAGCUCCAUGGGUGUAAGAUUCAUUACAGUGUAAUCUAGAUUAUUGACUCUAGUGCAAGUGGGAGACUGAAGGAAAUAUGCCCUAGAGGCAAUAAUAAAGUUAUUAUUUAUUUCCUUAUAAUCAUGAUAAAUGUUUAUUAUUCAUGCUAGAAUUGUAUUUACCGGAAACAUAAUACAUGUGUGAAUACAUAGACAAACAGAGUGUCACUAGUAUGCCUCUACUUGACUAGCUCGUUAAUCAAAGAUGGUUAAGUUUCCUAACCAUGAACAAUGAGUUGUUAUUUGAUUAAUGAGGUCACAUCAUUAGUAGAAUGAUCUGAUUGACAUGACCCAUUCCAUUAGCUUAGCACCCGAUCGUUUAGUAUGUUGCUAUUGCUUUCUUCAUGACUUAUACAUGUUCCUAUGACUAUGAGAUUAUGCAACUCCCGUUUACCGGAGGAACACUUUGGGUACUACCAAACGUCACAACGUAACUGGGUGAUUAUAAAGGAGUACUACAGGUGUCUCCAAUGGUCGAUGUUGGGUUGGCGUAUUUCGAGAUUAGGAUUUGUCACUCCGAUUGUCGGAGAGGUAUCUCUGGGCCCUCUUGGUAAUACACAUCACAUAAGCCUUGCAAGCAUUACAACUAAUAUGUUAGUUGUGAGAUGAUGUAUUACGGAACGAGUAAAGAGACUUGCCGGUAACGAGAUUGAACUAGGUAUUGGAUACCGACGAUCGAAUCUCGGGCAAGUAACAUACCGAUGACAAAGGGAACAACGUAUGUUGUUAUGCGGUCUGACCGAUAAAGAUCUUCGUAGAAUAUGUAGGAGCCAAUAUGGGCAUCCAGGUCCCGCUAUUGGUUAUUGACCGGAGACGUGUCUUGGUCAUGUCUACAUUGUUCUCGAACCCGUAGGGUCCGCACGCUUAAGGUUUCGAUGACAGUUAUAUUAUGAGUUUAUGAGUUUUGAUGUACCGAAGGAGUUCGGAGUCCCGGAUGAGAUCGGGGACAUGACGAGGAGUCUCGAAAUGGUCGAGACGUAAAGAUCGAUAUAUUGGACGACUAUAUUCGGAGUUCGGAAAGGUUCCGAGUGAUUCGGGUAUUUUCCGGAGUACCGGGGGGUUACGGGAAUACGGGGAAGAGUAUUGGGCCUUGAUGGGCUUUAGUGGGAAGAGAAAAAAGGCUGCUGCGCCCCCCCUCCCCUUUGGUCCGAAUUGGACUAGGGAAAAGGGGGCCGGCCACCUCUCCUUCUCCUCCUAUUCCUUCUCCCUUCCUCCCCUCUUGGUGGACUCCUACUAGGACUUGGAGUCCUAGUAGGACUCCCUAUCCUGGCCGCACCUUUGCCUUGGCCGGCCUCCUCCUCCUCCAUCCUUUAUAUACGGAGGCAGGGGCACCUCUAAACACACAAGUUGACACAAGUUGAUCCACGUGAUCGAUUCCUUAGCCGUGUGCGGUGCCCCCUGCCACCAUAUUCCUCGAUAAUACUGUAGCGGAGUUUAGGCGAAGCCCUGCUGCUGUAGUUCAUCAAGAUCGUCACCACGCCGUCGUGCUGACGAAACUCUUCCCCGACACUUUGCUGGAUCGGAGUCCGGGGAUCGUCAUCGAGCUGAACGUGUGCUCGAACUCGGAGGUGCCGUAGUUUCGGUGCUUGAUCGGUUGGAUCGUGAAGACGUACGACUACUUCCUCUACGUCGUGUCAUUGCUUCCGCAGUCGGUCUGCGUUGGGUACGUAGACAACACUCUCCUCUCGUUGCUAUGCAUCACAUGAUCCUGUGUGCGCGUAGGAAAUUUUUUGAAAUUACUACGAAACCCAACACAAGGCACGUAUUGUAUUGUUGCCAUCGAGGAUAAAAAGAUGGGGUUUUCAACAUAUUGCUUGAGUUAAUUCCUCUACAUCAUGUCAUCUCACUUAACGAGUUACUCUGUUCUUUAUGAACUUAAUACUCUAGAUGCAGGCAGGAGUCGGUUGAUGUGUGGAGUAAUAGUAGUAGAUGCAGAACGUUUCGGUCUACAUGACAUUGCCUUAGAUAUCGUCAUAAUUAUGCGCUCUUCUAUCAAUUGCUCGGCAGUAAUUUGUUCACCCACUGUAUUAUUUGCUAUCUUGAGAGAAGCCACUAGUGAAACCUAUGGCCCCCAGGUCUCUUUUCCAUCAUAUAAGUUCUAUUUUCCAUCAUACUAGUUUCCGAUCUACUAGUUUUGCAAUAUUUUACUUUACGAUCUAUAAACUAAAAAUACCAAAAUUUACUUUACCAUUUAUCUAUCUCUAUAAGAUCUCACUUUUGCAAGUAACCAUGAAGGGAUUGACAACCCAUUUAUCACGUUGGGUGCAAGUUGUUGAUUGUUUGUGCAGGUAUUCGGUGACUUGUACAUUGUCUCCUACUGGAUUGAUACCUUGUGUAACACCCCGGAUAUAACAUUCCAUAUUUGUAACUCCAACUCUUGUCAUUUCCGGCUAUUUGAUGUGUUAUUCCCUUCGGGGUUGGGUGUUGUCUUUCAUUUUGCUUUUUGUUCAUGUCAUGCAUCAUGUCAUCAUUUGCAUUGCAUCGGCACUUCGUUGCCGCCAUUUUUAUAAAACCCGCAUCCGUUCGUAGUUGCUGGUUUGCCCCGUCCUCUUCAUUGACCUUUCUCAAUCCCCUCGCGUGCGCGUUCGAAAACUUCCCCGAACCCGACCCGAACAAUCGUGACCGUUGGUUUUGAAUCAUCCCCAAACAUCCCCUUGACCCGGAGCCGUUCGAUGACGAUCGGACGCCCUAAAAUACUCCCUCAUUUUGUCUCUCUCUAUAAAUAAGUGGCAACCCUAAUUUCUAGGGGAGAUGUCCCACGGUGCCCCAGCUCCCUGCCUCCCGUGCUCGUCCCUGAGCAAGUAGCUCAGUGCCUCGCCGGCCACCGCUGAACCAAUAGAUGAGCGCCGUCGCUCUCUCCCUUGUUCCUCCUCCUUCCCAUGGCUUCCUCUGCCUCUCAUCCAUCCUCUCUCUUCUCUGUACAGGUGCUCCCCGCGCCAUGGAAGCCACCGCAGGCCUCCACGUCAAGCUCCGCCGCCCUUGGAUCUCCUCUCCCGGUGGAGCUACUCGAGCCCUGCCCAGAGCAGCCAAGCCACCGGUGAGCUCCUCCGCCGCGUGCACCACCAACUCCUCUCCAUCUCUCUAAAUGCGCUCCCUCCCUAUCUUUCUUCCACAGGGAACCGACGCCGCCCCUGAGCUCUGCCCGUGCCGUCGUUGCCCAGAUCCGGCGCCGGCCAGUCGGAUCCGCCCCGUCUCCACCUCGCCGGCCUUCCCUGCAGCCCGCCGUCGCUCCCCUUCAAGUCCCACACCGUCGUUGUCGUCCCCUGAUUCCCGUUGCGAGCUCCAGCGCUGCUGCUCCUCUAUUUUUGGUCGAACAGAGAGUGACGCGCCUGUAGCCUCCCCGCCUCGCACGUCUGGGUCACUUCCAGUGCCAGCAAGGCCCAGCGCCGCGCCAAGCCCAGCUUCCCCCGCCGGCCUGCUUCUUCGCCUGGGCCAUGGCCCGCUAAGGUGAUGCCCCCUCUCUGCUUACCCUCGCCCAGAUCCUGAUUCGGCCCGUGUAGGUUUUUUUCCAGCAUCUGUGAAUUUGCUAAUUAACCAGGGAAUUACAGAUUUGUAGAAAAGUCCUUACACAUCAUGCAUAUAAUAACUCAUUAACCGUGCAUCGGAUUAAAAUGAUUCAAACAUGGAAAAUGCUUAGAAUUUUGUGGAGAUUAUUAAUUUGCAAUUUUCAUCCAUGUUUGAAAUGUUUAAAAUGCUGUUUGUUUAAAUUUGCUCAAAUGCCAUGCUAAAAUGAUUUAUUUCAUAACUAAAUAACUGUAGCUCCGAAUUAAAUAAGCUAUAUAUGUAAAUUGUCUAGACAAAUGCAUAGAUUAACUUGGUGCACUUUAUUUUCCUGUUUAACAACAUUAAAAAUAUGGAUUAGGGAAGAACAGGAGCAAAUUCGAAUGUGGACAUGAGGAUUUUCCGGAAUUGUUGUUUGUUAUUUCCGGCAUCAUUUAAAUUGCCUAAAUAUUUAGUUUACUUAUGUUUCACCUCUUGCCAUGUUUAACAACAUUUAAUAUUAUUUUACUUUAAUGAGAGCAAACUAAAUAACUUGAAUGUGGCAUUUCGUCAAUAUGCAACUCGUUGCAUAUUGAGCUCCAUUUAACUUGUAGUGUUGCUUGUUGCACUUUGCCAUGCCAUGCCUCUUUAAACCGGACAUGCAUCAUACUUGAAUGUGCAUAAUGCCAUGUUUAUGCUUGUGCAUUUACCAUGUUGUUUGCUUCUUUCUGGUGUUGCUUCUUAGUUUCAUAACGUUGCGAUUGUGAGGACCCGUUCGACUACGUUGAGUCGUCUACUUCUUUUCGAUCUUCUUCCUUGCGGGAUCUCAGGCAAGAUGACCAUUACCCUCGAUAUCACUUCUAUCUUUGCUUGAUAGUUGCUUCGUUCUAUCACUAUGCUGUGCUACCUAUCACUUGUUUGCCAUGCCUCCCAUAUUGCCAUGUCAAGCCUCUAACCCACUUUCCUAGCAAACCGUUGUUUGGCUAAGUUACCGCUUUUUCUCAGCCCCUCUUAUAGUGUUGUUAGUUGCAGGUGAAGUUGAAGAUUGCCCCAUGUUGGAACAUGAUUAUGUUGGGAUAUCACAAUAUCUUUUAUUUAAUUAAUGCAUCUAUAUACUUGGUAAAGGGUGGAAGGCUCGACCUUUUGCCUGGUGUUUUGUUCCACUCUUGCCGCCCUAGUUUCCGUCAUACCGGUGUUAUGUUCCUUGAUUUUGCGUUCCUUACGCGGCUGGGUUUAUGGGACCCCCUUGACAGUUCGCUUUGAAUAAAACUCCUCCAGCAAGGCCCAACAUUGGCUUUACAUUUGCCUAACAAACCCAAUAACUUUCCCUUGGGCAGGCCAACCCAAGGGUCAUCUUUAUUUUAAACCCCCCCGGGGCCAGUGCUUCUCUAAGUGUUGGUCCGAACCGAGCCGCCUGCGGGGCCACCUCGAGGAAACUUGAGGCCUGGUUUUACUCGUAGCCUGUCUCAUCCCGUGUGCCCUGAGAAUGAGAUAUGUGCAGAUCCUAUCGAGAUUUGUCGGCACAUUCGGGCGGUCUUGCUGGUCUUGUUUUACCAUUGUUGAAAUGUCUUGUAACCGGGAUUCCGAGACUGAUCGGGUCUUCCCGGGAGAAGGAAUAUCCUUCGUUGGUCGUGAGAGCUUAUAAUGGGCUAAGUUGGGACACCCCUGCAGGGUAUAAACUUUCGAAAGCCGUGCUCGCGGUUAUGUGGCAGAUGGGAAUUUGUUAAUGUCCGAUUGUAGAGAACUUGACACUUGACUUAAUUAAAAUGCAUAAAUCGCGUGUAUAGCCGCGAUGGUCUCUUUUCGGUGGAGUCCGGGAAGUGAACACGGUCUUUUUGUUAUGUUUGUGCGUAAGCAGUUUCAGGACCACUUCUUGAUCACUUCUAGCUUCUCGACCGUUCCGUUGGUUCUCUUCUCGCUCUUAUUUGCGUAUGUUAGCCACCAUAUUUGCUUAGUGCUUGCUGCAACUCCACCUCAUUACCACUUCCUACCCAUAAGCUUAUAUAGUCUUGAUCUCGCGAGUUUUGAGAUUGCCGAGUCCUCGUGACUCACCAGAUACUAUCACAACAGUUGCAGGUGCCGAUGAUAACAGUGCAGGUGAUGCAACCGAGCUCGGAUGGGAGCUCAACGAAGAUCUUGGUCGUUGCUAUGUUUCGUUUCAUGUUGAUCAGUAGUGGAGCCCAGUUCGGACGAUCGGGGAUCUAGCAAUUGGGGUUAUCUUCUUUUCUAUGUGUGUGCUCUGAAUGAUGUAUGAUUUAUUUAAGUAUUUGUGUGAAGUGGCGAUUGUAAGCCAACUCUUUAUCCCAUUCUUGUUCAUUACAUGGGAUUGUGUGAAGAUGACCCUUCUUGCGACAAAACCACCAUGCGGUUAUGCCUCUAAGUCGUGCCUCGACACGUGGGAGAUAUAGCCGCAUCGUGGGUGUUACAAGUUGGUAAUCAAAGCCAGCCCCAACUUAGGAGCCCCCUGCUUGAUCGAAUCACUUGCGUUGUUGAGUCUAGAACAAAAAUGUUUUGCAUCUUAGGAUUAUAUAUAUCAGAGAGUAGGAUUCUUUUUACUCCUCAGUCCCUUCGUCGCUCUGGUGAGGCCUCCUGACGUAGAGGUUUUGUCUUUUCUCUCCUCAAAUUUCACUAAUUUUUUUUAGGAUCACACGGGUAUCUUGGGAUCGUUCCGAUAUUCCUGUGACGAGAACAUUGUUCUUGGUGCCUCUUGACAUUUAGGGGUUGUGGCAGUGUCCCGGGGAGCUGAGCUCCAAAGUGUUGUCGUCACAAUUUUAUCAUUGCGGUUCUGGAAUACCCGAGUUUUGCCGACAUCGAAAAUCUCUUUUAUGCAGUUGUUGGUGAUAUAACCUCGACGCCACCCAGUACUGGGGCGGGAGUUCGGGAGUAUCGCCAUAACUCGUAUAACGGAUGCUUUUCGAAGGUUGAGGUACACGAUUUCCGAAGGUUUCUUGGUUAUGUGUUAACGGAUGGAUACAACUUGGAUGUAGGUAUUGUUAGUUUGGGUGAGAUAUUUAUUGCUUCCCCUGUAUCCCCAACACCAUAUUGCAUAACUAGAAAGUUUCGGGAGUUUUAUAGGUGGGAAUUCAAGUAGCUCCCAGAAUAUCUUUACAACAGAUGCAUGAUAUGAGAUUGGGGUUCGACGUCUAGUGGUCCGCCUAUCCACGGUCGUUUUUAUAGUGGUCUCGUUGUGUCUUAAAGAGCCCUUGGCUAUGCUGGUUCAAGGACGCUUCGUAUGUCAUGUGCACUGCCUUGUACAUGAUGGUGCUGUACGAUCGAGCCCGUGUGGGCCCCACCACGAAAACUUUAGACGAAAUCUCUAUCAUAUGUUUGUUUUCAGCUUAUUCUGCAAGCCAAAUCCUUUGUUUUAUUUUAUUUGUGGUAUUCGAGUUGCUUCGGAGUCAAAUCUUGAAUCCAUACCUUUCCUAAACAGUGUUGUCAUAUUGCUAUGUGAAUACUAAUCCUUCUUGAUAAUUGAGGUUGUCAUGCUAAUUCUUUACCAACCGGUGUGCUUCUAUUCAAGUGGAUCCGAUCAUUUCAACAUUUUCCAUAUCAAUUCUAAGUUUUCUCAACGGUAUCCAUUCAAUCUGCCCUAAGUUGCCUUUGUUUUUUUCCCGCCCACCCUUUUCUGCAAGGGCUCAUAUAUUUUAAUCAAGUAUCCAUUUAUUCAUGUGAAGUCUCUUCACUCUUUUCAAUCAAUGUUCUUAUCCGGUGAUUCUCAGGAAGAUACUAAAGAGCUUCUAUUUUAUUAUUCUUCAUUCUCUUUUCUUCUCCGGUGGAUUAAUUUCAAGUUUCGGUGUUGAUCAUAUCUCUUCCUUUUGUUUCACAUAUGUUCCCAUGUGAAUUUUUUAUCCAAGGCUCUCUUAUUUAUUCACCUCUCCCAGUUCAUAUCCGGAGUGCUCAAGAUAACUCAGAAGAUUCGUGUUUUCCAUUCUUAAUCUGUUCAAGCUAUUUGGAGAUUAUUAUCUCAUUCAAGUCAUUUAAUUCAAUCGGUGCAAUCCCCCCUUUCAAGCAAGCCUUCAACGAUGUUUAUUUCGAGUGGGCCCUAACCCACAGGUCUUCUCCCAGGAUCUUACCCGACUCUUCUAAUUUUCUUGGAGCCAUUGCCAAAUUCUUUUCGAAGUUUGACGUGAGAAUGAUUUUUCAUCAGUCAGAUGUCUUCUACAAGACCGCUUUCAAAUUCUUUUGAUCGUUGGUUCAACCUUUCUAUUCUUCAUCCCGGCGUGUCUCAACAAUUCAUGGUGGUUCUCAUCUCCAUUCUCAACAUUUGAAGACCGAAGAAGGAUUUCUCUUAAAUCUUGCUCCAUUCGCUUCAAAAUUCAUGGUUCUAGCUUCAUGCCAUCCUCAUAAUUGUUUUUGAUUGUGACAAUUCUUUUCUUACCAUCCGGAGUAUUUCAGGAGUUGCUUCCUUUCUCGAUCAUCCAAAGACCAUCAUUUCUGGAUAUUACUCAUUCUCAGCCUUCAGCUCUUGUUCUCCAAAUCUUACCGGUGGAUCGUUCAAGUAUACUCUUUAGUCGGCUCAUGAUCUCUUCGUUCUCAUGUACCUAAAUCCCCUCAAGUAUCUUCAUUCGUUUUCCAAUUUUUCCCGGUGAAUUGUGCCUUUGCUACUUUCAUUUUCGAUUCUUACGGUGGUUUGUUCAAGAUUUCACUUCAUUCAUUAUCAUAUCAAUUCAUUCGUUGUUUCCAAAUCCCACCGGUGGUUCCAUCAAUAGCUUCUCAACUUUGCACUAUAUCUCUCUUAAUCCUUUCUACGAGAAUAAGUAGUAUGCCAAAUCUGUUGCUUGUCAUCAAUUUAAAUUGGUGAAGUAUACGCAUAACGUAAUUCUUAUUAUUGUUCCAUCCAAGUGUCCACUUUUCUUCUUUCCAGAGUUGUUCAUCAUGUCACAUUUCCUGGUUCGAGAUGUUUCAUCUUUUCUUUUCCGGAGUUCCAAGUUUUCCGCUUUAUCUCGUCGGGAAGCUCCAUCCAGAUCAUCGCAAGGCUUCACCUUGUGUUUUCAACUUCUCUUCUUUCCAUCAUCCUUUUAUUACCGGAGUUCUCCAUGGAGGCUCUACAUGGUGGUUCGUCAAGGAUUCUUUUCAUUCUUCAAUUGUUCUUCAAGAUUUCUCUCGAAGUUAUGACCUGCCAAGCUUUGCUCUAAAAUAAACAUGGUGUUCAGCACAUGUCUUAUUUUGAGGAGUUCAAAUAUUCUUCAUCUUGCAUUCCAAAGUGCAAUUCCUUGUACUUUAUCUUCGAGAUGGCGUUAUGCCAUUCUUGACAAUUUCCAUUCAUGUUUCUCGAUUCACAUGUUGUCAAGAAUGAGGUAUUUUAAACCCAUCAUUUUCUUCCUUGGAGUUAUCUUGGUAAAGAUUUCACCUAAAAGCCUUCCAGAAGGAAUGUUGCUAAUUGUGGUGCUUAUCAAUGACCCAAGUUCUCCAAUUAUCAUCUUGGUGAAAGAAGUUUCUCUUAUCUUCAUUGAUCUCAACCAAUCAAUUGUUUCUGUUAGUGGCGGGUUGUCACCUCAUCAUUUUGAGAUGUUUUCCAUAAGACCAUAAUAAGCUUGUGCUUUUCGUUGUUGGUUUUCCAACAAAUCCGUUCAAUUCUUAUUUGCAAGGAUGCUUUCCAAGUUCAUUUGUGGCAGAAGAUUUCAUUUUAUUCUCCGUCCCUUUAUCCCAACAAUCUAGGUUCUAUUCUUUCGUUCCGGAGGCAUUGUGAUGUUGCUCUCUUCACUCAUCUUCUCGUAUUGAGGAUCAUGUUCUUUUCGUGCUUAUCCAUUUAACCAGAGUGUUGUGUCAUCUCUUCAAGUUCUUUCAUCUUAUCAAGUCUUGCAUCUCUUUUCAACCGGAGUGCUUGCAUGUACUUCUUGUCCAUUGUAACCCUUUUCUUAUGUCUUUCGACCCCCAAGGUUCACAUGGUGUUCCUUGUUUCUCUUUUCUAUCGGAGUGCUACCAAUUUCGUUCAACUCUGUUGUGUUCUUCUUUCAACUUUUCAACCUCUCAAGGUUCAUUGGUUUCACUUAUUGGUCGAAGAAGCAACUUAGUUUUACCUGUUUUCUUUCUCUUCCGUUUCUCUCCGGUGCCAUCCUAGAUCUCGGGACAAGAUCCUCUUGUAGUGGUGGAGUGUUGUAACACCCCAGAUCUAACAUUCCAUAUUUGUAACUCCAACUCUUGCCAUUUCCGGCUAUUUGAUGUGUUAUUCCCUUUGGGGUUGGGUGUUGUCUUUCGUUUAACUUUUUGUUCAUGUCAUGCAUUUCAUCAUGUCAUCAUUUGCAUUGCAUCGGCACUUCGUUGCCGCCAUUUUUAUAAAACCCGCAUCCGUUCGUAGUUGCCGGUUCGCCCCAUCCUCUUCAUUGACCUUUCUCAAUACCCUCGCGUGCGCGUCCGAAAACUUCCCCGAACCUGACCCGAACAGUCGUGACUAUUGGUUUUGAAUCAUCCCCAAACAUCCCCUUGACCCGGAGCCGUUCGAUGAUGAUCGGACGCCCUAAAAUACUCCCUCAUUUUGUCUAUCUCUAUAAAUAAGUGGAAACCCUAAUUUCUAGGGGAUAUGUCCCGCAGCGCCCCAGCUCCCUGCCUCCCGUGCUCGUCCCCGAGCAAGCAGCUCAAUGCCUCGCCGGCCACCGCUGAACCAACAGAUGAGCGUCGUCGCUCUCUCCCUUGUUCCUCCUCCCUCCCGUGGCUUCCUCUGCCUCUCAUCCAUCCUCUCCUUCUCUAUACAGGUGCUCCCCGCGCCAUGGAAGCCACCGUAGGCCUCCAUGUCGAGCUCCGCUGCCCCUGGAUCUCCUCUCCCGGUGGAUCUACUCGAGCCCUGCCCAGAGCAGCCAAGCCACCGGUGAGCUCCUCCGCCGUGCGCACCCCCAACUCCUCUCCAUCUCUCUGAAUGCGCUCCCUCGCUAUCUUUCUUCCAUAGGGAACUGACGCCGCCCCUCAGCUCUGCCCGCGCCGUUGUUGCCCAGAUCUAGCGCGAGCCAGUCGGAUCCGCCCCGUCUCCACCUCGCCGGCCUUCCCUGCAGCCUGUCGUCGCUCCCCUUCAAGUCCCACGCCGUUGUUGCCGUCCCCUGCUUCCCAUCGCGAGCUCCAGCGCCGCUGCUCCUCCGUUUUUUGUCGAACAGAGAGCGACACGCCUGUAGCCUCCCCGCCUCGCGCGUCUGGGCCACUUCCAGCGCCAGCAAGGCCCAGCACUACGCCAAGCCCAGUUUCCCCCGCCGGCCUGCUUCUUCGCCUGGGCCAUGGCCCGCUAAGGUGAUGCCCGCUCUCUGCUAACCCUCGCCCAGAUCCAGAUUCGGCCCGUGUAGGUUUUUUUCUAGCAUCUGUGAAUUUGCUAAUUAACCAGGGAAUUACAGAUUUGCAGAAAAGUCAUUGCACAUCAUGCAUAUAAUAACUCAUUAACCGUGCAUCAGAUUAAAAUGAUUCAAACAUGUAAAAUGCUUAGAAUUUUGUGUAGAUUAUUAAUUUGCAAUUUUCAUCCAUGUUUGAAAUGUUUAAAAUGUUGUUUGUUUAAAUUUGCUCAAAUGCCAUGCUAAAAUGAUUUAUUUCAUAACUAAAUAAUCGUAGCCCGAAUUAAAUAAACUAUAUAUGUAAAUUGUCUAGACAAAUGCAUAGAUUAACUUGGUGCACUUUAUUUUCCUGUUUAACAACAUGAAAAAUAUGGUUUAGGGCAGAAUAGUAGCAAAUUAGUCAUGUGGACACCGGAAUUGUUGUUUGUUAUUUCUGGCCUCAUUUAAAUUGCCUAAAUAUUUAGUUUACUUAUAUUUCACCUCUUGCCAUGUUUAACAACAUUUAAUAUUAUUGUACUUUAAUGAGAGCGAACUAAAUAACUUGAAUGUGGUGUUUCGUCAAUAUGCAACUCGUUGCAUAUUGAGCUCCAUUUAACUUGUAGUGUUGCUUGUUGCACUUUGCCAUGUCAUGCCUCUUUAAACCAGACAUGCAUCAUACUUGAAUGUGCAUCAUGCCAUGUUUAUGCUUGUGCAUUUACCAUGUUGUUUGCUUCUUUCCAGUGUUGCUUCUUAGUUCCGUAACGUUGCGAUUGUGAGGACCGGUUUGACUAUGUUGAGUCGUCUACUUCUUUUCGAUCUUCUUCCUUGCGGGAGCUCAGGAAAGAUGACAAUUACCCUCGAUAUCACUUCUAUCUUUGCUUGCUAGUUGCUUCGGUCUAUCGCUAUGCUGCACUACCUAUCACUUGUUUGCCAUGCCUCCCAUAUUGCCAUGUCAAGCCUCUAACCCACUUUCCUAGCAAUCCGUUGUUUGGCUAAGUUACCGCUUUUGCUUAGCCCCUCUUAUAGCGUUGUUAGUUCCAGGUGAAGUUGAAGAUUGCUCCAUGUUGGAACAUGAUUAUGUUGGGAUAUCACAAUAUCUUUUAUUUAAUUAAUGCAUCUAUAUACUUGGUAAAGGGUGGAAGGCUCGGCCUUUUGCCUGGUGUUUUGUUCCACUCUUGCCGCCCUAGUUUCCGUCAUACCGGUGCUAUGUUCCUUGAUUUUGCGUUCCUUACGCGGCUGGGUUUAUGGGACCCCCUUGACAGUUCGCUUUGAAUAAAACUCCUCCAACAAGGCCCAACAUUGGUUUUACAUUUGCCUAACAACCCACUAACUUUCCCUUAGGCAGGCCAACCCAAGGGUCAUCUUUAUUUUAAACCCCCCGGGCCAGUGCUUCUCUAAGUGUUGGUCCGAACCGAGCCCCCUGUGGGGCCACCUCGGGGAAACUCGAGGUCUGGUUUUACUCGUAGCCUGUCUCAUCCGGUGUGCCCUGAGAACGAGAUAUGUGUAGGUCCUAUCGGGAUUUGUCGGCACAUUCAGGCGGUCUUGCUGGUCUUGUUUUACCAUUGUCGAAAUGUCUUGUAACCAGGAUUCCGAGACUGACCGGGUCUUCCCGGGAGAAGGAUUAUCCUUUGUUGGUCGUGAGAGCUUAUAAUGGGCUAAGUUGGGACACCCCUGCAGGGUAUAAACUUUCGGAAGCCGUGCCGCGGUUAUGUGGCAGAUUGGAAUUUGUUAAUGUCCGGUUGUAGAGAACUUGACACUUGACUUAAUUAAAAUGCAUCAACCGCGUGUGUAUCCGUGAUGCUCUCUUUUCGGCGGAGUCCGGGAAGUGAACACGGUCAUUGUGUUAUGUUUGUGCGUAAGCAGUUUCAGGAUCACUUCUUGAUCACUUCUAGCUUAUAGACCGUUCCGUUGCUUCUCUUCUCGCUCUUAUUUGUGUAUGUUAGCCACCAUAUUUGCUUAGUGCUUGCUGCAACUCCACCUCAUUACCACUUCCUACCCAUAAGCUUAUAUAGUCUUGAUCUCGUGGGUUUUGAGAUUGCCGAGUCCUCGUGACUCACCAGAUACUAUCACAAUAGUUGCAGGUGCUGAUGAUACCAGGGCAGGUGAUGCAACCGAGCUCAGAUGGGAGCUCAACGAUGAUCUUGGUCGUUGCUAUGUUUCGUUUCAUGUUGAUCAGUAGUGGAGCCCAGUUGGGACGAUCGGGGAUCUAGCAAUUGGGGUUAUCUUCUUUUCUUUUGGCUUUGUCCGUAAUCGGACUAUGUGUGUGCUCUGAAUGAUGUAUGAUGUAUUUAAGUAUUUGUGUGAAGUGGCGAUUGUAAGCCAACUCUUUAUCCCAUUCUUGUUCAUUACAUGGGAUUGUGUGAAGAUGACCCUUCUUGCGACAAAACCACCAUGCGGUUAUGCCUCUAAGUCGUGCCUCGACACGUGGGAGAUAUAGCCGCAUCGUGGGUGUUACACCUUGGUUCUCAAACUAAGGGAAAUACUUACUCUACUUUGCGGCAUCACCCUUUCCUCUUCAAGGGAAAAACCAACGCAAGCUCAAGAGGUAGCAGGAAGAAUUUCUGGCGCCAUUGCUGGGGAGAUCUACGCCAAGUCAAGCCAUACCAAGUACCCAUCAUAAACUCUCAUCUCUUGCAUUACAUUAUUCGCCAUUCGCCUCUCGGUUUCCUCUCCCCCACCUCUAAAACGAUUUUCGAAAAGAUUUGGCUUUUCUUCGUCCUUCUUCUGUUUGCCUUUUCCGCUUGCUUCUUGUGUGCUUGUGUGUUCGAUUGCUUGCUUUGUCAUGAUGGCUCAAGAUAAUACUAAAUUGUGUGACUUAUCCAACACCAACAACAAUGAUUUUAUUAGUACUCCGAUUGCUCCCACUACCAAUGAUGAAUCUUGUGAAAUUAAUGACGCUUUGCUGAAUUUUGUUAUGAAAGAUCAAUUUUCUGGCCUUCCUAGUGAAGAUGCCGCAUCCCAGCUAAACAAUUUCGUUGAUUUGUGUGAUAUGCAAAAUAAGAAAGAUGUGGAUAAUUGUUAAAUUGAAGCUAUUUCCGUUUUCGCUUAGAGACCGUGCUAAAACUUGGUUUUCAUCUUUGCCUAAAAAUAGUAUUGAUUCGUGGAAUAAGUGUAAAGAUGCUUUCAUCUCUAAGCAUUUUCCACCCGCUAAGAUCAUCUCCCUUAGGAACGAUAUUAUGAAUUUUAAGCAACUUGAUCAUGAGCAUGUUGCACAAUCUUGGGAGAGGAUGAAAUUGAUGAUACGAAAUUACCCUACACAUGGUUUGAGUUUAUGAACGAUUACACAAAAAAUUAUGCCGUACUACUUCAGGAUGCUACUAACGCGACACUAUGAUCAGAGACCCUUCGAGGAAACUGUGUGCGAUGCAAUACUCGCAAACGGUGGUGUAAAAAACUGUCAAAAAGGUGCAAAACGUUUGUGAUGACGGAUGCAUCAAACACGGUUUAGAUUUUGGUUGCUGUGUGAUGCAGGGCAUGCGGUUCAGUUAAAUUAACUUUUUGCGAUGAGGAUGAACAAAACAAACGGGAUGCCAGAUGAAUGUGUGUGCGAUAUACAACAUACGCUUCACUCGGAUGAACUGUUUGUGAUUAGGCAACACAAAAGAAACGGUCAGCCAGAUCAAGGUGUGUGCGAUAUACGACAUGCGGUUCACUCGGAUGAACUGUUUGCGUUGAGACAAGAGAACAGAAAUGGUUCAAUAUAACAAGAUGUGUGUCUUACGCAGCAAACAGAUCUGUAAUCAGAAAUGUGUGCGAAGACCGAUAAUAACACAGAUAAUUGCUUCUAAUAAGACAUAUGUGAUAUGCUCUGUCUACACAACAUCUAUUGGCCAUUGGGGGUCGGGCAGUCAUCUGGAUACGCGAUAAGGAUGCGAAGAGGCAUCCCAUAUUAGCAAGGACUAGCUGUUCCACCAGUAGCUCAUGUAAGAGAACUCUCAAGUUAAGCGUGCUCAGGCUGGAGCAGCCAUCAGAUGGGUCACUGGAUGGGAAGUUGUGUUGAUGUUAAAUUAACUGAUAGGAUGGGUCAUGUCUGUCAAAUUAAAUGACUGAUAUGACCCAUCCCAUGAGUUAAUUUAACCUCGAGGUCCUUGUUUUUUAUUUUUAUUUUAUUUUUUUAAUGCAUGUUAAAGAAGGUCUACUUCAUUACUUUUUGACAAUGUGUAUACGUGGCAUAUAGUUUAUCCAUCCGACCUGUUUGUGAUGGAAUAAGCCAUGUGUGUUGUGGGCAAAUGCUUGCUAGUGUACAACCAUUUGCGAUUGAUGAAUUCAUCACCGACGGGUUCCCUAGUGUGGUCCGUGUUCAUCUCAUCAUCAUCUACUCCUUGUGCUAGCUCGAUGUUCCUUAUAUGCUAAGUUUCCAUUAAUUGAUGGCGUUUUAUGAACACACCACCGCUUCCCGCCAUUUCCUCACCAGUUUCCCACGACCCACUGAUAUUGCACAUAAACCUAGGCACGGUGCGAUGCGUGGAGGCAACAAGCACAGCCUGUAGCACAUCCACCUUUUCCAAGCAUGCGAACCUACCAAAGCGCCGCCUCUGCCAUCAACCUCAUCGAUGAGGAAAACCAGAAUGCGCCAUGACCCGUUGAGGCUGCGGCGCUCCCCGGCAACGCGAUGGACGACGUCAUGAUGUGUGUCAUCGCCAGCGUUGAGCAGACCCUUGGUGCAUGGCGCUUCAGCGUCGCUGAUCAAGAUAGGCAUGUCAGUGCCGAGAGGUUGCAGCUUGCCGCACAACAUGAUCGAUGGCGCGCCACAGAGAAAGCUAGGUGCAUCCCGUGCCGAUAGGCUGCUGCUCACCGCACGGCGAUACCGUUGGAGCGCCGCAGAGCAAGAGGCGCGGCACACCGCACAGCAAGAGCGGAUCCAUCGGCGCUUGCGUGCUGUCGACAGGGUAUUGCAGCUGGGUACACGUCCCGUCAGUACCCCCAUUCCUCGCUAGGAGUGGGCACAUGCCCUCUGCGCUAUACUUGCACCAGAGGCCGCCUGCACCGUACUUGCACCGGAUGCCCGCCGUGCCGUUUGCUUGGGUCACGCUGUUCGCCUUGUCUGUGGCCCGCUCAAUGCCAACACGUUGGUCGGUAGGCUCGACCGCCUCCUUGGCCCAGGUGUCCACCUGGGCGCAAUAGAGGAACAUGGCGUCGCAUCGUCGAGGUGGUGAUCUCUGAUGAAGUAGCCAACUUGGAGCUCGAGAUCGCGCUCCAGAUGUACCGCGAGCGUGUCGAAUGCUUGGACGAAUGCCUGCAUGAGUUCAGGCAGAGCCAAGAACUACCGUAGGCAAGGGCUGCUGGUCAUGGUCUCAUGGAAUCCUUUUAUUUUGUUGAGUCAUUUCGACGUGGAUAACUAUGUAUUCACAGCAAUCAUAGUAUUUCUCUGUUUAUUGCUCUGUUUCAAUGUGUGUACUCUGUUUUCCGUUCUUAUAUGUUCUGUUUCAAUGUGUGCUUAUACACUUACCAUUCUUCAUUAGUUCAUCACAGAAUAUAUAUAAUAUCAUCACAUAUAUGUGAUGAUACUUAACUACCAGGUACAAUGCAUAAAGUUGAGAACGAACAAUACUAAAACUAAUAAUCCCUCCUGGGGCCAGUAUUCCGACAGCCCCCGCCAGCAGCUCCCUGGUACGCGGUGUCUUCCCAGCGCGGAGGUAGUAAUCCGCUUCCUCCGCCUUGCAGCGCUUGACGUAACGAUCUGCCUCUUGCAGGCGAACGAUCUUGCCAUUUUGUUGGAUGCCCACUGGAGCUCCUUGUCGGUGGCAGGCUGGAGCUUAUCGGCCCACCUCCACGCAGCGAUGAGGCGCCUAGUGCCUUUGGCCUUCCUCACGAAGUACCCGUCUUUAUACACCUCCUCCGCAUGAUGACACGCCCGCCCCCAAUGCUCCACCGCCUCCUUUUUCCAGGCGGCAUCACGGGCUUCACAGGCUGCCUGGUACCUAGCAUCCUCCUCCGCCAUCUCCUUCUCGAAAGUCACUUGCCUGGCUUUCUCAGUCGGCGGCAGCGACUUCUAAAGACAAAGAUCGUCAGUACAAAAAAAAGACACAUCCAUGACAUUUUGGGCCGAAUGAAUUUUUUCUGUCAUACUUAUGACACUUCUAUGACGAUAAUUAUGAAAAACCCUGUAUCAUCAUAGAUGUGGUGGGCUCCUACUUCUAGGAGAAAAAAUCAUGACAGAAAAUGGGCUUUUUGUCCUGGGCGGGCCGGAGACGCACCUACAUGACAUUCUUUGGGCUGUCCAUGAUGGAAAAAAUCAUUGUAGAAGCGAGGGCGAGGAAAAUUUCGGGGACUUCCCGAUUACGGUGGGUGGUCGGGGCCGAGGAAUGCAUGGAGGUUUGUGCGUUUCUCUCGUAUACGUACGCGCAUGUGAACCCGAGCGAUUGCACUAGCUACAUUACUGAACCCUGAUCGAUCCCUUGCUGUUAACUAAACCCGAUCGAGCGAUUCCUUCACCACUGCUGCUAACUGAAGCCGAUCAAACCUACUGCCUCCUUCCCUUGAUGAACAAUCAGCGUUGUUGGGAAGGGGGGGGGGUUGGAUGAACAGUUCCUAGUGGGGGGUUGGAUGAACAGGACCCCGUGGUAGUUGAGGCCGUUGCCGCUGGAUGAACAGUACCCCGAUUGAUCAAGCCGGUUGGGUGUGGAUGAACAGGACCCUGUGGGGGCUGGAUGAACAGGACGACCCCGUGGAGGGCUGGUUGAACAGUAGCCGGUGGAGGGCUAGAUGAACAUUAGCCCGUGGAGGGGUGGUUGAAUAGAACCCCAUGGAGAGGGCUGGUUGAAUAUUAGCUGGUGGAGGAGCGGUGGAGUCUGGAUGAACAGGAGCCCGUGGAUGAACAGUUGCAGGUGGAGGCUGGAGGAGGUCAACGAUGGAUGAACAGUAGCUCGUGGAGGCUGGAGGAGGUCGAUGGUAGAGAUGAACAGUAGCCCAUAGUCCCAUUUUGUGGUACUCCACACCCCUCCCGAUGAAUAGGACCCCCGUUUCGACCGUAGCGCUCCAACACAAGUCUGUUUCCUCCGUUUUGCGGUACGCCACACCCCUCCCGAUCAAUAGGACCCUGUUUCAAACGUAGGCACUUGGACACAAGUCUGUUUUCUCCGUUUUGCGGUACGCCAGACCCCUCUCGAUGAACAGAAUCCCGUUUUGACUCUGGGCGAUCGAACAGAAGGCCGUUUCCUCCAUUCUGCGGUACGCCAGACCUCGUUUCGAUAGGCUAUUCCGUCCAAGUCGGUUGCCUCCCGAUGAACACGACGACACAGUUUCUCCACUCCGACCCAGGCGGUUGGCUGCCCGUGAACAGGACGCCGUCGCUGCCUCUCCAUGUACAAGAGCCCUAGCCAUACGUAUGCGUGAGUAGGCGUUCGAGACCCCGCCCGUAUGUAUGUAUGUGGCCGUAUUUACUUUCUUGCAGACUGGCUGUACGUAUGUGUACAUGCUACGUGCGCGCCUCUACUAUGACAUGUGCGCGCCUCUACUACGACAUGUGCGCGCCUCUACUAUGACACGUGCCCUUCCUUACUCGGCCAUGGUUCAUCGUUGCAGCAUGCAGACAGACCGAUCGACCAGUAUGUACAUACAUGUUCGCGACCAGAAUGACAACGCUACGUAUGCUUCGACCAGGUGGGUCCCGACUGUUAGGCAUUUCCUUGCAUGCGAAGAUGUAGCUUGUGGGUCCCAGCAGUCAGGGGGGAAACAUUUUUUUCGCGAAAUAUGGUGGCCCGUCCGAUGGGUCCCCACUGUCAAGUGGAGGAAUAAUUAUUUUACACGUAAUAAGGUUGCACUUCCUUGCUGCGGCCAUGGACCCAGCUGCCGGCCUCUCCACAUACAGUACUCUUCCGAUGGAAGUCAUUCCUUGACCACAUUGACCACGCCGCGCCGAGAGCACCAAGGCGGUGGAUGAGGUGAGGCCUAGGAAGGGGACAACACGGAGCUGGGGAAGACGCGGCUGUGGAUGCCCACGCGGAGAGGAGUACGAGGGUUGAUGGGUUCGGCUGUGGUGUGAGGCUGCUGUCGCCGCAGAAUAACAGGGGUUGUGGGUGAGUGGAGGGAUGGCCUGGCUAGAGGUUGGAGUAGGGUGGGGUGGUCAGACCUGCACGGCAGCAGAGCCGACCACCGGAGGCAAGAGCAGGCGGCAUGAUAGGCGCUGGUUUGGGCGGCUGGAGCAAGAAGACCAAAGGUUGAAGAAGCACUACGGCCGUUGGAUGGACAUCGUACAUUCAUUGGAGCUAAAAAAAUCGUUCAUAUUGACUAAGUUGACAAAGCCCUCUGUCCGCAUCAACUUAGUAGGCCCACAAGUCAGCCUCCCACUAUGGUGGGUCCCAGCUAGCAGGGGGAGUAUUCUUUUUUUAAUAAGGAGGCACUUUCUUGCGUGCAAAGGUAUAGCUGGUGGGUCCGAUCUGUUAGCGGGAGGAACAUUUUUUUCAUGAAAUUUAGAGGCCCUUCCAGUGGGUCCUAGCUGUUAGGUGGAGGAAUCAUUAUUUUGCGCAUAAUAAGGAGGCACUUCCUUGCGUGCGGCCGUGGACCCACUGUCAGCCUCUCCACAUACAAUCGUCUUCCGAUGGAUGUCAUUUGUUGACCACAUUGACUAUGCCGCCGAGAGAACUAGGGUGGUGGACGAUGGUGAGGCCCCAGACUGCAAUGACCCAGAGAAGCCCCACUGUUUUCACGUAAUAAGGAGGCACUUGCUUGUGUGGGUCCCUGAUACAUCUCCAACGUAUCUACUUUUCCAAACACUUUUGCCCUUGUUUUGGACUCUAACUUGCAUGAUUUGAAUGAAACUAACCCGGACUGACGCUGUUUUCAGCAGAAAUACCAUGAUGUUGUUUUAUGUGUAGAAAAGAAAAGUUCUUGGAAUGACCUGCAAAUCCACGGAGGGACUUUUCAGCAUUAAUAAGAAUUUUUGGCGAAAGAAUCAGGGCCAGGGGGCCCAAGGCCUGUCCAUGAGAAUGGGGGGCGCCCCCCCCUAGGGCACGCCCCCUAUCUCAUGGGCCUCCUGGACCUCCUCCGACCUCAACUCCGACUCCAUAUAUACCGUCUCGCGGAGAAAAAAUCAGAGAGAAAGUUUCAUCACGUUUUACGAUACGAAGCCGCCGCCAAGCCCUAAUCUCUCUUGGGAGGGCUGAUCUGGAGUCCGUACGGGGCUCCGGAGAGGGGGAUUCAUCGCCGUCGUCAUCAUCAACCAUCCUCCAUCACCAAUUUCAUGAUGCUCACCGCCGUGUGUGAGUAAUUCCAUCAUAGGCUUGCUGGACGGUGAUGGGUUGGAUGAGAUUUACCAUGUAAUCAAGUUAGUUUUGUUAGGGUUUGAUCCCUAGUAUCCACUAUGUUCUGAGAUUGAUGUUGCUAUGACUUUGCUAUGCUUAAUUCUUGUCACUAGGGCCCGAGUGCCAUGAUUUAAGAUCUGAACCUAUUAUGUUUUCAUGAAUAUAUGUGUGUUCUUGAUCCUAUCUAGCAAGUCUAUAGUCACCUAUUAUGUGUUAUGAUCCGACAACCCCGAAGUGACAAUAAUCGGGACACUUCUCGGUGAUGACCGUAGUUUGAGGAGUUCAUGUAUUCACCAUGUGUUAAUGCUUUGGUCCGGUUCUCUAUUAAAAGGAGGCCUUAAUAUCCCUUAGUUUCCACUAGGACCCCGCUGCCACGGGAGGGUAGGACAAAAGAUGUCAUGCAAGUUCUUUUCCAUAAGCAUGUGUGACUAUUUACGGAAUACAUGCCUACAUUACAUUGACGAACUGGAGCUAGUUCUAUAUCACCCUAUGUUAUAACUAUUGCAUGAGGAAUCGCAUCUGGCAUAAUUAUCCAUCACUGAUCCAUUGCCUACGAGCUUUUCAUAUAUUGUUCUUCGCUUAUGUACUUUUCCGUUGCUACUGUUACAACUAUUACAAAAACCCAAAAACAUUUAUAUUUACUGUUGCUACUGUUACCAUUACUAUCAUACCACUUUUGCUACUAAAUACUUUGCUGCAGAUACUAAGUUAUCCAGGUGUGGUUGAAUUGACAACUCAACUGCUAAUACUCAAGAAUAUUCUUUGGCUCCUCUUGUGUCGAAUCAAUAAAUUUGGGUUGAAUACUCUACCCUCGAAAGCUGUUGCGAUCCCCUAUACUUGUGGGUUAUCAAGACUAAUUUCUGGAGCUGUUGCCAGGGAGCAUAGCUCUAUUCUCUGAGUCACUUGGUAUUUAUAUCUGUUGAUCACUAUGAAGAACUUGAAAGACGCUAAGACCAAGAUUUUGCCCUCAACUACGAGGGGAGGUAAGGAACUGCCAUCUAGCUCUGCACUAGAUUCUCCUUCCGUUAUUGAUAGGAUUGCGACACCUAAACCUGCUACUGCUAUGAAUUCUGAUAUGUCGCAUUUUAUUGAUGAUGCCACUUCUGCUAUGCAUGAUGAAACUACUUCUGUGCGUGAUACUACUUUGCCAUUAGGUGAAUUUCUUGAUGAACAAUUUGCUAGAGUUAGGGGGAAUGAAAAUAUUGAAGAACCUAUUAAUGAUGAUAGUGAUGAUGAACGUUCCCCCAAUGAUUAUGUAUUACCUGUUGUUCCUAAGGGUUAUGUUAUGAACAAAGAAGCUGCUGAAGCUAUUCUUGCUUGCAAUGAUAGAAAUGAUCUUAAGAAAUUAUUAGCUAAAUGGAAGCAACAGUCUCUUAAUGCUAGAAUGAAACCCGAUCUUGCUUUUGCUACUUCACCUAUUUGUGUUACUGAUAAGGAUUAUGAAUUCUCUGUUGAUCCUGACAUUAUUACUUUAGUUGAAUCUGAUCCUUUUUAUGGCCUUGAAUCUGAAACUGUUGUGGCACAUCUUACCAAGGUUAAUGACAUAGCCACCCUAUUUACUCAUGAUGAUAAGUCUCGCUAUUUAUAUAUCCUUAAGAUUUUCCCAUUCUCAUUAAAGGGUGAUGCUAAGACUUGGUAUAAUUCUCUUUCUCCUAGUUGUGUGCGUAGUCCCUAGGAUAUGAUUUAUUACUUCUCUGCUAAAUAUUUCCCUGCUCAUAAGAAACAAGCUGCCUUGCGAGAAAUAUAUAAUUUUGUGCAAUCCAAAGAAGAGAGUCUCCCACAAGCUUGGGGGAGGCUUCUCCGGUUGCUUUAUGCUUUGCCUGAUCAUCAUCUUAAGAAAAAUGAAAUACUUGAUAUCUUUUAUAAUGGACUAACCGAUGCUUCCAAGGACCACUUGGAUAGUUGUGCUGGUUGUGUUUUUAGGGAAAGAACAGUCGACGAAGCUGAAAUAUUAUUGAAUAAUAUGUUGACUAAUGAAAAUAAUUGGACUCUUCCCGAGCCAGUUCCUGAAGUAAUUCCUGAACCAAUUGAGCCAACUCCUGAGCCUAUUCCUAAACCCACUCCAAAGAAGAGAGGUGUUUUAUUCCCCAGUCCUGAAGAUAUGCAAGAGGCAAAGAUAUCAAUCUUUACCUAAUAAUAAAGAAAAUUGGGUUUCUGUCGUCCGUCAUUAAAAUUACCCCCGAAGUUGGCAUAAAUUACCCACUAUGCCACCCAUAAGUGGAAAAAACGGUUCGCUUCUUUUUUGAAAAUCGCGCUCGGUUUUGUGUAAUUAGAUGCCGCUACAUUUAUACAACAGGAUCACCCCGAUGGCGCAGUGGCUGUGAUCGCUGCACUGCCCGUGGGAGACCAGAGUUCGACGCCUAGCACUACCACCUUUCUUUCCUUUUUUUCUAUCGCAAACGCACAUGCUUCCCUAAUUAAUGGGUCGGCUCAGUUCUAGGUGGUAGCACAUCAUUUUCCUAUUUUGUUUUUUCCUUUUUAAUUUCUCAUUUUUCUUUUAGUUUUUCCUUUUUAAAAUUAAUUUUUGAUUUAUAAAAUAACCAAAUUUUAAAAGUUGUGAGUUUAAAAAAGUUGAGAAAUCAUAAAUUGUUUGUGAAUUCAAAAAAUAUUUGAAAACUCAUAAAAUGAUCGCGAUUACAAAAAAUUGUUCGUAUAUUACAAAAAAGAUCACGAUUUCAAAUAAAUGUCAUGAAAUGAGAAAUGCUCAUGCUUUCUAAAAUAAUAUUAUUCAAAACAUUUUCCGUUUUAAUUUCUCAUUUUUCUUUUAGUUUUUCCUUUUUAAAAUUAAUUUUUGAUUUAUAAAAUAACCAAAUUUUAAAAGUUGUGAGUUUAAAAAAGUUGAGAAAUCAUAAAUUGUUUGUGAAUUCAAAAAAUAUUUGAAAACUCAUAAAAUGAUCGCGAUUACAAAAAAUUGUUCGUAUAUUACAAAAAAGAUCAUGAUUUCAAAUAAAUGUCAUGAAAUGAGAAAUGUUCAUGCUUUCUAAAAUAAUAUUAUUCAAAACAUAUUCGGGAGUUUAAAAAAAUGUCCAUGAAAUUUUAGAAUAUGUUCACAAAAUUGAAAUAGAUCCAUAAAUAAUGAACAUAACGAACCGUCGCUUACGUUCAAGUUUUAUUAGGAGAUCUGUAGAGGUCAUUUUAUGAUUUUAUUUAGUCCCUUGCGUCGGGUAAAAAAAGGUUUUCCUAACUUGUACAACGUUGAGCCCCCUAAAAUUGACACAACUUUCUGUGGGUUACUUUUUGUAAGCUAUAUGAAACUAACUGAAUUUCUAUUUUUCCUCCGUACACAACUAUGUUUAUUCUGGCGUGAUAAUACUGAUUAUGAGAAACACUACUACUCUAGGUCAGGGUGAGACACAUCAUUUAUCAGUCUAGCUCAGACAGUGUCCAUCAAUGCAGUUUGCUCAGUGGAUUUUUUUUGUUGUGGCGUCUUAGGAGAUCAAGUCGUGAUAAGACCAUCACAUUUUUUUAAAUGACUCUUUAAAAGUAUCUUACCUCAUCAUGACAUCACUCGAGCAUAGUUUGUGAAAUGACAUUUUAAAAGUCCUGAUCUCAUCCGGGCAUUUGAUUCAGACUUUUUUUAUAUCUAUCCCACCUGUAUAAUCUAAUACUUUUACCCUCAAAAAAUCUAAUAUUUUUUCUCCCGUUGCAACGCACGGGCAAAUUUGCUAGUGAAAGAAAAAGGUAUUAAAGCUGAAGAUGUUAAGAAUUUACCUCCUAUUGAAGAAAUACAUGGUCUGAAUAUACCACCUAAAGAACCACUUUGUCCUGAUAACCGGACACAGGUAGUGAAGGUAAAUUCUCUCUAUAGAUAUGAUAAAUUUGAAAUACCCUCUACUAAAUUUCAUAGCCCAUGGUUAGAUGAAUUUGAUGACUUUAUAGCUAGACAAGAAAGUUUUAAUGCUUAUGUUGGUAGAGAGUUAAAUAAUAAUGCUUUCGAGAUAGGACGCGUAGGUGAUAAUCUGGCUAGAGUUAAAGAUGAACUUCACCGCGUUAGCAAAUAUGCUUCUAUGGUUGCUACUCAAGCUGAGCAAGUGCUCAAGGCUCAAAAUGAUUUGCUUGAGGAAUUGAAUAAUAAAAAUGACUUUGCUGUUAGAGUGGCUACUAGAACUGGUAGAAUGACUCAGGAACCUUUGUAUCCUGAAGGCCACCCUAAAAGAAUUGAACAAGAGUCUCAGAAUAAUAAUCUAGAUGUUCCUAGUUCUUCUAAGAAGAAGAAAAAGAAAAAUGAUAGGACUGUGCAAACUUCUAGUGAACCUAAUAUUGAAACACUUGAGAAUCCCAAUGAUACUUCUAUCUCUGAUGCUGAAACACAAUCCGGAGAUGAACAUGAACUUGAUGAUAAUGCUAAUAAUGAUGUUCAUGUGGAUGCUCAACCUAGUAAUAACAAUGAUGUAGAGAUUGAAUCUGCUGUUGAUCUUGAUAACCCACAAUCAAGAAACCAACGUUAUGAUAAGAGAGAUUUUGUUGCUAGGAAGCACGGUAAAGAAAGAGAACCAUGGGUUCAGAAACCCAUGCCCUUUCCUCCUAAACCAUCCAAGUCAAAGGAUGAUGAGGAUUUUGAGCGCUUUUCUGAAAUGAUUAGACCUAUUUUCUUACGUAUGCGCUUAACUGAUAUGCUUAAAGUAAAUCCUUAUGCUAAAUACAUGAAGGAUAUCAUCACAAAUAAAAGAAAGAUACCGGAAGCUGAAAUUUCCACCAUGCUUGCUAAUUACACUUUUAAGGGUGGAAUACCUAAGAAACUUGGUGAUCCCGGAGUACCCACUAUACCCUGCUCUAUUAAAAGAAAUUAUGUUAGAACUGCUUUACGUGAUCUUGGAGCCGGUGUUAGUGUUAUGCUUCUCUCUUUAUAUCUUAGACUUGAAUUGAAUAAGUUGACACCUACUGAAAUAUCUUUGCAAAUGGCUGAUAAAUCAACUGCUAUACCUGUCGGUAUUUGUGAGGAUGUGCCUGUUGUGGUUGCAAAUGUCACUAUUUUAACGGAUUUUGUUAUUCUUGAUAUUCCUGAGGACGAUAGUACGUCUAUUAUCCUUGGUUGACCUUUUCUUAAUACUGCAGGGGCUGUUAUUGAUUGCAACAAAGGCAAUGUCACUUUUCAUGUUAAUGGCAAUGAGCAUACGGUACACUUUCCGAGGAAACAAUCUCAAGUUCAUAGCAUCAAUUCUAUUGAAAAAGUUCCAACUAUCUUUUUUUGGAGGUUUUGAAUUUCCUCUCCCUACUGUCAAGAAAAAGUAUGAUAUUCUUAUUGUUGGGGAUUUUCAUAUCCCCGUUGAGGUAACUUAGUGUUAUUCGAAAUUUCUCCGGUUCCGUGUUAUUCGGAAUGAGUUUGUUAACAAGACUUGAUCAACCUUGUUAGCGGGUUCAUUUUGAUGACCACGAGAUGGACGAAACUAGAAGGCACAACCCUCUGUACCCUCUUUUUACUUUCUGUUAUUUAGAAUAAAUAAAGCAAAAAUAGUAUUAUCCAUCUGUUUUCUGAAUUAUCCGUGCAUUAAAAAAUAGUCCGAAAAUAAAAGUGCUCCAAAUGCCCUGCAAAUUUAGUAUGAUUUUUUCUGAAAUAUUUGAGGAUUUUAGGCACUGAAAACACUGCAGGAGGGGCAAGCACCAGGCCACGAGAGAGGAGGGCGCGCCCCCCUGUAGGGCGUGCCCCCUCUCUUGUGGGCCCCUGGUGGCUCCCCUCCACUUACGCCAGCACCCACACACUCCAUCUUCUACCCAAAAAAUUCCCCAUCCAGCUCAAGCACGAGUUCUAGCUCGUUUUGCUGCGAUUUUCGAUCUCUUAGCUCAAAGCUCCAUUCACAAAACUGCUUUGGGAGAUUGUUGCUUGGUAUGUGACUCCUCUAUUGAUCCAAUUAGUUUUUGUUCUAGUGCUUUAUUCAUUGCAAAUCCUUGCUGUCUUGGUGACCCUGUUCUUGAGCUUGCAUGUUAAAUUUUUGAGGUUCCAAGUAAUUCUAAUGCAUGAUAUAGGCUCUAGGCACUUGUAGGAGUAGUUGCUAUCAAUCUUGUUUAGUUUUAUGCACUUUUAUUUUGAAGUUACUAAAAUUUCAGAAAUUUUCAGAAAAAGAAAUAUGCUUGGGAGAAUGUAUGAAGGUGGUUCCUCGGCAAAGAAAGGGCCAAGGAUUGCUAUACAUGAGCAAGAUGUUGAAUUGUCGAGGAAUGCAUGUGUACGAGCCUGCGAGUGGCCAUCCGAUGAUUUUAUGAUUGAAGCAGGCUUCAAGGAGGAAUUUGACGCGUAUGUGCGUAAUGCUGAGCUGGAGGACUUCUUACAAGAUAAGUGUCCUCAGUACUCUCAAUUGACUGAUUCCUUUGUGCGGAGGUUUAAAUAUAACUGUACACGUAAUUCUCCUAGUGUCCUAUUUGAUAUUUAUGAUACAUCUUACACCAUGGACUUAGAGGAUUUUACAACUGCUUGCAAACUCCCGCAGUGGGGCAAUAUUAAUGAUCCUCCCAAAUCUGAAUUUAGAGAUUUCCUUGCGAAUAUUACUGUGGGAGAAUCUAGGGACGUAGCACAAGCUACCAUAGGGAGCAUUCAUUUUCCUGCUUUACAUUACUUUGCUCUGUUUAUUGGUAGAUGCAUUAACAGUAAGGACGAGGUAUCUCACAUGUGUGCACCUGAUAUUUGUGUCCUCAAGAGUGCUGUGUCAGGUUAUAAAGGUUAUAACUUGGGGGCAAUUGUUGCACGUAGGUUGCAGAAUAAUAGUAGAAAGGGAAAUGUCUUUGGAGGAAUUUAUGCAACCCGGGUGGCUAAUUUUCUUGGUAUAGCCCCGCGAGAAGGAGAUAUGAUAAUGCCUCCUGUUUGUUUGUAUAAAGAAGCUAUGUUUAGUCAUCAUUUUCUUGAGAGGAAUGUGCAAUUCCUCCUUUAUGGACUAAUCUAUGACAGACACAACGUCGUCCCUGUCACUCUUCCUGCUCCCUACCUUUUUGAUUAUCAGGCAAGAGGAAGAUAUGUUGUGACCAGGGAAGAAGCCACUAAAUAUGAGAGGGGAAUGGAGGCAGCUCGCCAACACACUGCUGCCCUGGAGGCUGUUGCCUCUGCAUCUCAGUACAAUCCCAGUUUCACUUAUGGAUAUCAGCGAGGCGGUCCUUGGUAUUAAACCAACUUAGGCCAAAAGCCUAGGCUUGGGGGAGUACGUAUUUCUCACCGACUUUACAUUCAUGUUCACACACUAGUCGUCGGUGCUCAUACUCUUUCAUUGUAUUAUCCAUGCUAGUUUAAAUUUCCUUUUUCUAGUCUUUUUCUUGUGUGUUUAAUAAACCUUGAGAAAAACCAAAAAAAUUAGUUAGUUUAAUUUCCUUGCUUGUAGUAGAAAUUAAAAUGAAAAACCAAAAAGAUUUCUAGUUCUUCUUUUUUUACAUGUUGGGAGCUUUCCCGUGUAAAUAGUUUUAUUUUCUUUUCUUUCCUUUGGGGGUCGAGAAGACCAUAUUGAAAAUGCUUAGUGGCUCUUAUAUGCGUGAUUGGUUAUUUAUAUUUAGAGCCCAUAUUAUUUGUCUUCUCUCUUGAGUUGAAUGCUUGCAGAUUCCAGCUUAGUCCAAUGCACAUGCACUCUUAUUAUUAUACACAUCGUUUGGUCGUGCGAGUGAAAGGCAAUAAUGAUGAUAUAUGAUGGACUUAUUGGGAUGAGAAAAGCUGGUAUGAACUCGACCUCUCUUGUUUUUGUAAAUAUGAUGAUUCAUCGUUCCCGAGUCAGCUAUUAUGAAGUAAACAUAUUUGCCAUGACAUUUAGAGAUUAUAGUUACUUGUGCCAUGCUUGAUUAGCUAUGAGUUAUAAUGGUUUACCUUGCGUGCCAACAUGCUAUUAGAGUGGUUAUGAUGUGGCAUGAUGGGAUGGUAUCCUCGUUUAAAUGAAUUGAGUGACUCGACUUGGCACAUGUUCACGCAUGUAGUUGAAUCAAAUCAACGCAACCUUCACGAUAUUUAUGUUCAUGGUGGAUUAUAUCCUACUCAUGCUUGUACUUGGUGUGAAUUAAUUUUAAUGCAUGCUUACGACUGUUGUCUCUCUCUCAGUUGGUCGCUUCCCAGUCUUUUGCUAGCCUUCACCUGUACUAAGCGGGAAUACUGCUUGUGCAUCCAAACUCUUUAAACCCCAAAGUUGUUCCAUAUGAGUCCACUAUACCUUCCUAUAUGCGGUAUCUACCUGCCGUUCCAAGUAAAUUUGUAUGUGCCAAACUCCAAAUCUUCAAAUGAAGUUCUGUUUUGUAUGCUCGAGAAACUCAUGUAACAACUAGGGCUGCCUAUAUCUUCCAUGCUAGGUGUGUUAUUCUCAAAGGAGUGGACUCCGCUCCUCAUUCACGAGAAAGGGCCGGUAACCGGGAUGCCCAGUCCCAUGAUCCAAAAAGAUCAAAGCAAAUAAAAAUAAUUAAACAAAACUCCCCCAGGGCUGUUGUAUGUUGGAGGCACUCGUUGUUUCGAGCAAGCCAUGGAUUGAUGCUUGUUGGUGGUUGGGGGAGUAUUUUUGACACCAGAUUUUGGCACGGUCAAUAACUUAUUUAAGAUGGCCUCAAAUAGAGAAGUGAUCUUCAUGAAAGAGUUCCGUAUUGUCUAUAUGAACAUCUUUGAAGUUUGGGUCAUCGCAGUCCGAUUUCAUCUCGAAGGCCGAAACUAUGCUCAAAGUACUAAGAUCUUAUAUUCAGAGUACAGUUUGGCUGAUUAAUCCCCCAAGAUGACCUCAAAUAGAAAUAUUAUCUACAUGGAUUGUCUUCGCCUCGUCGAAACGAUCGAUUUUGAUAUAAAAAUCGUUCCAAUCCGAGUUCGUAUGCAAAAGUUAGAGCCAUCGGAAUACAGCCCUGUCAGGAGGCAAAAACCGGCGCGCCCCACCAGACACCAUGUCUGAUGGGUAGCGCGAGGGAUAGCCUGUUUUGCGCGACCUAUUUGACCCUCAAGAUGACCUCUGAUCACAAAACGUUCAACAUAAAAGUUGUUCGUCUCGUCGAAACGGUCAAGAUUGCUUUUGGGCUAGUUUCCAUCCGAGAUCGUUUACCAUCACAAAAAAGACCCGCAAGGUGCAGCUAGUUUAAACCGAACAGUUUUGGAAAGUUCGGACAAAAUCAAUCCAAAUUUGACUAGGGUUUUGGACGUGAAUCCAAGACUGUUCCUUGCACGGGAAGUCCAGCGCCUCUUAUAUACCUAAGGGGUGAUGGCCGAUUGAACAACACCAAUCGAACAAACACAUCCAAUACUUUUUCGUGUUCAUCUACUUUUAUCUCUCCCCUUGUAUCUUUCUUCUCGUUUUUCGUCGUUCUUCAAGAUUGGAGGCUGCGAAUCCACGAGGCUCUAGGGGCGGUAAGGACGACCUCGAGCAGCCAAUCGUCGCCGCAAGCCCUGACGGGGUCCCUCCCGGGCGAGCGGGGCGUCUGGUCCCAAAAGUGUCGGCUUGCUGUCUUGCGUAUCGCGCUGGAAGUCGGCCUCCCGCGGUGUGAGUUGCGGAGCAUCUCCCUCGGUGCCGCGGGUACACAUCGACGUGUUCGUGUGACGCGUUCCAGCGUCAACACACUUUUUGGCGACUCCGCUGGGGACGAAGCUUUGAACGGUCUCCGGCCCGUUCUUGCUACGAAGAGAUCGUCAUCUAGGGUUUGCAAUCUACAAAGGUAAUAUGAAUACUCGAUUCACUUAUGUAGACACAAUUAAUGCAUAUGUUGUUGCUAGAUCCUCUAAUGAACAUAAUGUAUCGGCUAGCCCUAGUUUUAUCAAUCAUGUAUCUAAUUAUGUGCAACAGCCGAUUCAGAAUAAUCUUCAUGCUUCAACUUUAUAUAAUUUUAGCAACAUGCAACAUAUGUAUCCCAACUCCCAUGCAUCGGCAACCCCACAAAUAUAUAUGCUGAUGAACAACAUGAUGAUUUCGGUUAAUCAAGUUGAAACACCCAAUGUAGGAACUUCCAAUGGCAUGCAACAUAGUGUUUCAUCUUUUUAUUCAUCGUCAGCUAAUUUGCAACAUGUUAAUCCAAACAUGCCAGUGGAUAGGGGAAUUGGCCAUGCUACUACUAGUUAUUCGGCCAAUUACCCUCAAACAUCGUAUGCUACACCUCAUGCUACUAGUUUUUUGGCACCAUACACGACUAUUGAUGUCCAUAAUUCGGCUCCGCACCUUAAUGGUCAUGGCCGAAUAAGUGAAACUUCUACAGGAGCACAAAUGCCUUCACCUACUACCGUGGCAUAUCAUGUUCCUCCUACACAAUUUGCUGAUCAGGUCGAGAGCCCCUGAAUCCGGCGUUGAUCGUCAUGCUGUCCGGGCUCUCUUCCUUGUUUUGGCGUUUGUUUUUUAUUACGCCGUGGCUUCCCGUUGCCAUCCCUUAGUUCGGAUGUGCUGGGGUCGCUGGUGCCUUUACGGGCCAACCAGCUAUCCUCACCCGCGCAAAAGCGGGUCAUAAGGCUUGUUAAGGCUGCCAUUGUCCUUGGCUUUUCUUGGCCGAGGUGUCGGGCGAGCCAUUCGUCAGGGAUGCUGUGUUUGAAAGCCGCUAAGGCUUCAAUGUCCGGACAGUCGACAAUUUGAUUCUUCUUAGUGAGGAAUCUGUUCCAAAGCUUGCGGGCGGACUCUCCGGGCUGUUGGACUAUGUGACUUAGAUCGUCUGCAUCCGGAGGCCGGACAUAAGUCCCUUGAAAAUUGGCCCUGAAAGCGUCUUCGAGUUCCUCCCAACUCCGAAUUGAGUUUUCGGGGAGGCUUUUCAACCAGUGUCGAGCUGGUCCCUUCAACUUGAGGGGAAGGUAUUUGAUGGCGUGGAGGUCAUCCCCACAAGCCAUGUAAAUAUGCAGGAUAAAAUCCUCGAUCCAGACCCCUGGGUCUGUCGUGCCGUCGUAUGCUUCUAUGUUCACAAGUUUAAUGCCUUGUGGGAAUUCAUGGUCUAGUACUUCUUUGGUGAAGCACAGGGGGUGAGCAGCCCCUCUGUAUCUGGAUGCAUUGUGGCAUGUAGUCGGCUGUUGUUGUGUCCGGGAUUGAUUCCGAACUAGUAUCUGGCUUUUAUGAGCGUUUGGGUGACCAUAGUCCUGCGCUGGGGUGUGUCUUCUAGAUCCGUAUAGACCUGGAUGCACCGGUCUUUUUAUCCGGAUGCUUGCAUGGAUCGUGCGCAGUGUCUGCGGCUGCUCUGUUAUGGCUGUGAGGCGGUACGUCUGGUUUCUUGGUUGAAUUUUCUUUUGGAGGAACGGCCGCGUCGUCGAAUUCUGGCAGUAGCUUACGCUUCAGAUAGCUUUUCGUAUGGCGGUCAUCGCCAUAUCUUUCUUCAGUGUCUAGCACCCUAUUCCAUCUGCGACUUAGCUUUUCCUGUGCGGCCUUGAGCCGUUGCUUCUGCUUUUCUAGACUUCUUGCGGUGGCCAUAAGCUUUCUGUGGAGGUUGUCUCGUUCCACUUGUUCGUUCGGGAUGAUGAAUGCAUCGUCGUCUGGACCGUCUUCCUGUUCUGGGGCGGCAUCCUGAGCUCGUCCCUUCGGAUCAUUAAGAUAGUUUAUUUGCUCCGAACUUGAUUUGGCGUGACCUGGCUCGUCCUACUCCAUCGCUGGGUCCAUGUGGUCAUUAUUGCUUUUGGAGUUUGCGGGUAUAUCGACCCUUCUUGCGCUCUUGUCACUAUUUUUGCCAUUGCUGGACUUCGAGUGGCGUCUGCGCCGCCUCUUUGGCUUUUCCCGGGUGUUUUAACGUCCGGACUGCCGUCCUUAUUGGGCGUAUCUACCAUGUAUAUAUCGUAUGACAAGGUACUAGUCCCGCGCUCCAGGGAUUCUGGAGCCUCUCCUGCAUCGUCGUCCAUACCGUCGAUGUGUUCGGAGUCAAGCACGUUGGUUAAUUCUUCGAUCGUGGCAAUGAAGUGGGUGGUGGGUGGGCGGCGAGGUCCUUCGUCGUCUGCUUCCCACUUGGGCCGUACAUAAUUCGGCCCAAAGCCUCCUGACAAAGAGAGAGACUUCAAUGAGUUUAGUAUGUCGCCGAAGGGCGAGUGCUGAAAGAUGUCCGCGUCGGUAAACUCCAUUACUGGAGCCCAGCCUGGCUCGGCUGGCUCGAGAGUGAGUGGACCAGGACCAACAACCAGAUAUGAGUCAGGGGCCCCAAGUUUACAGGCCUCCUCAGAGGUGAGACCCGUGUUCGGCUCCACCGCCAAUAAGUGUGCGGCCUGCGGGGCAGGGUCCAGCCCUCCGUCUGUAGGCAACACAACCUGCCCUGGAUUUAGAUCCGGGGCUGCCUCGGGGAGAAUGUCCCGGGCAUUGUCCGACAACAGGUCUAGGCCGUGCUCGUCGUGGCUGUCCGGUGCUCCUAGCACAGGCUCGAAUUCGUCGAAGAUCAAAUCUCCGCGGACAUCUGCCGUGUAGUUCAAGUUUCCGAACCGGAUCUGGCGGCCACGGGUGAAGCUGUCGAUCUGCUCCAACUGGCCAAGUGAAUUGGCCUGAGUGCAAAGCCGUCGAACACAAAGAUCUGUCCGGGGAAAAGAGUCUCACCCUGGACCGUGUCAUUGACGAUUGAAGACGCCAUCAAGCCUCGAAGCGACGACACAAAGGAACUCUCAACGAAAGCACCAAUGUCGGUGUCAAAACUGGCGGAUCUCGGGUAGGGGGUCCAGAUCUGUGCGUCUUAGGCUGAUGGUAACAGGAAGCGAGGGACACAAUGUUUACCCAGGUUCGGGCCCUCUCGAUGGAGGUAAAACCCUACUUCCUGCUUGAUUAAUAUUGAAGAUAUGUGGAAUACAAGAGUAGAUCUACCACGAGAUCGUAGAGGCUAAACCCUAAGAGCUAGCCUAUGAUGGUAUGAUUGUAAUUGUGAUCGGCCUUCUAAGGACCAUGCUCUCCGGUUUAUAUAGACACCGGAGAGCUAGGGUUUACAUGGAGUCGGUUACAAGGAAGGAAACAUAAUAUCCAGAUUGCCAAGCUUGUCUUCCACACAAAGGAGAGUCCCAUCCGGACAUGAGCCGAAGUCUUGAGUCUUGUAUCUUGACGCUUCUAUAGUCCGGAUGAUGUAUAUAGUCCUGCUGUCCGGAUACCCCCUUAUCCAGGACUCCCUCAACAUCGGAGGGAGUAGGGUGGGCCGGUGAAGCCUGUGCGGCAUCACAGCGGGCCACAAGAGGAGGGAGCAGGCAGUCCCGCCGGUGCUGGUUUAGGCGGAUGGAGCAGGAAGAUCAGAGAUUGAAGAAGCACGUCGGCCGUCGGAUGGACAUCCAAUAGUUACUGCUGCUAGAAUCGUGUGUUGACUGACAAAGCCUUGCAUAAACAAUUCAACCUCGAAAUCUGUGGCGUGUACAACCCAUUUGCUAUUAUUUUUAUAAUUUUUACUCAUUUGCUAAUUCAUAUGGAAUUUAUUGCAUCCCAUUUUCCAUUUUUAGAAUUUCUGCCCAUUUUCUGGUCAGUGUCAGGGUUAAAAAUUUGAACUAAAAACUAUGCGAAAUUUUAAAAAUUCGCAUAUUUUUGUUGGGAAACAAAAUAUUCUUAAUCCAAAAAUUAGUAGCCAUACUAUCUUUUUAAAAAUUAAUUAGUACUAUGUCAUGUUAAAAUCCAAUGAAAUAUAAAAUAUUAGUGAAGAACAAAAAAAGAAACUAAUUGCCCAUUUGCUAUAAUUCUUUUGGAAUUGCAACCCCUUUGAUAUUACUUUUAAGAUAUACUGACCAUACUCUUUGGCCAGGCCAGAAUGCAACCCUCCUCGUCUUGAAAGAUUUGCAGCCCAGUAAGUUAGAGAAAAGAAAUAGGCCUAGCUUGGGUAUUCUUCAAAAAGAAAUAGUGGGCUACCUUUUUUCCCAAAGAAAAAACUGCUGGGCUGGUCAUGUUGUUAGGUGGGCCACAGAGACCGCACAACCUAGUUUAUAGCCUGCUCCUCCAAACAAAUCCUCAAAAAAAGUUGUGCAAUUCUGUCGUUUAUUGACUAUACGUUGACAAUGAUGGGGUCCCAGAUAUCAGCAGGGUGGAUUAGAGUAAAAAAUGAGAGGUGCAUCUGAGUAGUAAAAGAGGCGCUUGCUUGUGUUCGGGAGUGGACCUGGUGGGUCCGUACUGUCAUACUCACAACUACAGUCCUCUCCUGAUUCACUAUGUUGAUAGGGCCGGACGGCGGUGCCGCGGCGAGCGCACGAAGGCAGAGGAUAAAGUGUUGUCGCCAAUGUGUUGGGCUGGGUUGGACAUUCUUAUCAAAAAAAUAAAAAUGGACCGAAAUUAUUUAUGAUGUUGACUAUGAUUUGCAUGGGUCCGCUGGUUGCAGGAAGAAAAUGGUGGGAGAAAGAAGACUAGUCGCUAUCUUUGCCUAAGAAUAAUAUCGAUUGAAUGUAAUGACACUAUCAUAGGAAAUAAUAUCCCCCUGUUAAAAUUUGACUUUUCAAAUCAUGAAUUUAAAGAACUCGUGCAUGAGCAUUUAGUUUUAUUUAUUUAUUUACUUAUUCAUGUUUUGGGGACCAUGAGCAUGUACCUGGGCCGGAUUCAUGUGAGAGCCUCCCUUCCAAUUAAUUAUGGGCUCCUCUAUUGGGCCUUCUUCAAUGGGCUGCAUGUUAUCGACAAGUGCAAAAUGUGUCCCAUGCCAAAAAUAGUAUGCGCUAUGUACGGUACAGGGCACUAAAGGAUCGGACCGUGCAACGAAUUACAAAACAAUGUGUUUGACAUUCUAACAACACAUUUAUUCAACCAAUAGACAAAAUAUACUACUGAUUGUACAUUGAAAACAACAGCAGCAGCAACCAGGCUGGGGGUGCAACAUAAGCAGUAAGCAGGCCAGAAGAGUAAUGACGCAACUCUCUCUUCCAAACCAAACAUCAGCUAUCAUUACAAAAGGGCUACCAAAAAAUAACAAGUGUAUGCAUCAAACUAAAUAAAGAUCCUACUACACCAAGUGUACGCAUCUAACUAACUGGCUCAGUUAGACGUUACUAUUUAUUAAGCUAUGGAGAUUGGCUGACGGCUUGAACCAGAUGGGUGCCUGACGGGGCAAACUCCAGCCAGCAAGUCAAAGUCUGAUACUUGCGACCCUCUCUCCUACUUUGGGCUGCAGAGCGUGGCAACACAUAUCAGGGUAUGGUGCAUGAAGAGACGCAUGGUAUGUUGUGUACACACAGUUUUGCCUGAUGAAUGAAACCACGCUGCCAUCAUGAUCCUUGCUGUUGGUUAUCUCCUGGUUAAUUGGAUAUUUCAGUCCGAGAAACAAAGAGCGUGUACCAAGGCUACUUACCAGCCUCCAAUCAAAAAUUCCUGAAGGCCCAGAGAAGCUGGGAUCCUGCAUAAAGACCUUGUAGUGACUGUGAUUGUAUUCCGCGAAACAACACGUCUGGUACGUGCGAACGAUGUCGUCUGAUCGAGCCAAGAACCACCUGCAACUGCCAUGCCGCUUUUAUUUGAAAGGUUCUGGGAUUAGGAAGGGUAAGGACACCAGGCGGCCUACAACAUCAUAUCAAGUUGGAGUCAAAUAAAAAAGGGCUCUUACUGUAGUCAAUCUUAAGAACAACAUGUUAUGAGCAUGAAUAUUUUUUCAGUAAAUGUUGAUAGUAAUAUAAGAAAGCCAUCAUGAUAUCAUAGGAAAGUAACAUACUGCUGUAACAGCUGUUUGUAGUGAUGACUGGAGUAGGCCAGCAAUACGUCCAGCCAUAGAAGGAUUCAAUAGCAUAAAUGAAGCCCUUGUGUUCAAUGGCAUCAGAGAACCAUGGAGGAUGUAUGAUCCUGCGAUGGACGUGCAGAUUUAUGCACUUACCGUAGUGACCUGUCAGAUAGGCGAGACCGCGCUUAAAGAACACAAUUAGCCUGAAGUCUUUAUAAUUUGCAGAUCUUGUGGGCACUUGGAGGAUUACAACCUUGAGCAAAUCAAACUUGGUAUCAUGUUGGCUACUGUAAGAUUCCGAGUAUUCUGGGUCGUGGUGCCAAAGCAGUGCACUAUUAAUCGAAGGAAGGGGGAUCAAUCGCCGGGUGUAGGCCUCCACGAGUAUCCAGCUACCGCGACCAUCGAUGAGCACCAUCCAAGACGUGUUCAUCCUGACCCGGUACAUACCGUUAAUGUAGUUGAGGGUGACGAGGCUCAGAUUGCAGUCAAGGGGGUUGAUGCUCACCACCCUAUGAUUGUUAUGCUGCAUCACAUGCCAUUUCUGAAGAUCACGCGGCAUCAGCAAGCAAGGAGCUGGCUUAAAAAGCUCAAGCCUAAGGGCUUUGAGUAAAUGGUACAACCCCGAUGAGCACGCGGAACAAUGAGCUUGAUUACCUCUGUGGGUAGCGAAUUCCAGCCACUCUUUCAGCGGACGCUGCUCGGUUCUGCCAUUGUUAGUGCUUGGGUUUUGGAAGAUGGAUGGAAUAAGAUUGGACGAUUAUGUGCGAACAAAGAUGAAGAAGCAAAUAUGUGCUACGGGAAGUGGACAGGUGAUGAUGACUACAACAUGCCACUUGACUUACGAUACACAUACCAGCCGCGUAGGGUUAUAUCGAUGCCAGACAACUUGCUUGAGUGAUCACAGUACUAGUACUCCCCACAAUACCUACUACUAUGCCCUAGUUUGCAUAUAGAGUAGUGGAGUAGGACUCUGCUCUACUAGUAGCACCGGAGGUGUAGUAUAUUCUAAUAAAAAAUAGUUACAAACUUCAAUGCCCAAGCGUGGAACGACUACGAACCGCAAUCGGAGCUAACUCCAAUCCCCAACAACCGUUCGCCGGGAGACAUGGUGAGGGAGUCCUGGAUUCAGGGGUCCUCAAGUGUCUGACCUAGGAGUAUGGGCCGGAUAGGAUGGGCCGUGCAAGGAUCAAGCUGAAGAUUAUCCCCCGUGUCUGGAUAUGACUUCUCUUUACGUGGCUAGCAAGAUUAGAGUCCGGAAGUUUCCUUCCUUGAUGAAACCGACCUUGUAUCAAUCCUCCGGUGUGUAUAUAAGCUGGAGGGGUUAGUCCGUAGGGGCAUUCAUCAUAAAAAUAUUCAUAGGCUAGACAUCUAGGGUUUAGCCAUAAUGAUCUCGAGGUAGAUCAUCUCUUGUAACCUCCAUACUUGAUGAACAUAAUCAAGUAGGAGUAGGGUUUUACCUCCCUUAAGAGGGCCCGGACCUGGGUAAGCAUCGUGUCCGCAGUCCUCCUAUUACCAUCGGUCCUUAGACGCACAACUUGGGCCCCCUACCUGAGAUCUGCCAGUUUUGACACCUACAUUGGUGCUUUCAUUAAGAGAUCUGCCAUGCUGUCUACAGAAGUGGUCUAUGACUCGCCUGGUCAUCAGUGAUGACAUCACUGCUGCAGGGUGCUUGGCUUUCGGGUAGACAGUCCAAAUUGGCGCCUUCGCCGCAUGGGCUCACGCGGCCGUCAAGCCUGCGACUCCCCCUACGGCUGCCAAAUACCAUCUUUUCAUCGGACCCGAAUACUCCGAGAAAUUGGAGCCGGCAGAUGUCUCAUCCUUAAACGAACUACUGGAACGCAUUACCGCCCUAGGGAUCUCUAUGGACUAUGAUUGGAUCGGACUCAUGCCCGACUAGAGGGAAAUCAAUCACCCGCUGUGGCACCCCAGCUCAAAGCGACCGGUUUACCUUGCAUUUCCAGCCCAGAGACCUUGUCUUCUGGCAACACACAACAACAUGAUACAGAAAACAACUGCUUUAUUCAUGCUAGCGGAGCAUAGUUCAUAUUACAACAGUUAGCGAGGCCAAGCGGCACACACGGUGCGGCUGAACAAUAUGUACAUUAUUUAGUGAACAUAAAGGGGCCUCGAUCAUGACAACUACUCGGCAGCGGAACAAUGUCGUAGCGGGACUCCAUAGCACAAGGACACCGACGUGGACACAGUCUAGACUCGGACAACACUCCUUUCCAACGGGACUUUCCUGAAAUCUGGCAUGACACGCCAGGUCAGUACAUUGAAUGUACUUGCAAGCUCACAAUAAACAUAAACAUGAUGACAGACAAUAUCAUGAUAUUUAACCAAUUAAACAACAAUGCAACCAUAUAUCCAACAUGCUGCGAUUAUGCUCAACAUGUACUCAUUCUCCUGACUGGCUUACCAGAUGUGACCAAUAAACAUGAUAAUACCAAAAACACACUCGUGAUCCUUACGGCGAUCACAACCUGACCAACUCGUGGCCCGUGAUCCUUACGACGAUCACAACCCGACCAACUCGUGGCCCGUGAUCCUUACGGCGAUCACAACCCGACCAACUCAUGGCCCGUGAUCCUUACAGCGAUCACAACCCUACCAACUCAUGGCCCGUGAUCCUUACGCCGAUCACAACCCGACCAACUCAUGGCCAACUCAACACGAUGGCCUCAUUGCCAUCCUUAGUGCAAUUUAGUGUGCAUAUUUAUUAAGUGUUGACCCAUGGUGUACCCUACUUUUGAGCGUGUCCGUAACCGUGGACUCGGCUAUCGAUAGAUUAAAAACACUCUGCAGAGGUUAGUACACUGUACCCACACUACGGAACCCAUGGCCUCGCGCUCCCAUUCGGGUUGGACCAACAGUGUUCCGACGAAACCAUUUCAUUGUCAUGACACUCUCCCGGCCCUUCCGACUCAAACCCCAACGGGCUAGUCCUGGGUGGCCCCGUGUCUACCUCCAGACACCUCCACCACCGUCGUGGCCAUGAUCCACUCUGGGACCCGGUACCAAAAUUAACUUAACAAUGGGUUCACAAGGUUAUGCUUGCCUACCAGGCCAGGGUACAGCACGCCCAUAACCUUCCCUAAAUGGAGGCACCGACCAGAGGCACGACAAUGAAACACAUUAAGGCUGUCCCAUACCAGCAAAUGUGGUUGCACUGGGAAAGACUCGUUUCAGCGGCACCACGACCCGGUCAACAACAUGUUCAAGUUGAAUUAUUAAUCAGGUUCAACUUAAUGUGAAAAUAACCGGUGUCAUACUGCCAUACUAUGCAUCACUUAACAUAUGCAUCACAUAGCCAUGCAAAUAUCUUCAUCAACCACGCUCCUACGGAGCCAUCAGCAACACAUGCUACUAUUCUGGUUAAAAUCUCACUUUACUUAUACCCGAACCAUUUCUAGCAUUCUCAUCAUUAUUCAUUAUGCAAAAUAAUAUUUAAACUACUCAUCAAACUCUAUGACCAUAUUAUUUAUUUAUUACUUGUAACUAAGUUCUCCUUAUCUUGCCAACAAUAUUUAUUUCAAACAUUCCGAAGUUCAAGUAUUUCAACACAUCAAGCAUAUAACAGAAUAUUUUUAUUAUAUAACUAAUUUAAAUGCAUCAAUAUUCGUAAGUUCAAGUAUGAAAAUCGUAAAUAUUGAAGUGGCACCAUGAAUAUGUUACUGUGGCUUGCCUUAGUACUAAUGAGGUUCACAAAGCUCCUGGUGAUCCUCAAGAGAAGCUGGCUCUGCUGAAAAUAUUCAAAACCACAAAAAGAAAAUAUCAAGAAACCUUCUAAAAAUUGCCAGAAAAUCCAGACAUGGGUGCUGUUAGAUUUUUGGACACAGAACACGAUGCAAAAAGUAUCAAUGCAUUUGUACUUUCAGGUAAAAAGUUGUGGCUAUUUGAAUGCUACUGGAUUUUAAAUGAAUUUGAAAUAAUAAACAAAGGGGGUGACGUCAAAGGCGUAAUCUCCCGGGGUGCCACCACUCAUACCGCUUCGCACGCGUAGUGAGUGGCUGACUAGCAGGCCCCGCUAGUCAGGCCGGAGGGAGGGGAGAGGGAAAUAGAGAGGCGCGGCGCUUCGCCGGAGCUCACGCCGGCGUUGAGACUUCUUGGAGGCGAAUGAGAGGGAGGGAUCGAUGGAGAAGAUGAUUGCGCACCUACCCGUACCCGUAGCGUGGCUAACAGUGGCCGGACGUCAUCGGAUUUGACCUCUCCAGCAGCGACAGAGGGCGGAGGUUGCCGGAGUUGAAGAAGACGACGGCUUGGGGCGGCUCCAGGGGCUCUAGCUAGGUGCAGAAGAAGUAAUAUGGUGAUGAGGUUAAGUUAGUGGACAGAAACUUUGGGGAGUUACUGUGGUAAAACCACAGGGAUUCAAGGGCUAAGCUUUGGGGUUUUACUGUCUCUUACUAAGGUAAAUAAGCUCAGGGAAAACCAGCUACAUUGGAGCUAGUAAAAAGGUAGUUGCUGUAGAAACUACCAUUUCAGCCCUGAAGUGAUUUAAUUUUAUGUAGCCAAAAUAUUCCAAAGAGUGGUGAAAUACUUUUGCUCAGAAAUGUGCCCUAGGGUCCAAAGAAUAAUUGAGAUUUUUCUCAGGAUUUUUGGGGCAAGAAAAAUUAGGGUUGCUUUGGAGCUCAAUGAGUUAGCUAGAGUUUUGGAGACCAAAAUGAAUAUUUUUCAUUUAAGAAAAAUAUUCCAAGCAAUAUUGUUGGGUUGGCCAGGGGUGAAAUGAUGGCUUUGAGGAGGAGAGGGAACACUUGGGUGAAAAUCAUGGGAUACCCAAGUGGUUAAGUCCAAAUGAAAUGAUUCAAAACCCCAAAUCCCAAAUCAACUCAGCUGAAAAUCAAGCAAAGAAAAGAGGGCAAAAACUAGGCUGUCACAAACCUCCCCCACUUAGAAUGAAUCUUGUCCUCGAGAUUCGGUUGCUUGGGAAAACCAUUCUAGAUAACAUGCCCUUAGAAAUUCUUCUGAUUCCCAGGUUGAUUCUGACUUGGUAUGAUGCAUCCACUGAACCUUGUAAAACUUUCGUGACUUACUGCGAGUGACCCUUUCCAUCUGAUCCAAAAUUUUCACUGGCCGCUCUUCGUAGGUCAAGUCCUUUGCCAGCUCUGUCUCUUCCAAAUCGGUCUUUUUCUUGGGGGGGGGGGGUGAGAUGCACAGUCGUAGUUGUGAAACGUGGAACAUGUUGUGCACAUCUGACAGUUCAGGGGGCAGUUCCAACUGAUAUGCCACAACACCUACUCGCGUCAUAACGGUAAAUGGACCAAUAAACCUGGGUGCCAAUUUUCCAUGAGUUUGGAACCUUUUUAUUCCUUUCAUGGGCGUGACUCGAAGGUAGACAUGUUCUCCGAGUUCAAAACUGAUCUGCCGACACUACAAAAAAAUACACUUCUGUGAUGAUACGUGUUUGUCACAGUAGGUCACGUUUUUUGUCAUGCAUGUACAUCCAUGACAAAUUUAUGACAAAAUCAAGAUAGUCAUACCUGUGCUGUCGUAGAAGUGUUCCAUGACAUUACCAAAAUUAUCAUCACGGAAGUGUCCGCUUCCAUGACGAUAAAUCGCGCGUCACAGAACUGCUUUCGUCAAGGGUGAUCGACACAUGGCAUCCACCGUAACGGAACGCCGUUAAGCUAUCGGGUCGGGUUUUGGAUCCGAUAACCUGUUAACAGCCCUGACCAAUGGGGAUUUUCCACGUGUAAAAUCAUCAUUGGCUGGAGGAAACACAUGUCGGCUCACCGUUGGGACAGAUGUCAUCCACUCAUUGGACAGAAGGCGCCUAUGAUACGUCGACACGUGGCACGGCCCAACAAAGGCCCAUUCCUGUGAAAAGGCCGCCCCAUUUGACUUGGUAAAAAGGUGGCGGGCCGGCCCACGGAAAGCCUGUUAACGACCUGUUCGCAUAUAGCCCAUUUACAGCCCGCUAACCGAGGGCCCGUUACGCCCUAUCCGAAUUAGGCCCAGUAGCGUCAUCUGGGCCAUCCAAUAUGAUUUAGCCCAUUUUAACUUCCGACCCAUGUGUGGCCCAUGACUUCUUUCGGCCCAUAUGAGGACCUUUGUAACUCUUGGCCCAUUAACGGCCGGUUGUGAAACUGGCCCGUAAUGAACAGUGUAUCACUUUAUACCCAUUGACAGCCCGUUAUUUCAUUGGGCUGUUUCCAGCCCAAGUUAUCUUUCAGCGUUCUCAGGGCCCAUUGAUUCUUGGGCUCAUUUGCAGCAUUCUGUUACAUACGGCCCGUUACUGUCAUUUUCUGCUUGUGGGCCAAAUUCAGCCCGUCCUUACAGUCGGCCCGUUUGCAGACCGUUAAUACGUUGGGCCAUUUUCAUGUAAAAAAACCCGUUGGGCUGUUUUCAUAGAGUUAUCAAAUACAGCCUAUUAACGACCCGUUAUGGUCCAUGAAUAGUACGACCCAUGAUUGGCGAAAUGAUGAUACGCCCCGUAGAAGGCCCAUGGAUCCUACGACCCGUAUGAGGCCCAUGGAUGGUAUGGCCCGUAGAAGGCCCAUGGAUCCUAUGGCCCGUAGAAGGCCCAUUGAUCCCUAAGGCCCGUAUAGAAGGCCGAUGGAUCCUACGGCCCGUAUAGAAGGCCAAUGGUCCUACGGCCGAACGAAGGCCCAUGGAUCAUACGGCCUACAGGAGGCCCAUGGUUACAACAGUCCGUGUGUUGCCAUGAUUAUUUUGGCCUAGUUACCAAAAAUAGGCUAUUGUGGCCACUAGAAAAACACAGAAAAAGAACUGCAGUGACUACAAGCAAACAACUAAACAAGACAAUAAGGAAAUAAAUAAGCAAGCAAUUAAGGCUAGCCUAUUACCGCUAUUACACAUAUUACAUCCACUGGGCAUCAAAGUUCACCACCAGUGCAAAUAUAGGGAACAAAGCAGCAUAUUACAUACACUUGGCCGUCAAAAUUGGCCACCAGUGCAAAUAAAUGCGGCAGCAAAACAAGAGCAUAACUGAAACAACUUCAGAAGAGCUCAAGAAACGUUAUCCUGGGUAUCCACCAUGCUGGCAAUAAGCUUAGCAAGCUGAUUAGCUUUGUCCUGUUUGGCGCUAAAAUCCUCCAACGCUUGCUGUUGCACCAUAAAGUAUGCAUCUGAAUGCUCCAGGGAGUUCCCCAGUCCUUCCGCUUCUUGUCGCAGCACAACUGAUCGAUGUCUUUCAUCUUGUAGUUGAGACUCAAGAAACCAAACUAAUUCAGACAAUGAGUUUGAAUAGCUUGUGCAUGCGGUAGUGGCUAGUAACUCGAACACUAAACCAAGACAGGACUUUGGGGUUGUCUCGCUGUCUUCAAGAUAGUCUUCCUUAGCUGUUUUAUCAGCUUUCUUGGAGACCAACAAGGAUGUGUCACUAUCCUGAACCUUAUCUGCAUUACUUCCUUUACCAUUGCUUAAUAAGGCACUCUUCCCCAAUAUUCUAUCAGCAUUCUAAAAGAAGAAACAAGCAGACACAUAACAAGUUUAUCAUGUACUAGUAUAUGAAACUCAUUUCGGUGAACUAGUUCAUUAGUAAGGUGGACAGGAUUAAACUACCAAGCCAUCUAUUGCCAAGUAUUAGUACAUAAUAAAAGCAUCAAACAAACAUAUAUCUAUGUCCUAUGGUCACUACAUUGUCUUGCCAAAUCAAAAUAGAGACACGGUUCAAAUCAUAUCAGUUCAAGACAAAGCAGCAGUGAAAGAAUACAAAGCGUGGGAAACUACACGGCACAACAAGAUUUCAGAUGGGUACCACGGGUCUACAUGUACAACAACACUAUUGGCUCUGUUGUGAUGCUAGUAAUGUGCAUGAUAUGAAAGUCAACUGUAUACACAAUUGAAAUUGAAAUCACCAGAGCUAUUGAUAAGAGCAAACCUGUUAAAGAAACAUGCAUGAACAUACCUGCUGUGCCAUUGGAGAUUCGAUUGGAUCCUUCAAUUUAAAAUAAGUUUGUAUUAGUAAAUACAGUGAUACAAGAGGAAAGCAAUCAUAGUUAAAAAAGGCGCGCCUAAGCGAGCGCUUAAGCGCGCCUAGGCUCUAGGCGUUGGCAAAACGCAUUGCGCAUAACGACGCAUAAUCUGUGCAUAACUGUGCAUAAGCAUGCACUUUGGUCAGUAAAGCGCAAGGCGGUGGCAAAACGCACAAUUAACGCCUCGCGCUUUUUUGAACUAUGAUAGCAAUGGAAUCCUAAAUUAGAACAGUUGUUCUUCAGGUUUAGGCACUUGUUCUACAUGAACAGAGUACAGUAAGACGCAAGAAUAAAAUACUUAAAAAUAGAAAAUGAGCUCAUAGACCUUACCACAUUCUUGGUUCGGGACCAGUACAGAACAAGGCGUUCCUAGUCAUCGUCCAGUAAAUGUGUCUCAGGAGAACGUAAGGGAAUUUGAUGAGUUUCUUUGCCGGUGAAGUACGUUUUCUUCAGGUAAUUCCGAUACUGCCACCAAGCAUUCUUGAAGAUAGCAGAGGUAUUAGCACAGGUUACCUCAUCCUGAGUUUCCAAAUCGGUCCUUCUCUAUAGAGAAAAAUGGGAAAAUUUGCUGUAUUAUAACCAUCAUGGAGGUAGGAUGUAUGGGACGAAGCAAAGUAAUUGCCAUGAAUAACAUUACUUACACAUAACUCCUGGACAAACACAUGCAACUGGCAUUUUCCUUCAUCUUCAGUAUAAUAUUUCCAAGAUGGGAAGAUACACACAUACGAUUUAACAACGUCAAAUGCGAUAGAUGCUAAACUACGACUGGCUGGUUGUGCUUCCUCCACAGGAAUAGGCGUACUAACUGGUGGAGUUGGUGUUCACCGUGAUAGUACUGGCCCUUUGGGCACUGGAGCUGCCUUACUAACUGUUGUUGUUUGAGAGCUCUGUGGUGGAGAUGGUGCUGUGUCAACAGGAACUGGGUUACUAUCGGCUGGGGUUGGGGCUAGACUGGGUGAAGCUGGUUCUCUACAAAUCGCAGUAGGGGUACAAUCUGCGAGAGUUUGGGUUAUGUGUGGUAGGGCUGGUUCUUGUGCAUGUACAACCGGGGUGCUAUUUCCACCAAGAGGUAGCACUGUUUUAUUUGAAGACCGUGUUCUUAUUCCGCUAGAUGCUGGCAUCACCCGCUCCAAUUCAAAUGGCUGAUAAACAGGGAACAUAGUUGAAUGUACAGACAUUGUAUGAGAGACAGAUGCAAUAGAUAGUGUGGAAAAAAGAGGGCAUGAAAUAUUUGACAUGUAUAUUGUUUAACUAAAACGGAUAGCAUGACAUAAUUUCACAUAUAUGAUGUCUAUCUAAACUGGAUAGCAUAGCAUAACAUAAUUAAGAGAUAUGAUGAAUAACUAAGCAGGAUCACAUGACAUAAUUCACCUACAUGUUAUCUAAGUAAUCAGGACCACAUCAUUUAAUUCACAUAUGUGAUUUAUAUGCUAAACAAAGGGCAUUCGAUAUGAUGUGUGAACUAAGAACAUGGUGUUGAAUAUUGUGUAUAUGAUGUCUAAACUAUGCAAUGCAAGACACCAUAUGCAUGAUAUGAGCAGUAUAACCGUGCCAAGUUAGAGCAUACACCUCAGUGGGGGAAUAGGACUGGUCAUUUGUCUCUGAAUCCAUCUCUGAGGAGCUAUCGGGACCCAACAAGAGAUCUGCUUCGACAGGUAGCACUGUCUGCUCUGAAGGCCUUGUUUUCACUCCAGAUUUUUCUAUCUCCCACCCAAAUGGCUGAUUCACAGGAAGAGUAGUUUAAUGUACAAAUAUUGUCGACAAAUGGAAAUGUAAUGAAGAAAAGGAUGGGCAAGAUAUCAUUCAAAUAUAUGAUGCCUAGUUAAACAGGAUGGCAUUGCACAUUUCACAUAUAUUAUGGCUGGCUAAAAGACACGAGACUGCAUAAUUCCCAUAUAUGAUAUAGAAACUAAACAGGUGGCAUUACAGAACAUGUCUAAACUAAGAAGAUGACAUAUAUGAUGUCAAAAGUAGGCACUGCAAGGCAACAUAUGCAUGAUAUGACUAACAUCAUCAUGCCAAGGUAGAUAAAACACCUUGGGGGGUAAAUAGGAGUGGUCAGCGGCGUCUGAAUACGCCUCAGAACAGAUAUCUUCCUUUGGAUUACAAUCUGGAGAGGGGUGGGGAGGGUUUGCCAUUGAACCCACCAUGGAGCAAUGUCUGCAUGACAUUGUAUUUCCGUGCAAAACUCUUCUCUUUUUCUCUACAUGUUCAGCAUGAAUGUGUACAAUAUCUGACAUGCAUACGAAAAAAAUGUGGUGAGAUUAUGUAAGGAGAGCAUGCAGAAAUUUAGAGUGAUGGUAACAACCAGUGGAUGGAUCCAAAAAUAAUAAUAGCAGGCUGAUGAUUGCUUUAAAUUAAUAAAAAGACAGAUGAUGAUUGCUUUACUAUUUGUUUGCCACCCAAGAUGAACAACAUAGGCAUACCCUAGGUGAACCAGAUAUUAGACAGACAUACUAUUCAUUGCUGCCUCGAUAUGUGCCCCACAACUAAUUUAGAACUCAAGUUUGAACAUGAAUUUGGACCUGAGUUGGGAGUCCAAGAGCUGAACAGGACGAUAAAGUAGUAGGUAAGUUUAAGCAAUGCGUAACAUAAGCAGAAACAAAAGAGUGCAACCUCUCUUUUGGACCCGUGUACUCCUCAGGUUCAUCUGCUGAGUCGAUGAUGGUGAUGCCAUUGGGGUGCGUGCCGGCGGCAGGGAAGGAGAUCUGAGGCGGCGAAAGACGGUCAGGAGUCGUGAUGUCUGGUUUGGUGGAUGCUUCUGUCGAUGGAGCAGCUCAGGUGAGGUGGACGACAUCGCGGCAGGAGCAGGACAAACCACACAAAGUUCCCUUCGACACGUACCUGUAACUGAAGUAAUUCUGUAAGGGCUCAUUUGGCUUGCAUGAUUCUUAAAAUGCAGGGAUAGGAAAAACACCGGAAUAGGAUAGGAAAAUGCACAUGGUAAACAAAGCAUUUGUAAACAUAAGAUUUCUAUCAACUUGGGUGUUUGGUUUACAGGAAUUGGAAGAGCAGAGGAAUGCAAAGAAACAUGGCCAAAAUAAAGAGAAACCAUAUGAAAGCGUGUACAGUUAGAAUGUUAUUCUGGCACUAAUGCACUUGGUCUUGUUUUCAUGCAUAUGAUUUUUAAAAGUAGGUCCAGGUGGAUGUUUUGCUUCAUUCCUUUCAACAAAAUGCAUGAAUAAUUGAAUAAUAGAGUGCCAUUGGAAAAUUCCCUAUUGCUAUGUUUUUCCGUUGAACCAAAAUAGCCCUAAUGGAUUGACUUGAAUGUAUACAACCUCUUUGCCGUAGCCAUGUUGAUCUCAGCAUCAUUGGGUUGGUCGCUGAAGCAGUUGAGGCAGAGGUGGCUAUCGGAAGUGUGGAGGAAGAUCUGAGGAAUCUGUAGACGGUGUCCAGGGCACUGCUCUGUUGUGAUGGAUCGUUCUGUCGUUGGAGCAGCUCUGGUGAGCCGUAAGACGUCAAGGCUGAAGCAGCACAAGACAGACAUUGUCAAUCUCAAGUGGGAUUCUAAUAGGAUCUCCAAUAGAUGAUGAAAAAUGGAUGUAAAAUUAACAUCACCAAAAACUACCUCACUACAACAGAUGAGGUAAAAACUGUUGACUCUGGACUUAACUGUCGAAACUGAAAUUAACCGUGGAAUCUGAAUGCUACUGUCGAAACUGAACGCAAUGGUAGCAAAGAGACACUUGACAUGUAGUUUAGGGAGGGCCUGCAGUUCAUAUUCAACCUGCACACCCCUGAGCCGCCUGCCACCAUCGGACGAACCGCCGGCCCCAGCGCCGCCUCGCCGCCCUGAAACAACUCGGCACCGCCGCCCCGGCCAGCACUCUAGGCCCCCCGCCCCCCACCCUAAACCCUAAGAUAGAUAGUGGGGUACCUCUCCGGCGAGCCCCCGUCCCCGCUGCGGGUGGUUCUUCCUUAACUCCGGCGAGCCCCCCCAACCCCUGAAAAUCGACUGACCCAAAAGUUGAUUCAGUCGACCGAAGUGUGGCUUAAUCGGAGCAGAGCAGCAGCACAAGUGAGGGGGGGAGCAGCAGCAACAGCUGGGCGAGCGAGCGAUCGAGCGAGAGCCGGAGCAGCAGCAGCAGCGCGAGCGAGCGAGCGAGAGCCGGAGCAGCAGCAGCAGCGCAAGCGAGCGAGCGAGAGCCGGAGCAGCAGCAGCAGAUCCGGCUGGUAUGGACGCUGGCGCCGAAGGGGCCUCGCACUGGGGGAGAGCCAUCAUGGAGAUGUCGCCUGCGGCGCCGGCUUCAAGGUAGCCGCUCCAUGGUGGUGCAGGAUGGAGCACCGUCGGCGCUGGGAGGUCGAGUUAAGGAGAAGGUGCGAUGCGAUGAGUGUACAACCUCUUUGGUGGCGCCGAGUAGGCCUCGGCUUAGUCCGAGGAGUCGGUGAGGAUGCUGCGGUUCCGGUGGAGCAGGUUAAGGCGGCGCUGUGGGGAUGGAGCAGCUGCGAUAGACGAGGUGAUCGUCGGAGCAGCUCCUUGGAGGUGGAGGAUGGGGCAGCUGAACCGGCGGGACGGCGAGAUGGACGACGGAUCCUCAUCCGGGGAGGUGGACGAGGGACGUCGAGCUGUUGCGGUGGAUGAUGUCGUCGGGGAAGAGGCUCCGGCUGGGCAGCGGUGACAUGGCAGACGGAGGAGGGUGGGGUUUCGCGGCUGGAGCGGAGAGGUUAUGGCGGCCUGGGAUUUCGAAUGGCGAAAAGGGGGCGAUGGGAGGGGGUGAAGCAUGACUUAGGGACACGCUUGUCCAAAAUGUAGGGUGUGUUACAAAAGUACCCCCACCGAUUUGAACUAGCGGCCCUUUCGGCUCAGGGUUAGAAGGGGGAUUUCGCGUGUCGGGAUUUGGCAGCUGGAGGGAGUUUUCGCGCGCGUUGUAAUUUCGGGAUAGCAAGGCGCGGGUUGUGAAGGCGCCAGUUUGGGAGCACGAUAUCUGAAUUUUCGGGAUAUAACAAGACGUAGGUUGAAUUUUAGGGACAAGCCUAACAUGUAGUAAUAUUGUACUUGUACGUACCAAAUCAAUUCACACUUCCCUCAACCAAAAAGAAAACGAAAAAAUAAAACUAUUCACAACAAAGAGAGAGUCUUGCCCCGUUUUACUAUACAAAUGCUAUUCAAAGCUACUCCCUCCUUCCAUCUAUAUAGGGCCUAAUGCGUUUUUCGAUGCUAACUUUGACCAAAUAUUAGAGCAAUGAUAUAUGACAUGCAACUUACACAAAGCACACCGUUAACUUCGUCUGUGAAAGGUUCUUUCAAUGAUAUAAUUUUCACAUUGUGCAUGUCAUGUACUAUUAAUCUUGUCAAUAGUCAAAGGCGGUCUUAAAAAUCUCAUUACACCCUAUAUAGAUGGAAGGAGGGAGUAUGAAUCCAUGUUAUGUCCGAUUAUUUUUUUUCGUUUUGCUGUAUAAUGCAUGUAACCUACUCAUACCAACAUUUUAGUGCAUUCCAAAUAUCUAUACUACCGCUGCAAUUCGAACUAAAUUUGAAUUUGUUUCUCUAUUUCAAUAAGAAUCUACAAUCAUGAUUGUUGCCAACUUCAACCAUCAUAGUUUCCUUGCUAUCCGCCAGAUAUAAAUCAGACGGCAUAUAAUGCAGGAUGGCAGGCACACCAUCAUCAACAACUCCGUUUUUUUAUAAGAGUAGAGAUAAAAUAUAUUAAAUGUAGUAUAACAUGUUCAUAAACACACCAUGUGUAUCACCAUUAUAUAUAUUCGCACAUACAUCAGUUUAAAACACUAUGAUAAACUCUUUUCAUCCUUCUCUUACUCGCACACUCCUCCCCGCUCGAUAUAGUAUGCCUCUCGUACCACCUCCUACAUGCAUCCCUCUAUCUCUAUCCUUCUCCUCGUGCCUCGUUUGAUUCUAACACACACACAUGCAUGUAUACUGAUCGAUCGCCCAACAUAUACCUGGAUCGACAUUAACUACCCCCCAUCGAUCGAUGUACCUCACAAGUUAUGUCUCUUCUUUCUCUAACAAAGGGCGAUUGAUCUUCCUAUGUAGUUAUGUCUGCUUACCACAGCCACAUCGCCCCCCCAUCAUUCGUGCAUGCCUCCUGACCCGUCUCUCACACGCACGUGUACAGACAACAAGCAGCCAUCUCCUCUCUUAUUGAUAUUGCGCGCGUGCCCUCCAUUUGUCUAGCAAGCCUAUCCCACCAUUUGUUAGAAGCAACUCCACUUCCACCCCCUCCAACACUCUAGCUCUGUCUCUCUCCCAACCUCAUUCCUCUCAUGCACAUAUGCAUGGAUGCCAAUCGAUCUCCCUUAAUACAUGAGGCAGAUCGAUCUCCUUAAUACAUGAGGUAGGCCUCUCUCCUCCUCCACACAUAUACCAGCCAUUGUACCUCUAUAGUUAAUUGGGCCUCCCUCUUCCCCCACCACACACCGAUAGUCGAGCACUGCAGGUAGGUAUCCAUGCCACAGAGACAAACUGCACAUGUCCCCUCUCAUGUUCCAGUAGGCCAGCCACUCUAUAUCUUUGACGUGGGCACACACAAAUUCGAUGGCACUCUUUAUCGAUCGCACGCGCGCACACACACACACACACAUCAUCAUCACUCUUUUCGAUUCUAUGGACACCUCAAGCCGGUGAUACCUCCACCCUCUUCUCGUGGAUCGCCCCCUCUAUAUAUAUGUUAUAUCCAGGACUCUAUUUCACACACAUUGCACAUGUUACAUUUUUUUAUUNNNNNNNNNNNNNNNNNNNNNNNNNNNNNNNNNNNNNNNNNNNNNNNNNNNNNNNNNNNNNNNNNNNNNNNNNNNNNNNNNNNNNNNNNNNNNNNNNNNNNNNNNNNNNNNNNNNNNNNNNNNNNNNNNNNNNNNNNNNNNNNNNNNNNNNNNNNNNNNNNNNNNNNNNNNNNNNNNNNNNNNNNNNNNNNNNNNNNNNNNNNNNNNNNNNNNNNNNNNNNNNNNNNNNNNNNNNNNNNNNNNNNNNNNNNNNNNNNNNNNNNNNNNNNNNNNNNNNNNNNNNNNNNNNNNNNNNNNNNNAACCCACACACUAUAUCUCUCUAGGUUUGUAUCUCUCUCACACAACCCCACGUAGGUGGUGUACGUAUACAAGAAGAGAAUAGGUGCACCGUGCACGUACUCACGCUUCGUGCCCAGCCACACCCGCGCGGGUACACGGUGGAGCUCAUUUCUUUACGAAAUGGCAGCCCACGUGCUAAUUUCAACGCCUGUAGCAGUUGUUUACCUAGGGAGGUCGUGUACCAUGCCUGCACGAAACAAAGUUCGACUUGACGCGUUGCCGCGUUAUUUUAAAAUAAAGUUAUAGCGCUCAAUGGCACGUACACAUAAUAUAAAAUGAUUUUUAUGGAGAAAAAGGUAGUCCGCUCACUAUAUACAAUGGAGCCUUGCGUGCCUGGUUUGUCGCUCUUCAGAGUAUCUCACACGAGGCUGCGAUGGCCUCUCUCUCUCUCACUGUUGGUCACUUAUCCGGCCACAUCCCGUCCGUCGGGGGAAUGGGAGUGCGGUGGCCUCUCUCUCUCUCUCACCGUUGGUCACUGAUCCGGCCGCAUCCCGUCUGCCGGGGGAAAGGGAGGAAGUGCAUCAUUUCUCCGUUCGACGGCGCCGAGGCAGCACGUCCUGAUAUGUGGUACACGCCGUUCUCUCUGACCAAGCUCCAACGCGGCAGGGCCUACGCCACCUGCUCGCAGAUUCCGCCCGCUGCCGCUCACCUAGUUACAUCCCGACGACCUCCAGGUAUCCCCUCCGGCCUUGCUCCAAUGCCCGUCUUCCCACGUCGCUGCAUGUGGAUCUUCCAUAGUUCUUUUCCCAAAACGUAGCUCGUCCAGCGUACUUUCCAUAUUGCAUUCUCAUCCUCACACCGUUUUAGACAAACACAAUCGUGUUGUUAUAUUCCCUUAGGGCAAGGAAUAUGCUUCUUUUUUGUCAUCACAUGUGUCAUCAACUGUUAUUGGCCAGUAAUUGUUUCCUUUCUACCUCUUUUUUGCAAACAGGGCCAUCCAUUUCACCUCGUUGCUAUUACGACCUUUUGGUGAACUGCACAAAUCACUUUUUUCUUAAGAGUGUUUUGUGCAGUUGUACUAAAAUGUCACAUGGGCAACGUCUCUACAUUUCAGUGCGACUGCACAAAGGGAGAUUGGUUUUGCUCUAUCCUCCUCAUCCAGCUCCGAGCCUAAUCUUCUCCAACUAGUUAGUCUUAAAGAAACUGCAAAGGUGAGUGGCUUCUAUUUAUGUGUUUAUUGUUUCAUCAGCAGUCCUCUAUUAUCAUAAUCACACUUAAUAUCUUUGGAACAGGGACGCUCAGCUCUAUUUUAGUGGAACUGCACAAAAUGAUCGGAAUGUUGCAUGCUCCAGACAGCUACUUUUUUCCCAACAUGCCUUGUUGAUUUAGACAGAGCUGGGGGGACGUUGCUGCCAAUGAAAGCAUGGAUCAAUUUUAAUUUAACACCUUCUCACAACUUUGUCUUCAGUUGUGAUGUAAUUAUUAGCUCUAAUCUGCUAAUAAUUGACAUGCAUUAGCAAGAAAGUUAGUUUUUUAUUGUUUCCGAAAGAGCAUCGAUGGCAAGACACGCGAAACAGAAGCUGAAAGCUCACACCAUUGUACAAUUUCAUGUCUCGCUGGAAAAUUAUUUGUAUAGUACGUCAAUUAUGUAAACAAAUGAUGGAAGCUUGAUAGCAUUGCCAGAAGCCUCUUCAUCAUCCGGGUCCAUGUGCCAUGCACAAAAUUAUACUCCUUCGUUCCUAAAUAUUUAUCUCUUUACAAAUUUCAAACGGGCAUAUUUUAGAGUGUAGAUUCACUCAUUUUGCUUCGUAUGUGUACUCCCUCCAUUCCUAAAUAUUCUAUUCGUCUUUCUAGAGAUUUCAACAAGUGACUACAUACGAAGCAAAAUGAGAGAAUCUACACUCUAAAAUAUGUAUAUACAUUCGUAUGUGCCAGUCCAUUUGAAAUCUCUAAAAAGACAAAUAUUUGAGUAGUCACUCAUUGAAAUCUCUAGAAAGACAAAUAUACUCCGGAGUAUAUUUAAGAACCGAGGGGGUAGUGCACAACCGCAUGGGAGACUCAGCCCGGUCGUUGCACCGCAUUAAUAGUGAGUAAUGAGCAGUCAAAUCAUAAGCCCCCCUUUCCCACUGUAAGUUGCUCUGAAGAAGCAACCAUUAAUACGCUCUUCUUUGAAUCCGCUCAUACUACUCCAUCCGUCACUGUUUAUACAUCGCGCUUCAGAAAAAAGAAAAAAGAUCUGUGGGACCACGGCGACUAGCGAUCGGCCUGAAAAAUAGCAUUGGUAGUUAUAGCACGACGUCUAUUACUAGUAGAGGGAAUAAUGCGUACACACAUGCAUGCAGUGCUUCCACCCCGGGUACACACAUGCAUGCACUUACUCCAUUCCGUAGUUACAUGGAGAGAAAAUUGUGGACUUGAUUGCGGUUACCACGCCCUAAUUAAUUGAGCAUUAAACCAAACGUGUCUAAAGUCUCUCUGGUGGUGGAAAUGCAUUGAGAGAAAUGCAUCAUAAUGAAGCGCGCCCUGUAAACUGUGACGGAGGGAGGAGUAGUGUGAAGGUUCGAAACCAAGUACGUGUAUGGCCAGUCGGUCAACGCGUCUAAAAUGUUGAUGAAUGUCAAGAAAAAUUAUCUCAUUGGAUUCGUAUUUGAACAUAGUUUUCAAAAAUAUAAUGUUUGAUGGCAUGCAUGAACAUUUUGUUAGUUUAAUCUAUGGUCAAAAUUUGGCACGAAAUACAAUAGGGACCAAUAAACCCGGACGGAGGUAGUACUACAGUGUAUGCCUCUGACAAUCUGACACCGGCUGGACUGAUGCAUGUCCACCGAGGGUAGGUUGCAUUAGUCAAAAGGCGUAAGCGAGCUUCACCUUGUCCUGCAAGCUUGUCCUCAUUCUGCGAGUUGACGGGACACACCAAAAAGUAGUGCUAGUCCAUACUCCCUCCUUUCUGGUUAAUAUGGCUCAAUCCUCUUUGCGGGUAAAUGAGAGAGCUUUAUUCAUAUAUAAGCAUUCUUAGGACGAUCAGCCAAGACACUGGUCACUAAGAAGCGAUGUACCCCGCAAAAAAAGAAGUAGGAAGCGAGGUGUUUCAUCAAGCCAGCUCUCGGCCACAUUCAAAGUGCAGCAAGCACGUUUCGCACGAAGAUGCGCCGCAAGGUUUUCUGACCUGUUUACAUGCUGAAUAACAAAAAAAGAGGAAAUAUUACCGAGCGCUACUAUUUGUAACAUGAUAUGAGCCAGAAUUAAGCGAGAAUUGUGGUGAGUGUUCCAUGCAAUCAACUUCCAUUAUCACAUGCGAGAACCCUCGAAGAUAACCAAAUGUGUUGAAGAUUGCUUUAUCACAUUUUAAAAUUAUAAUAAGAGUGCAUACGCUCCUCCAUCCGGUUCCUAGUACUAGUAUAGUACGUACCUUUAUAGACUAUAUUAGUAAACUUUGCGCUUGGUUGUUAGCCUAUUCGGGAAGUCGAACAAUAGUAGCACUAGUAGUAUAUGCUUCUGGCAACCUGACACCGAAUUAACUGUUGCACGUCCACCGCCUGAGCGAGGGAGAGCUUGCAUUAGUCAAAAGUUUCUCCUUGUCCUGUGAGCCACCGCAUGCAAGUAAUGCUAGUCCAUACUGCCUCCUCUCCGGUUAAUAUGGAUUAAUUUCAAACGAGAUAAAUACACUGUCUGUCACUGUAUAUUUGUUAAAAUACGGUCAGUGGACUUCAUAAUACGCUCAUUGCACUCAAUAUAUAUUUCCCGGUGUUUAUACGGUCACUAGCUCACCCUGACUGAGUAUGUGUGUGCAUGCACGUGUAGGUUGAGCACUUAGCGUGACCGUGUGUGUUCCGUCGUGUGCUCGGACAUGCAUGCAUUAGGGCGUCGCGCGCAUUUUUGUGUCCAUGUGUACGUGUGACUGUUGCAUACACGUAGGGGGAGUACGUGUAGGGGCCACUAAGGAGCAGUCAAAUCACAAAGUAAAUCACGUCUGUCGUGUUCGUGUCUCACCCUCUUCCACGGCUCGACCCCACACGGUCGCUCGGCAUGCCACUCACCCGAAACCGAGUAUACGAUAUCUUUCCUGCCUGCUUGUCGAUGGAUCGCGCCAUGGAGUACUACUAGCACUACUGGAAGAGAUUGACGAGUUGGGGGAGGACAGCUAGCUGUAGCACGGACUCCCAAAACCUUUUUACAUGCAUGUUGUAGCCGGCUAUUGCGACCUUUGAACACGGAGCAGCCGCGUGCACCCGGAAGCGGCGCGGGCGACGCUCUCUCGGCCGGCGCGCCACUUCAAUGCCGGUGCCAGUGAGAGGUCGCGUCUGCUCUAGCCGAGCAUGAAUGCGGCACUGACCGUUUCGGGCGGGAAGCACGCGCGGGUGAUGAAGAGGGUUCGGGUUGGUCAGGACCGGCCGUGGCAGCGAUCCGGACGUGCGCAAACAAGAGGUGCUGUAUGUUAAUAUUGCUGCGUAUAUAAUUAACAACGUGAAUAAUGUGCCAGUUGGAUAAAUAUGAUUGGAGAUGGAGAUGGAAAUGGAAUUUUACGUAAACACGGAUAUGCAUGUCUAUGUCUAUGUGUGUGUGCGUGACGACUCUCGCGACCUGGAAGCGGGGGCGUGUUUUUGAUCGAGUUUUCUUUCUUGGUACGUUAGAAAAUCUGUUUGUCCAAUUCACAUCUAGAUGUUAUUUAAAGAUAUCACAUCUAAGCUCCCACAAGUAUAUAAUGUAGCAACAAGAAACAAAAAAAAAC